rnacentral:lncRNA from 1 species
CUCCAUACAAUGGCCUUCAAUCCUUAUUUUUAGUAGUUGGCACAAGGAAAACAUCCUGAGCUACCUCAGUAGAGUUCACAGCUUUGAGGGAGAUUUAUACCAUCCCCAAGGUUCAUUGGAUAUGUACUAUGUAACCUGUUUCACGCUCAAAUAAUUAUCCAGUCCCCUGCGAAAAAAGGCACAAUUAUCUUGUCAGUAGGAAGUUAUGAUCAUCAAAUUUUAUCUCAGUGCAAUGCUAACCUACUGAAAUAAUGUCAGUAAGCAGUUACAGCUUUGCGCAGACUCGUAAGUUAUAACUACCGUACAAGACAAAUAUCAUUUGGAGACUAGAAUCCCUUUCUCUACUGGAUGAUUUUUCUAUUUUCCUUUGAGUUCUGUUAUCCAUUUAGUCGUAGAGAAGCGGAUAAUACCAUUCUCCUAACUCCCGACCAAAACCACUCCGUUUGUUUCCUCCCCAAGGGGCCUGACAGAAGCAUGGUUGUGAACAGUUGAUCCACACAAUGCCUGCCUGGAAAGCCUGCAAUUCACCACCGAGAUAUGACAACAAUCAAGUCUUUUGGUCAUCUGAGGGCUAAAGGUCACAUAAAUGUACAUUGAACCUCACCUUGGUCAGGCGCUCACACCUUUCCAAGUCAUUUGACAACACGGCAGCACCUGGCCCAUAACUGCGAAGCAUCUUUUAAUCGUGAGAUUCUCAUAAUGUCCCAAUUUAAAGAAGUCUACUCAGGCAAGAGUGGAGUAACAAUUUCGAUCAUAAUAAAUGAGCAGAUUCUCCACCGUAUUCUGAACACUAUCAAAAGAAUGAAUCAACUCACUGGGCGUCAUUUGCUAAUUCAAUGGCUUCCUCCUCUGUGCCAAAUGUUUUAAUGCAGAUAGCAGGUCCAAAGACUUUCUCUCUCCGAAUUUGCAUUGAUAUAGUGACAUCAGUUAUGAUGGCUCAAGGAAGAAUCCCUUCUUCAAAUGCUAUCAAUUGUUGGAGAUGAUACGCAGAAGUCAGGAAAAGCAUUUUCAGAAGCAGAAGGGUUCUUCACGAGAGUACUAAAAGUGACGAGCUAGAGCCCUGUACCCCAGGACGAUCUCCACCACACAAAAUAGUAGCCCCCUCGCUCCUAGCCGUGGAGAUGAACUUCAGUAUUUUCUCAUACUGAAGCAAAGAAAAUGAAAUUAUCAUUUCGAUAUCCAGCUGGCAGAUUUGAUGCUAAACGUUGAAAAGUGAAAAGAACCAAUGGUAAUUAAAAAUCCCAGACUAAAGCUAUUUCCCAUGAUUUCUUCCAAACAUAUGGCACUUAUGGGAGAAAUUAUCGCCUCCAUUCCACACGUCACCUCAAAAAUGAUCAUUUGCCCCCGAUUAUAGUAAAUGAACGGCGUAGACUAUGCUCAAGAUACAACUGCUGCAAUGGCUACGGGACAAGGGCUAUAUUGUUGGAUGUAUGCCCUAAAGAUACUAUGUAAUGGUUACAUAUUAGGGAUUUCAGUUGUACUUUCAUUAUUAUUAUUUAAUUAAUGGCAAUGACGUAUUCAUUCAUUUGUCCAAUUAUUUUAUAUUUAUGAAUAAUUCCAUAAGAUUAGUUGCAACUAGACCUAUUCUUGAGACGUCAAGAAUAUAUGUGAUGGGUUCAUAGUUAGACUGAAUCUUUAAAUUGUUCCCGGUCGAUGGAUUAUUGAGUGGAUAUUAAUAAUCCUAUUGAGACCGGUGUAUUCUUAACUUCACCAUUAAGUAUUUGAUACUUAAGGGAAUGAUGAGUUACAUGUCAUUGGGUAUUAUGAUGCCUGAGUUUAAACACAGGUGUUUGUAUUAGACAAAUUCAUUGAACGUGACGCAUAUGGAAUGAUUAGCGACAUGGAAGCUUUUAGCGUGGUUAAUGUCUAUUUGUUUAUACUUUGGUUUUGUGUAAAUAAUCCUUAUACCUGAGGCACAGUGUUAACUUGUGUAUUAAACAACUAUGGUUCACGGGUGCACAUAAUGCCGGGUCGUUGAUCCGUCUUUAUACCUGAUGGUCAUAGUUUGUUCAUAUACGAAGUUACACGUGUGUGCAAUAUGGAAUCUAUCUCCUUGUUAUAUGCAAGGUAUGAUAAUGAUGUCCUAUGCAAUCUAAUUGUGACACUGCAUUGAAAUCCUCGGCCGGGGUUGUAAUUGAGAAUAAAUUGUUUAUGUCUCAAAUAAAAUGCAUGUAAAUUAGAUUUGUGCAUAUGAUCGAAUUAAUGACUUGACAAAUAUUCCAUGGUCUUUGUUUGAUCGGGACAUAGUAAGACAGAUGGAUUGAAUUACACUGUAGCCAAAGUUGACAGGUUCAUUAUGUUCUUAAAGUAUUUACACUAUCUGGGUAAUCAUGACAUAUUGCUAGAUGUCAAUCAUGACUUGUAAGACCCAAAGAUUAAUCGGGACAAUUAAUUCUUUUGGGAGUAUUAAUGUGUUAGUACAAGUCUUACUACCAGCUUAGUGAUGAACCUAGAAAUGUCACACACCAUAAACAAUUAAGAUGACGUGAAACAAGAGAGAAAUAAUGUUGCAAAUGUAUUUGCAAUUACUGCAAUCAAAUUGUCGAUUUGAAAUUAAAUUAAAUGAGAUUUAAUUUAAUUUAUAUUAUAGUCACAAGCCUUCUUGCAUAUGAUGCACAUACAUGCCCAACGUAAAUAUAUGUCAAUGCAUACUCAAAUGUACAUAUAAAGAAUAUGUUCUUUUAUUUUUAAAAGGGAUUGAUUAAUGUUGACACCUAAAUUUUUGCCCAAAAAUAUUUCAUGUUAAAUUCUUGCAUAUAGAUUAUUUAGGCAUUUAAUAUAGUGUUUUAAAUGGAAUAUGUUUUUACUUUAAAAGAAAAUUGAAAAAAAAAAGAUAAAAAAAAAAGGUUGGGGCCAAUGAUCUAAAUGUGACUAGCCAAGCCCAGAAGGUCAGAUUGGAAUUCAAAUGGCAAGUUGGGGCCAAAAUGCAAUUUCCAAAAGUUGAGGGACCAAUUCGCAAAUUUUGCAAAAUUUGCGCCCGAGCCCGUAAAUCAUCAUCUUGGUCACCAAUUAAGUUGAAAUUGAAUUUGGGCCAACUUGAAUCAAUCAAAUCGAGCCAAAAAGACCAAAUUUGCCUUGAAUUGGGUAUUUUCGGAUAAGAAAAUGGCUAAGUUUGAGGGACUUUCUUGCAAAAUUGGGUGGGCACAAUUGCAAAAUUUGGUUGAGAUCUUAAACUACUAUACAUUUACUUGCUAAUUGAUCAAAAACCGCAGCCAAAUUAAUGGAUUAAAGCACUCAAACUAGUUACCAAAACCCAGCCCACGAUUAGGUCUUAAUUCGGAGCUGCUAAGUAGGCAUAUUGGUGGCCCCAUCAUAUCCUCCUCACCUUCCCAACCAGCCAGAUCUCUGCACGUGAUGGAAGACCAUCAUUGGUACUGCAAGUGGACGAAAAUCGCCAGGGAUAAGCUGCUGAAAACACCGGAAAAUCGCAGCAAAACCUGCGCACUCAACAGCUGCAGAAUUGAAAAAAUUGGCUAAGUCAGAGAGUAGGUGAAGUAGCCCUGUUGACAGGCCUGGUAGGUGGACAAAAGGCUGACCCAAAAUCCUCUAAUUCAGGGGAUAAGAUCUACGAAAUGAGCUCUUUUCAAGGAGAAAAGAGACGAGAGAGAGAGGAGAGAUCUCGGAAUCGCUCCCCAAAGACACCUUCAGAAGCAACUCCAGGAAAGCAAACCCAAAAAUUCCAGAUCAACCUUUUGAGAGAAAAGUGAGAUUUUCACAACCCUUCGGCCAAAAUUAGCCAAAAACUUCAACUAGAGAGUGAAACUUCACUCAAAUAUCUUUCCAUCCAUAGGUCGCAAGUCCUAAAUGGAGAUCUGGAAGGCCUCCUAAAGCGCCCCGAAAAACACCCUCCAGGCGGGCCAGGAAACACUGAAAAAUUUUCUAAGUGUUGAGCCCAGUUGGUCACGAGUGGAUAAAAGGCAGUGUUUUUGAGAAAGUUGAGAAACAAAUGAGGAAAAUAUUGACUUCUACCCCAAACUAAAAUACAUAUAGUUUGGCUUGGUGUCAAUUUUUCCAACAAAAGACAUCUUGAAGUCUAAUUUUAGAGAUCAACGAAAACCUUCGUUGUCAGUUCUUCUUUUCUGCAGAUCUCAUUUCCAGUUGAAGAAGCCAACUUCCACGUGCUUCCAGAGGACAAUUUCUCGGUUUCCUUGGCCAAGAACCACUUGAAAAGGAAACUAGGAAGUAAGGUAAGCAUCCUAGAUGUACUUAUUUUUGAGUUUGAGCAUGUUUUGAUCAUGAAAAUCAAGAGGAAAACCAGCCCGGAAAACUGAUUUCUGAGACUGAAAUUUUUCUAAGUGUUUGAAGCCUCUUCAAGAGCCAUACAUGUUUGACUUGCUGCUCCCCUUUGCAUGUGUUUUCUAUCUUCACGAGCUUGAUUAAUGUUAUAUGGGAGUACAAAUGAUGCAUAGGUCAGCUUGGUUUGGUCUUUAAAUCCCCGUGUGAACUAUGAGAUCGUCAAAAAACAAGCCUAUCCACAUUAGUUCUUGGCUGGUCAGUAUAGUCUUUGCAUGUGGGCUUCUUAGAGAGGUUGUUUUGAUGUGUUCGGUUAGUCAUUCUCUGUGAUGUUUGUUGCAUUUGAAAGCUCAUGUUACCUACUUUCACUCAGAUCAAGUAAUGUUUCCUUUAGAUCUCAUAUGCGAUGAGUGUUGGGGCUUGAAUAUGGGCAUUCAACCUGUUUGCUUGACUUGGGUUCAAACCCAGAUUUGCAAAAUCAGAUCAAACCCGCAUAUUUGAUGACGAUUCCAGCUUGUUUUUCGUGUGUUUUAAGCUGUGAUUUCUAUCUAAUAUUACUCCUUGCAUGUGGUAGUUUAACCUUGAUGUUUUAGUUCCGCAUAAUAUUGCUCAUGCGUUGAGAUUGAAGGCCGCAAACAUGGCCCGGGAAAGCUGGUUUGGGGUGGAUUGAUGCACGCCAGGUGUUCAACGAAAUGCGCAAACCAAGUUUCGAUCUUGAAAUGGUCGAUUUAAGCUCGAUUAUUGUGAUAUUCAUGUGCUGUGUUACUCCAUGUUAGCAUAGAUCGGUUUAAGGAAUUAUUAUUAAUUUUUAAAAAAAAAUAAAAAUAAUUAAAAAAAGAGAAAAAUAUGAAAAUUUCAAAAAUAUCAAAAAAUGUUAGAUAGCAUCAAAUUAGGAUAUAAAUGACAUAUAUUAGAUUUUUCUAAUUUUAAAAGGUCAUUUUCCUAAUUUAAUGCUAUUUUGAUAUUUUAUAACCAUGUUUGUAAAUGAUCCAUUUUGCGUAGAUUAAAACUAUUUAAAGUAAUUUCAUGCAUAUAGAGUAAUUUCAUGCAUAUUUGAAUUCUCAUUUUGCUCAUGGGGGUCCUGUCCCGGGGUGUGAUAACAAGGCCAUGUAAUAUUAUUUGCUCGACUUGUAUCGGGUUUACCUUUUCCGCGUUUAUUUUCAAGUCAUUUCAAUUUCUUGGAUGUUUACUUACGCGCCGGUUUUCAUUAAUUUGAGUGUAAAUUUCUCUUCUAAAUUAUGUUAGGAUUAGUCUAGACAUAAAAAAAAAAAAAAACUACAAAAACAUUUGCAUGGACACUUAGUGGUUUCAUAAAGAUUAUAAUUGGUAAUCAAGAAUGUGUGGCUAUUUAGAUAAAUAACUUUUCAAGUUAGUGGUACCGCAAGGGCGCUAAUAGAAACAUUGGCGUAAACAAGUCCCUGUUCCUAGAAAUCUCUGGUUGCGUAGGAAUCGAGACACCACUCCCGUGUCUCGAUUGGUUUCUAGCCGACCCCAAUAGGCUAGUGGCGACUCCUAGAAAUAUUUAGGUUGUUAAUAAUUGAAAUAUGAAAUCCAACGUCGCGCGAGGUAUGGGCUUGGGAGAGCCCGCGUCUAAUUUAAGGCCAUUGGUCCGCUUCUUUAGGCAAAUACCCCUAAACCUUCUUCUUUAUGCCCCGGACGGAAAAAAAAUAGGUCGUAACAAUUAAUUAAUUAUUUAUUAGUUUAAUUAAUUAAUUAAUUAAUGCAUUUUAAUAACUAAUAAAAUUUAUAAUAAAAUUGAGCUUCAUGCAUGUGCACGAAUUCGUGCACAUGCACGAAGCAAUGAUGGUCAUGCGCGAAGCAUGGAAGGUCAGCAACCGCUGACCAUCAUGCCAAGAUCGUGCAUGAGCGGUUGCUCAUGCACGAUCGUCUGCUACGGACGAUCAGCAACCGUUGCUAGUCGGUUUUAUUUUUAAAAUUUGGAGGGACGAGAGUUAAAGAGCUGCUGAAAAGAAAAAGAGAUUUCGGGUGUUUGUCUUCUUGUUCCAGAUCGGUUCUUCACCAUAAACAAAACCAUGAAGUUCUGCUAGUUGCUGAAAAUUGAGUUAAAGUGUGCGUGUGUUCUUGCGUUUCGAGAGACACGAGGAAGAAAAACAAUUCUCUCGUUCGGACCGUGACUAUAAUACAUCGAGGAUACGGCGGAUAAUUUCCACAAGAUUACUAGCAUGAUCAUUGUGGUGAAUAUCCGAAAGUUCUUUCUUCCGUUCGACGUUCGUUGUUGAUGUGUCUGAACUAGAGGUUCGACGCUUGUGGGACUCGAACUAUAGAACAUCCGAACCGAUUCGUUUCAAAGCGCGCUUCGAGAGGUAAUUCAUUUAACUCCCUAUUUAUAUUCAGAUUUUUUAUUAAAACGUACGAACAACGCCUUAGGAGAAUCAUGUAUAAAAUAUAUAUUUGUUUCCGCUGCGUUCUUUUUGUUAAUUUUUCUUAUACAUGAUUCAUGAAACCCCAACAUAUACUUCUCCCAAAAGUAAAAUAAUUGUGGAAGUCAUGUAUUCUAAAUCUUCACUACUAUUUACAAUGGUUGGUAGACUAAUCCAGGAAUUUGUUAUGACCGAUCUUCACAAAUGGGUAAGGGUCGAAAGACAAUAACGGACUCAUAUACAUGCACCAACUAGUAGACUACAGAACUAGAUAGUACCGAACCUGCAGGUAAUGCAAGUUAUACCUGCGCCGCCCGCUCCUCCCCCCCCAAAAAAAAAAAAAUUGGGCCAAGCCUGCAACCCUCUUCUAAGUGAUCGGAUAUUUUUAUAUCUUUGCUUCAUUGAACAAGCUUCUCAAUGAAUUGAGCAGCAAUGCCUUCCUGAAAAAAUGGUGAUAUACACAUUCGAUAUAAUGCAAAACAUAUAAUAUAACGGUUUGAAAGAGAGCAAUCACUUCAUAAGAUAUUGUGCCACCUAGUGGACAAUUAUGGUCAUAUGACAUCUGACAUUUUAUUUAAUUUAAGCAUGACUUUUGUGUGCCUAAAGCACGGCUCCCGACACUAGAUAUGGCUCAUCGAUGGUCGUAGCUCUUUGUCGGAUUGGCUAAAGAUUUGGUCUUUUUUUUUUAAUUAUAUAUAUUUGAUUUUUUUUAACUUCAAACAAAUAAAAAAUAAAAACCAACAUUAAUCAUCAAGGGCUUACUUGUCAAAUGUGUUUUCUAUCAAACGACAUUUCUCUCAAACUAACUUCUCAAAAUAUAAUUUACUAAAGGCCAUUUGUGUUUACCCAAAGUCAUUUAAGCUAAACUAUUUUGCGUUUCGCUUUCAAAAUGUUGAACUAAACACACAUUUAAUCAACACGGCCAUUCAGAAGUGCUGUUCACUGCCUGGACUGGAGAUGCUCACUCUUCUGCACAAAGCUCUUGCCCAAACCAUCACCAUCUCCACCUCCUUCUCCUUCUCCAUCGCCACUGCUGCCGCCUCCUCCUCCACUCGCCCGCCUGCAUCCUCGCCUUUACCCCUCAAACCCUCCCCUGAGUCCUCCAAGAUCCCACCAUCCACUGGACGUGGAACCUCGUCGACAAGACCCUGAAGCGUCUUUGGCACCACGCCCUGAAGGCCCUGGCUUUCUUCGUCCAAUUCUCCCGCCGCCCCAGCUACGCCCCUAGCCUUCUCCUUCGACCACGCCAUCGACCUCGCUGCGUACGUCCGUGACUAUAGGGUUGCAUGGGCCCUCGCGGCCCAGAUGCAGUCCCUCUGCCUCAGCCCCUCCCCAAAGAUGUUCGCCAUUAUCGCCGAGAGGCAUGUCACCGCCAGCAAACCCAAUAGGGCGGUCGAGGUGUUCUGGUCGAUGCACGAACAUUGUUGCCGUCAGGAUUUGAGCUCGUUUAAUACCAUUCUUGAUAUACUGUGCAAGUCUAGACAUGUGGAGAUGGCUAGCAACAAGCUGUUCAAGGUUUUCAGGGGCAUGUUUAAGGCUGAUUGUGUUAUUUAUAAUAUAAUUGCUAAUGGGUGGUGCUUGAUCAGGCAGACGCCGAUGGCUUUGGAGGUGUUGAAGGAGAUGGUGGAGAGGGGAUUGAGCCCGAGUUCGACAACUUAUAACAUAAUGCUUAAAGGGUUCUUUAGAGCUGGGCAGGUUGAUGAGGCUUGGCAAUUCUUUCUGCAGAUGAAGAAGUGUUGGGGUUUAUCCCACAUUGAUUAUGGAAGGGGCAGGUGAUCGGUUUAUAAGUAUGAAGAAAAGCCUCACCCUCUAAGAUAACUUUUGGAGUGAGAGAGGUUUAAGAUCACCCAAUAAGAAGAAGAAGAGUAAGGGUGUUUGAUGAGAUGUCUAGACAGGGAAUUCUUCCUUCUCUUGUGACUUAUGAUGCCAUGAUUCAGGUUCUCCGUAAGAAAACGUGGAAAAUGCAAUUCUGGUUUUCGAAGAAAUGUUGAGGAAGGGUUGCGUGCCCGACUUGAUUACUUACAAUUUUUAGUGAUUAGGGGACCUUGUCAUGUAAAGGUCAUAUGGAUAGGGCUGUGGAAUGAUACAAGCUGUAGAGCGCUCGCAGUGGUCGUUCUUCAUUCGCAUCCCUCGUUUAUAUGGCGAUUUCUCUCUCUCCGCAUCUUUGAUUCCUCGCUUGAAUGGCGCGAAUCCGGCUGGAGAGAGAGAAAGAUAGAGAAUGUAUCUCUUCUGUAUUUUCAACUUCCUUAAGAGAUUACAGUAUGAGAGAACUCCUUCUUAUAUCUAUUCUAUUUCUCUCAAUGAAUCUGUUUUACACAAGGGCAGUUGAAAGAAAAAGUCAACUAUUUAACUGCACGGACUAACCGAAUACCGGUCAUAACAGCUAAGAUACAAAGUAAAAGAAGAAACAGAGUAAAUGAACAGAGUAGCGAUUUUGGCCGACUUCGCAGCCUUUCUUCAUGCAAUCUCUUGAUCUGUAGAUCAUCCUUCUUCUUUCCUUUCUUUAUUUUUAACCGUAGAUCUUCUUUGUUCUGCACAUUUCUCAGCAUCAUCUAUACUCCUGGCUUUUGUUUUCGUUUGUUGAAUAAGCUGCAGUCUUGUGUUCUUGACAUCCCCCCGCAAAUUGGGCAAGGGUGAAGAACCAAUGCCCAAUUUGAGACGAAGAGAGGAGUGUGUUAGUUUAGAUAGUGGCUUUGUAAAGAUAUCAGCAACUUGGUUCUGGCUGGGAACAUAUUUAACACACAAAGAUCCAGAUGCAACUUUUUCUCGGACAAAGUGGAAAUCAAUCUCAAUAUGUUUUGUUCGAGCAUGAAGUAUAGGAUUCGCUGUGAGAGAUAUGGCAGAUUGAUUGUCACAGAAUAGUAUGGUUGGUGAGUGAAGAAGAACUCUAAUAUCUCUGAGAACAAAAGAAAUCCAGGUAAGAUCAGCUGUUGCUGAGGCAAGAGCUCUAUAUUCAGCUUCAGUGGAGGAACGGGAAACAGUUGAUUGUUUCUUAGCGGUCCAUGAGAUGAGAUUAGAACCGAGGUAAGUACAGAAGCCUGUGGUAGAACGUCUAGUUUGAAGACAGCCAGCCCAAUCUGCAUCAGAGAAGCCAUAUAAUUGGAGAGAGCUGUGAGAAUGUAAGGACAUACCGAGGUGAAUUGUGCCUUUUACAUAUCGAAGAACUCGUUUUAGUUGAAGAAGAUCUCCAAUAGUAGGAUGUUGUAGUUUCUGACAUAGGAUAUUUGUUGCAAAGGCAAGAUCAGGCCUGGUAAUAGUGAGAUAUUGUAGUCCUCCUACGAGACUUCGAUAGUUCAUGGGAUUUGGAAGAAGAACAGCAUCUCUUUCAAGUAUAACUGGUUUAAGAGAGAGAGGUGUAGCAAUAGGUUUACAGUCAAUCAUAUUUGCACGAGACAGUAAGUCAAGGGCAUACUUGGUUUGACAUAAGAACAGCUCGGUAGACGUUCGUGUGGCUUCAAUUCCAAGAAAGUAAUGAAGCUGACCAAGAUCUUUCAUAUGGAAUUGAACACUGAGUGAAUGAAUAAGAGUCUGUAGCAAUGAUUCUGAGCUACCAGUGAGGAUUAUAUCGUCUACAUAUAGAAGUAGCAAUAUUGUCUCUUGUUCUUGAUGAAGUAUGAACAGAGAUGGGUCAGUUGAACUGCAGAAAAAUCCAAUCUCAAGUAAGAAAUUGCUGAAUUUAUCAUACCAGGCACGUGGUGCUUGACGCAGUCCAUAGAGUGACUUUUGAAGCAGACAAACAUAUUGAGAAUACUGUGGAUGAACAAAACCAGGAGGUUGUUCCAUGUACACAGUUUCAUUCAAGAUGCCAUGUAAGAAGGCAUUCUUGACAUCAAGUUGGUGUAUAGACCAGUGUUGUACCAUUGCUACAGAGAGAACAAGUCUAACAGUUGCAUGUUUUAUCACAGGACUAAAGGUUUCUGUGAAGUCGAUUCCUUCUUCCUGAUGAAAUCCUUUGGCUACUAGACGAGCCUUCAAUCGAUCGAGACUACCAGUAGAAGUAAGUUUAGUCUUGAACACCCAUUUGCAACCAAUAACAUUCAUGUUAUUAGUACGAGGAACCAAUAACCAAGUUUGAUUCUGGUGUAAGGCAUUCAUUUCUUCUUGCAUCGCCUUAUACCAUCCUGGAUCUGCUAGAGCAGAUUUUAAUGAUUUUGGUUCUGAAGGAACUUGGUAUUGAGCAAGACAUGCAUAUCGAGGGUUGGCUUUAAUUAUACCAGAUUUAGCUCUGGUUUGCAUGUGAUGAGUAGGUUGUGUACCUUGCACAGGAUGGAUAGACUGUGUUUGUUCGAUAGCUGGUUUUGUUACUAUCACUGUGGUGGUUCCAGAUAUGUUCUCUUGUGGAGAAAUACUUUGAAUAGGAGAUGGAGCUUGAUCAUCUGAUGAUACAGUUGUAGAGAUAGGAUCUCCAUGUUCUGCAAAAACUUGCUCAGCUGGAACAUACUUUGUUUGAUGAGAUGAUGAAGUAUUGAUAGGCUCUAUACUUGGAGCUUGUAAGAAUUUCUCUUCUUCUGUCCAUAGUUUAUACAGUUGUGUAUAUGUUGAGGACUGUGUUGCCAGCUUUUUAGAGAAAGGGAAGAACUUCUCAUCAAAAAUUACAUGUCGACUGAUGUGCACAUGACCAGUAGUAGGUACCAAACAUCGGUAUCCUUUAUGAUGAGUACUGUAUCCAAGAAACACACAGGUAAGUGAUCGUGGAUCCAGCUUGUGUUGUGCAUAGGGUCGAAGGCAGGGAUAGCAGGCACACCCGAAUACUCUGAGAUGAUCAUAUCUUGGCUUAUACUUAUACAGCUUGAGAAAGGGAGAUUGAAUCCUUAAUUGUGGAGUAGGAAGUAUAUUGACAGUAUAGUUUGCUGUCAUAAAUGCAUCAACCCAAAAUUUUAAUGGGAUUUUUGCAUGAUAUAGCAUAGCCAGACCAAGCUCAACUAUAUGUCGAUGUUUUCUCUCAGGUAUUCCAUUCUGUUCGGGUGUAUAUGGACAGGAGAUAAGCUGUUGGAUGCCACAACUCUGUAGGUGAGUUUUAAACUUGUGACUGACAAACUCUCCCCCACCAUCGCAUUGAAACCUCUUGAUUUUACAAUUGUGCUGGUUUUCUACUAACUUCUGAAACAUAAGAAAGAUAUCAUAGAAGUCUGAUUUUAGUUUCAAUGGAUAUAUCCAGCUGAACCGAGAAAAGUUAUCAACAAAGAUCACAUAAUACUUGAAAUUCUGAUAAGAGUUGACUGGAGAAGGUCCCCAGAUGUCACAAUGGACUUGUUCUAGAGGUUUAUUCGCUACAGAUCUUGACAUAGGAAAGGGUAGAGCUGUGUUCAUAGCGAGUUGACAACUUCUACAUAUAGAUUGUGAUUCUGUAUGACACUGGAUUAACUUUUGAUUCUUCAGAUGCUUCAGAACAUUCUGAUUUGUAUGAGCUAGCCUUUGAUGCCAUAUGUUUUCUCCUGUGAUCUUUUGUCUUUGAGUAAAGAACACCUCUGCAGCACAAGGAUCAAUUCUGUAUAGUCCUUUCUCCUUCUUCCCUAGCAUUUUGGUUAUGUUGGUGGUGUUGUCCUUUAUGUACACCCCAAUUUUAUCAAAGACAAAGGAACAGGGAUAAUCAUCGGUUAGUCUAGAGAUUGAAAGAAGAUUUUUCUUAAUUGCUGGAACAAUUAACACAUCCUUUAGAGGCAAGGUAGAAGUAGCAGUAGUUAACAUUGUAUUCCCAAUAUAUUUCACAGGUAAACAUGAACCGUUGCCAAUCAUUACUGUAUCAGUACCAGCAUUCUUAGAGAAGUUUUGGAGAAUACCAGCAUUUGCCGAAAUGUGAGCAGUUGCUCCAGUAUCAGGAUACCAUUCAUUUCCAUUAGCUUCCUCAAUGUGGAGUGCUGAUAGAGCUGUUGGUAUUUCUUCAGCUUGGUAAGAAUUAUCAUAUCUAUACCAACAGUGCAAUGCAUCGUGACCUGGUUUUCUGCAGAUCUGGCAUUCCAGUCGAGUGUUUGUUGUUGCUUUUUCCAUCUGCACAUCUUUAUGAAAAGUUAAAUUUGAUGGUGGAUAAAUCUUGGUUUCUGUAUACCUCUAAGCUGAACCAUUAUAUGGUCUGAACCCCUGACCAAAACUCAAGGUAGAGGGAAUAUUAGCCUGGUUAAGAUGUUGACUUCCCUGUUCAUAGCUCGAAUUAUUAGUUCUGUAAUUCAUAUUUCUUCCAAGACUUCCAAAAUUUCUGUAUCUGCUACUGAAUGGUCUUCCUCUUCCAAUACUUCUUCCUCCACGACUAUAACCCCUUGAAUUUCCAAGAUUGUUAUUUUGCUGUAAAAAGUUUCUAUUAAACUCAUCUUUGUGUAUAGCUUCAGUCUUCCUUUGACCAAAAUAGGCUAGAUUUGGACUGAACUGACUUGAGGAAUAGUUUUGCAGCCUUGAUUCAAACCUCUCUAGAUGAGAGAUGACUUCAUCAUAUUCCGGUUGAGGCUUUAAACAAUAAAUUGUUGUUUUAAAGCUCUCAUACUCGGACCCCAAGCCUUCCAAAAUGCCAAACAUUUUUGUUAUGUCAUCUACUGGUUUACCUAUGGCAUUUAAUUGAUCACAUAUUGUCUUGUACUCUCUGAGAUAUGUUGAUAGAGUUCUAUCUCGUUCUGACAAGUCUGCAAUUUUCCUCUUAGUUCAAACUCCUUUGCCACAGAUUUUUGGGUGAACCGAUUAAGCAGAGUCUGCCAAAGUUCAUAGGCUGUGUUUAAGCCGAUUAUUAGGCUAAGUAUGUCUUCGAAAACAGCACCACUAAUCCAAGAGGAAAUGAGUUGAUCCGUUUUAAUCUAGUCAAUAUAGUCAGGAUUAGGGAUAUCGAGUGUUUGAUCUCCUUCUUCUACCUGUAAUGUUUUAGCAGGCGGUGGAGUUUCUCCAUUCACAAAUCCAAAUAGAUCUUGACUUCUUAAAAAUCUAUGAAACUGAGCUUGCCAUAGGAGGAAGUUAUUCUCAGUUAAUCUGAUUGUAACAAAGUUCGAGAUGUUGACAUGAAUAGGAAAUGGAUAUCUCGAGCUUUUUGCUGCCAUUCUACUUUCCAGAUCUUUGAACACAGCUUGUUUCGAAUACAACCUUUACUGGUUUUUGCAGUAUGAUGCAGUAAAUCGGUUUCUGAUGAUAUAGAUUUGAAGGAAGAUGAAGAAUAUCGACUCACAGAUUAAUGAGGCUUCGAUUCCUGAAUCCAAUUUGCUGUAGAUUCAGCCACUUUUAUACAGACUUGAGAUGAUUUCUUCAGGAUGAUGGCUCUGAUACCAUGAAGAACUUUACGAACAGAAACAGAAACAAAGAUGGAAGAAAUCGAGAGAGAGAGAGAGAGAGAGAGAGAGAGAGAGAGAGAUAGAGAAUGUAUCUCUUAUGUAUUUUCAACUUCCUUAAGAGAUUACAGUAUGAGAGAACUCCUUCUUAUAUCUAUUCUAUUUCUCUCAAUGAAUCUGUUUUACACAAGGGCAGUUGAAAGAAAAAGUCAACUAUUUAACUGCACGGACUAACCGAAUACCGGUCAUAACAGCUAAGAUACAAAGUAAAAGAAGAAACAGAGUAAAUGAACAGAGUAGCGAUUUUGGCCGACUUCGCAGCCUUUCUUCAUGCAAUCUCUUGAUCUGUAGAUCAUCCUUCUUCUUUCCUUUCUUUAUUUUUAACCGUAGAUCUUCUUUGUUCUGCACAUUUCUCAGCAUCAUCUAUACUCCUGGCUUUUGUUUUCGUUUGUUGAAUAAGCUGCAGUCUUGUGUUCUUGACAGCUCGGUCGUCGCUGCUUCCUCCCUGUCGCUGCUUCAGCUCCGGCUCCCAGCAAGCUCUCACAGGUUCGAUUGGGGAGGCCGGAGAAUCUCGGUGAAUUCAAAGCCUCGGGGUUCCUCUCUGGUGGUGACGCCUCUCUCUGGGAUCCGUUGUUUUGCAGUAUUGCUCUAAGUCGUGGCCGAAGUAUUGCUUGCCGGAGCGUGGGCUCCUUCUCGUCUGGUGCUUACUUGAUAGUUGAAAUAUAUGACUGGAAUGGACGUCUCUUUCUCUAAUUUAGCCUAGCCGUGCCUUGCUUUUCUUGUUGUAAGCAGUCGCUGCUAGUGGGUUUGUUAUGCUCUGAGUCAUGGCCGAAGUAUUAUUGCUUUGUUGGGUCAAUAGAAGUGUUAUCAUGGUGGGAAAAUCAUAUGAGCGGUCAUUCAAUGUUGGGCAAAUUUUUGUAUUCACUGCUUAACUUCAAUUUUAACAGGGUGAUUAUUAUGUGUUACAUCUUCAUUCUAUUUUAUCAUUCAGUUAGCUAUCUUUUUCAAUAAAGAAUUGAAUGAUGUGACAAUCUAAACAGCUCGUCUUGCUAUUUACAUGCUACGUGGCAUUGCACUUGCCAUGGUUGUCCCUACUAAACCCAUAGUGGUUGUUUCCUAAAUGCAAUGAACAUGCUUUCGGAGGUGACCAUGGACAAUAUCAUGUCAUGCUUGGCUGAUCUUCAUCUAUUAAAAAAAAAAUGCCAUGUCAUGCAGGUUCAUCCUUCUUUUUUCCACUAGUCUCAUUUCUUUUUCUUGACUAGAUAAAUUCUUUCAUUGCUCGGAGCAUAUCUUUGGAUUGACCUGUUUCAUAUAAUUCAUACAAAUGGGUUAUCUUCCUCCUCAAGCAAUGAAGACAGAUUAUGACAGUUUCAUCAUUUUGCAAUGGACAAUGCAACCUAUAAAUGAUCUGUCUAGAAGAAAACAAACUGGCAAACUCAACCUUUUGUUGUAUUAUGAGGAGUUUGCUCAUUUAAGGUAUGAGGAACUUUACAUUCUCGUGUUAGCAUCUCAUUUGAAUUUAAAACGAUAUUGAUGAAAGUGAUAUAAAGCUAUAAUGAACUAUAGUUUUAAAAAAUUAGGAGUUAGGCCUACAGUGACAUCUUUGUAAAGCUUCUUUGGAGCAGCCUGAGGUUUAACCUAUACCACAUGAGCUCUUAGCAGGAGUUGAUUUUGUACUUUUUAUCACAAACGACAACUAUAGACUUUAUCGUACUAGAUGGGAGUUUUAUAUAUGUCAGUCUCCUGGAUGAUUCCAAUAUAUUAAUAUCCAAGUCUAUCUCGAUGUUACUAAAGAGUGUAGGAGUGAAAGAGACCUACUUUGCAUCAUCUGUAUAUAUUUCUUCCUAAUCAACAAGUGCUAUUAUUGCUGAGAAAAAAUUCCCUUAGGGCGGGUUUGGUAACGAUUCUGUUCCGGAGAACAAUUUUUUUUAUCAUAAAUGAUUUUUUAUUAUUCUAUUCUUAAGAACAAUUUCUGAGUAAAAGAACACGUUUGCUAACUUCCCGAAAUUUCUAUUCCUAGGAUAGAAAUAUGUUUAGUAGGAUUCUAAUAUUUUUUUUAUUUUCUUUUAAUCUUUUAAUUCUUUUAUUAUAUUUUCUUCUUCUUCUUCUUCUUCUUCUUCUUCUUCUUCUUCUUCUUCUUCUUCUUUUUUUUUUUCCUUUUUUCCUNNNNNNNNNNNNNNNNNNNNNNNNNNNNNNNNNNNNNNNNNNNNNNNNNNNNNNNNNNNNNNNNNNNNNNNNNNNNNNNNNNNNNNNNNNNNNNNNNNNNCCUUUUAGAUGUCCAAGGGUGUGAGGAGUUAUACACAUGAACUUGAGUGUUUAGAGCUCAGAUUUUGUAACCUCUGAUCGGUUCUUAUUAGUGGAUUCCAGCCAAUUGGUUGUAGCAUGGGAGAGUGGACGUAGGCUUGCAAAAGCCGAACCACUAUAAUCUUUAGUGUACAAUUCUCUAUCCCUUACUCUUUAAUUUUUUAAUAGAAUUGUACACCAGUAAGAUUUGACCACUUCAUCAGAAGUUGUCUCAUUGUAAUAUUUGUUAAACUACUUAGUUUUUGCAGAAUCACAUAUUCAUUCCCCUUUAGGUGAUAUUUUAGUUAUAACAAUUAGUAUCAGAGUACGGUUACUCUUAAUUGAAGCGAUUUACUAAUUCUAAGUUAACGAUCUAUCUAUGGCUAGCAAUAUUGCAUCGGGUCUUAUGGAAGGAUAGAGUGAUACAAGACCUCCUUACUUCAAUGGGAAAGAUUAUAGUAUUUGGAAGAACAAGAUGAAGACAUUCAUUAUAUCUCAGGAUCCCUUGGAGUGGGACGUUGUUCUAAGAGGCAUAAGACCUUAAACUUCUUUGACCAAAGAAAAAGGCAAAAAAUCAAAAACCUCAGCUCUAUCUAAUGUGGACCUCACCAAAAGAGAAGCACUUGAUGCAAAAGCUAUUUAUUCAUUGUAUUGUGCAUUAUCUCCAUUUGAAUAUAAUCAAAUUUCUUCCUAUGAAUCUGCAAAAGAAAUGUGGGACAAGUUGCAGGUGACAUACGAAGGAACUGAUAGGGUGAAGGAGAUGAAAAUCAAUAUUCUUCUCCAACAAUAUGGAGCCUUCAAAAUGAAACCAGAAGAAUCCAUAACUGACAUGUUCAGUAGAUUCACUGACAUUGUCAAUGGAUUGGCAUAUCAAGGGCAACCGGUGUCAGAUCCAAUGAAGGUAAACAAUAUUCUUUGAGGGCUAUCAAAAGAGUGGAAUAACAUUAAAACAUCCAUCCAGGAGACUCAAAGAAUAUCACCUCUCUCUUUGUGGAUGAGCUUGUGGGAACACUCUAAUCCUAUGAAGAAGAAUGUCUAAACGAAGAAGACACCAGAGAUAAGAAAACUCUAGCUUUAAAAUCAAAUCUUUAUUUUGAUGAAUCACAUAUGAAGACGAAGAUGACGAGGACGACAAAGAGAUUGCUCUCAUGGUGAAAAAGCUUCAAAGAAUGGCUAGAAAAGGAAGGAAGUUUAUAGGAAAGAAAACCUUUAGAACUUCUGAGCAAAGGGGAAGCUUCAAUGACAAGGAGGAAAGUAAAGAUGUUGUCUGCUUCGAGUGUAAGUAGCGAGGUCAUAUUAAGUCGAAUUGCCCACUUUUGAGGAAACUGAAGAAUAAAUAUGAGAAAACAAAGAAAGCACUGAAGGUCAAGAUUUGGAGUGAUACUGAAUGCAAAGAAAGUGAUGAAGAAUGUGUUAAUACCUGUUUCAUGGCAAAAUCUAAUUCGGAAGAUGAAUUUGAGGUAAGUAAUUUUGACAUUCCGGUUGAAGUGUCUAAUUAUAUUGAAGAAUUACUUGUUGAUUACAAGGCCGGGCUUAGAAAAUUCUCAGAAUUGAAGAAGGAAAACUUAAGAUUGAGACAACAUGAUUCUUUCCUAAAAAAAAAGAUUGAGAAUCUUGAGAAGGAUCUUCUCCAAUAAAAAGAAAAUCUUGAUUUUGUUUUAAAAGAAAACGAUUCUUUGAAAAAGGAAAUUUCAGAUGUUGCAAAAAGGUUUUCGAUUGGUUCAAAAACUUUGGAGCACAUUUUGUCCAUUCAAAUCCCGUAUUAUAAUAAAACAAGACUUGGAUGUAAAAACAAAAGGGCUUUAGAAAAUGAUUUUCCGACUCACAAAGAGAGGAAGAAUAAAAAACCACCAAAAGUCUUUUUAUGAAAAUCAUUUUAGAAAACAAUUUGUAAAGCCUGUUAGUAAAAACUUCCUUAAAUGUUCAAUCUGCGGAUGUCAUGAUCAUUAUGAAAAUGAUUGUUCCAAAAGUUGGAAGCCAAUUCGAAGGAACUUUCUAAGCAUGGCUGAUCCUUCUAACCAAAGAGGACCCAAACAAAAAUGAGUACCAAAGAAGACAUGAACUUGUCUUUAUUCUUGCAAGUACCAAAGAAAAGGAAAAACAAGUGGUAUUUUGACAGCAAUUGCUCAAGACAUAUGACCAGUGACCCUAGUAAGUUUAUUGAGCUCACGAGAAUUACUGGAGGAAGUGUUUCCUUUGGAGAAAAUAAAGGGAAAAUCAUUAGCAAAGGAAUUGUUGAAAUUGGAAAUCUGACGAUAAGAGAUGUAUAUCUUGUCAAAGGACUGAACUAUAAUCUUAUCAGCAUUAGACAGCUAUGUGAUGCUGGAUACAAAAUAUGCUUUCAAGAAAACAAAUGCUCAGGCACAAGUAAAGAUUUGAAGUAGUCUUUUACUGGAAGAAGACACGGAAAUAUCUAUUUACUAGAUAUAACUACUGAUGACGUUUAGUGUCUGGUCUCUGUAAAGGAUGAAUCAGAUUCGUGGCAUAGGAAGCUUGGACAUAUAAGCACUAAACAAAUAGCGAAGCUUUCAUCAAAGAAAUUGAUACGAGGAUUACCAGACCUUAAAUUUGAAAGAUCUGAAGUCUUCUUAAUCUGUGCUUUAGGAAAAUAGGUAAGAACCUCUUUUAAACCCAUUAACUUUGUUAGUACUAACAGAGCUUUGCAACUUCUUCAUAUGGAUAUCUUCGAACCCACAAGAACGCAAAGUCUAGGAGGUAAAAGGUAUUGCUUAGUAAUAUUUGAUGACUACACAAGGUAUACUUGGGUUUUCUUUCUUGCACACAAGCAUGAAGCAUUUUCCUGUUUUUUUGAAGUUUUCCAAAAAGAUUCAAAACAAAAAAUGAUAUUCCGUUUCUUAAAAAUUGAUCAUGGGGGAGAGUUCGAAAAUUAGAGUUUUCAAAACUUCUGUGAAGAAAGUGAUUUUGAGCAUCAGUUUUCAACUCCCUACACACCUGAGCAAAAUGGUGUUGUAGAGAGGAAAAACAAGUUUUUGCAAGAUAUGGUAAGAACCCUUCUUAUAGAAAGUAAAAUUGCAUCUCAUUUUUGUGCAGAAGCUAUCUCAACAACCUGUUAUAUUAUAAAUCGAGUUUUUCUUAGACCCUCUUUAGAAAAGACCCCUUAUGAGCUUUUCAAAUGCAAAAAACCGAUCAUUUCACACUUUAGAAUUUUUGGUUGUAAAUGUUUAAUCUUAAGAAAUGCUAAUGAUUGGCCUGGUAAGUUUGAUGAAAGAUCAUAUGAAGGUAUAUUUCUGGGAUACUCAAUUACGAGCAAGGCUUUCAAACUCUACAACAAAAGAUCUUGCACAAUGGAGGAGUCUAUCGAUGUGAGAUUUGAUGAGAACUCUCAAACUAAUGAAGAUUCUAAUCAAGCAGAGCAAUUUUCUGAUGAAAUUCAAGUGCAACAAGAUAGCAAGCAAUCAAAAUCAGAUGAACAGCCUCAACAACCAGAAAAGACUAAUGAGCAAGUCAACAAGAAACCUACAACGUCUAAUGAUGGGUUUAACAAAAAUUGGAAGCACAAGUCAAGUCAUCCGAAAGAUAUGAUUAUCAGAAACAUUGAUGACAAGAUUAGAACUAGAUCAACUCUUAAAGAAGCCAUAAGCACUUUAGUGCUCAUCUCAGAGAUUGAACCUAAAAAUACUAAAGAAGCGUUAUCAGAUGAAAACUGGAUCCAAGCAAUGCAGGAGGAACUUCAACAAUUUCGCAUAAAUGAAGUAUGGGAAUUAGUCCCCAGACCAAAGGACCACCUCGUGAUAGGAACAAAAUGGGUGCACAGAAACAAGCUCAAUGACCAAGGGAAAGUCACAAGAAAUAAAACAAGAUUUGUCGCUAAAGGCUACUCGUAGGAAGAAUGAAUUGACUACGACAAAACUUAUGCGCUAGUAGCAAGGUUAGAAGCGAUUAGACUCUUAAUUGCUUACGCGUGUUUCCAUGAUUUCAGACUUUUUCAGAUGGAUGUGAAGAACGCCUUCUUGAAUGGAUACAUCAAAGAAAAAGUGUUCGUAGAGCAACCACCAGGUUUUGAAGAACCUAGAAAGCCUAAUCAUGUAUACAAAUUGAAGAAUGCCUUAUAUGGUCUGAAGCAAGCUCCUCAUACUUGGUAUGAAAGGUUAACAACUUUCCUUUUACAAAAUGGUUUUAAGAAAGGUAAUGUUGGUAAUACUUUAUUUAUUCUAAAAGAAGGCAAGGAAAUUUUAUUAGUUCAAAUCUAUGUCAAUGAUAUCAUAUUUGGAUCACCUAAUUAAAAUCUUUGCAAGAGAUUUGCCAAGUCAAUGUAGAACGAGUUUCAGAUGAGCACGAUGGGGGAACUAAAUUUCUUCCUCGAAUUGCAAAUCAAGCAAACGCAAGAAGGGACAUUAAUUUUUCAAGAAAAAUAUGCCAAAAAACUGGUGAAGAAAUUUCACAUGGAAAGUUCGAAAAAAGUAGAGACUCUUAUGUCUUCCUCUUCAAAGCUCGAUAAAGAUGAGAAUGGCAAAAAAGUUGAUCAUAAGUUAUACAGGAACAUGAUUGGCUUUCUGCUAUAUCUCACAGCCUCAAGGCCUGAUAUCCUUUUUAGUGUAUGCAUAUGUGCCAGAUUUCAAUCAAACCCUAAAGAGUCUCACCUCUCUGCAGUUAAAAGGAUAAUCAAAUAUAUUAAUUCUUACCCUUCUCUAUGACUUUGGUAUCCUAAGGGAUCAGAGUUUGAGUUAUCUUGAUACUCUGAUGUUGAUUUUGGAGGAUGUAAGAUUGACAGGAAGAGCACAUCUAGAACUUGUCAGUUAUUAGGCAAAAUGCUUGUUUCCUGGUUCUCCAAAAAGCAAUUAACGGUUGCCUUAUCAACUGAUGAAGCUAAGUACGUCGCUUUGGGAAGUUGUUGCACACAAACCAUUUGGAUGAAACAACAACUGAAGGAUUAUGGAGUGGAUGACUCAAAUACAACCAUUAAAUGCGAUAAUACUGGUGCCAUUAACCUGAUGAAGAAUCCAAUAUUACAUUUCAGAGUCAAGCACAUAGAAAUCAAGCAUCAUUUUAUAUGCGAUCAUGUCAACAGUGGUAAAGUGAACAUUCAAUUUGUCGAUUCACAAAAUCAGUUGGCUGAUAUCUUUACAAAACCUCUUGAUAAGAAAGUGUUUGAUUUAAUUUAUAAUAAACUUGGUAUUAUUAACCCAUUCACUUCAAGUAAUUAAGGACAGGGUACAUCAGAGGCUGCUAAGGAUAUCAACUUUUGGGAAUUUCAAAUUCUUGGUGGUAAGAAUAUUUUAGGAAUCAUAUCAGGUAAAGUUGGAAUUAUGUGAUUUAUUUGAAAAUUUCGAAUUGUCUUACUUAAUUUAUUGUUGAUUAAAUAAUAUCUUUAGAAAUUGUGUGAUUUUCAAAAACCGUUUUAUAGUUUUUCUUUUAAAAAAAUUUCGGUUUUUCCUAUCGAAUAUGUUGUUUCAUCUCUAAUAAAAGGAAGUUACUUUUCUUUCUCUUCCUUCAUUCUUCAUCUUACUCCCGAGUGUGUCUCUGUCAAAAACCUUUCGUCUAUCCUUCUUCAAAGACGAAGACUAGACUCUCUGGUUCACGGAAAUCAAAUCGGAUUGCGGGAUUGCAUUCAAGAGUCAGAGAAAGCCUAGAAUUUUUUGAUUAGUUCGACUCCUCUGCCAGUGUUGAAGGUACGGAAGCCUCUUUAGAUCUUUCUCAGUUAAGAUCAACUGUUGUGACUCUCAAGGCCUUAGGAGAUAGUGAAGAAGUAAUUUCUCAGUUAUUGGCUAAGUAUGGGUUUGCUAGUGAAGAGGCAUUCGAACUUAUGUUCGUUAAUCCUAUUCAAAGUAGUCAUCCCACUAGUGCUUGUAAUUCGAGUGCUAUGUGAACUAGAAUAAGAAAGGAGAAGGUGGUCGAGACUUCUGCUACUAAGAAAAGAACCGAUGAUGAUGGCAGAAGAGGGGAUAAUGAUGAAAAGCUUUAUGCUAGUUUCUGUAGAAGAAUUACUGAAUAUGAAGUAGAUGUUGAUCGGGCUGAUAAAUUGAUUAAAUCUGAAGAGCAUAAGCAAUAUUUCAGAUCCUUGAUGAAUAGAGGAGUUAUCAUAUAGAGAACGGUCGAUUUCGACUUUUUCGAAUCCACUAGUAUUCAUAUUAAGCAGUUCUUUGAUGAUUGACUCCUCACAGCAUUGUGUAUGAUUGAAUAUCCCACAUACCUUGCUCUUACUGCUUAUUUUUAUUCAACACUCUUUUUUUUUACUUAGUGGACACUAUUGAGUUGAAAGUAUUUGACAAAUCAUAUCUGCUUCAAGCUUAGGAUCUUGCUAAAUUACUGAGUGUUAGGUUCUCAAAGUUUGAGUUGAUUGACAUUGAUCCUAAUGUUGCAUAGCAACAACUAUUUGUAUUCCUGAUUUUACCAGAGAUGACCGAUCUCAUGUCUCUCAUCGGUUGUUUCCUUUAAGAUCAAUUGUACUUCACAAGAUUAUUAUUAAUUGCCUAAAACCAAAAGGAUCUUCCACAACUGGUGUUUCUCGAUAUGAAGUAAAGCUGAUGUGAGCUAUCUUAAAUGGUAAAUCUUUCUCUGUUGCUCAUCUUAUAAUACUGCAUAUGUAUAGAACAAUACUGAAGAACAAAGUGCAAUUGCCCUAUGGUUCUGUAACAACGAAGAUCUUCUGUGAAUUGGGAAUCAAGAUUUCAAAGAAGGUAAGAAAAUAUCAAUUACCUUCACUGAAGAUAGAUGAGCAAAUGAUGCGGAUGAUAAGUUUCAGGUUUACCUCUAAAGGAUGGAAAAACACAAGAGAAAGUAUUCUACAAAUUGAUGCAGAAGAAAUUGCACCAGAACCAACUAAUCGCCCCACCAAGCGAAGGAGGAUUGCUGAACCAAGACAACGAUCUCGAGCCUUCUUACAAAGGCUUAAUGAGAAAAUGCAGGAUGAAUCUAAAGAAGAAACAGUUGAUUUGGACGAUAUUAUUGAUGCAUAUCAACCUGACACUAAUGAUGAUGAUGAGGAGAUUGAAGCUGAAGGAUAAUAGGAAUAGAUGUGGCUGCAGAUCAAAUAGAUAAUAUCAUCGCUGAAAAACAAUAGCAAAAGGAUUCUGUAGAUCAACCUAUACCAACUACUGUUCAAACUAGCAUGGUGGACGUUGAUCUCACUACUGAUCCUGAGACAGCUGAUGAUGUUGCUAUACAUCAAAAACCUGUAUUGGAGCAGACUUUUACUGAGCAUAAGGAACCAGUCCUACAAUAAUUCAUUAUUGAAGAACAAGAGUCUGCUUUGUGUAUUGAUGAUGUUAGGGAUGAUUCUUCCAGAGUUGCAGUUGUUGGAGAAAUCUCCUAUGUUGUUUUGAAGCUGACAAAAUUUAUCUAAGUUAUAUUCUGAAGAUUGCCAGACUUCUGUGUCAAAGUCUAUCUUACAUCAGAAGUCUGCCCUACUCUGACAAAUUCCAGACUGAACGCAAAAAUGAAAACUUAAUCAAACUCAGGAUUAUUUUCUUCAAGGUUUCAGUACAUACAGGAUAUAUAUAUAUAUAUAUAUAUAUAUAUAUAUAUAUAUAUGGCUUUCUAGUUGGAAAUAUCACUUACGAAAUUAGUUAUCUUUAUUGGAAUCAAUUUAGAUAUAUCAAAUCAUUUCGGAAUGCAAGUUAUUUUGGAAAGAAUCUACUUAUGGAAACCAAGAUCCUGAUUGUAUGGGCGAACAUGAUUGAUGGGCUUUCAUCACAAUCUUCAAACGGCUUGAGAUCUCCUUGAUUGAUUUCGUCUAAUGGAUUGAUUGGAAGAAUUCAUUUGGAAAGUGCUAACGGUUGAGAAGGCAUGAAGGAGUAUUUAAGGAGGCCUCUCUAGUCGUUCGAUAGUGUGCGUGAAAGAAGAAUUCCAAAGUCCGAAGCUUCCCACUUACUUGUUAUUCCUUACACUGUGCUCAAACUUGUACUCAAGAGAGAGAGAGACUUAUACUGUGACUUCGUGAGAGCAUUAGAGACUCUUCACUAAGAAUUCGAGAUCGCAAGAUUGUAAAUUCUCUUUUGAUUCAUAGUGGAAACCAGCCAGAAGGCUGUCAGCGUGGGAGAGUGGAAGUAGGCUUAAUCUAAGCCGAACCACUAUAAAUUUUGUGUUCCUUUUCUCUUCCCUGAACUCCUUUACUUUAUUUGUUGCGAUAUACUUUUGCGUUUUGAAUUUACUGUUAAAGUCUAAUUCCAUCUGCAAAGUUUGCAGUAAACCAGACUCAAGUUAAAAAUAAAAGUUUUUUACUGCAUUUCGUAAAAUCUAUUUUCACACAUAUUCACGCUCCUCUAGGUGUUCUUACUAACCCUUUCAAUUGGUAUCAGAGCUCGUCUGCUUACUUAUUGAAGUAUUUUACUUAUAAGCUAAAGAUAAUCUAUGGCUAGUAUUUGGCUCCAGGUUUGGUUGAAGGUUAGAGCAACACCAUACCCCUUUACUUCGACGGAAAGGAGUACAAUGUGUGGAAGAACAAGAUGAAGGCAUUUCUCAAAUCCAGAGAUCCUCUGGAAUGGGAUGUUGUAGAAAAAUGGAUCAACCCUAAAGCAACAUCAGCUUUAGACCGAGGGAAAGAAGUUAUUGAUGCUGACGAAACAACACAAGCUGAAAUUACCAAGAGACAAGCUCUUAACGCGAAAGCAAUCUACUAUUUAUACUGUGCAUUAUCUCCCACUGAGUAUAACCGAAUUUCUUCUUGUGAAACAUCAAAAGAAGUGUGGGACAGAUUACAUGUUACCUAUGAAGGGACUGAUCGUGUGAAGGAAAGAAAAUAAAUAUUCUGCUUGGACAGUAUGAAGCCUUUAGAAUGAAGCUUGGAGAAUUUAUAACUGAUAUGCUUAGUCGUUUUACAGAGAUUGUAAAUCGUAUGGCUUAUCAAGGUCAGCCAAUCUCAGGACCAAUGAAAGUCAACAAACUGUUGCGUGGGCUUUCGAAAUAUUGGAAUCAUAUGAAGACUUCCAUUAGAGAAACUCAGAGGAUCAUGCCUCUAUCAAUUGACGAACUGAUAGGCACGCUUCAGUCAUACGAAGUGAAGCAGAUAAAUGAUGAAGAAGAUCCUAAAGGUAAGAAGUCAAUUGCUUUAAAGUCUAACAUUGAUUCUGAUUAUACAGAUUCAGAUGAUGAUAUGAAUGAUGAGGAGCUAGUGCUUAUGAUUAAGAAGUUCAGAAAGCUGAAUAGAAAGGGAAGAAGAUUCAAUUGGAAGAAGUAGAGCACGCAAAAUUUUCAGAAGAAACCGACGGAGGAUAAUGAAACCAACAAGGAUGUUAUAUGCUUUGAAUGCAAGAAAAAUCGGCGUAUCAGACCAAACUGUCCUCUGUUGAAGAAGAAGAAGAAAGGAAAAUCUGAUAAGUACAAAAAGGCUCUCAAAACUGAAACUUGGAGUGACACCGAGUGUGAGGAAAGUGAAGAAGAAUAUGCCAACAUAUGUCUGAUGGCUCAUUCAAAAUCAGACUUAGAAUCAGAAAUAGAUACUGAUUCAGAAUCAGACAAAGAAAUUGAGGUUAGUAACUCAGAAAUUCCUGUUAAAGUCUCUAAGAAUAUAGAUGAACUUUGCCUCAGUCUUAAAUCCUCUCUUAAAAGGAUUUCCGAACUAAAAAGGGAGAAUUCUAAACUUAGGCAACAUGAAGUUUCUUGGAAAGAAAAAUUUGAAAGUCUGAAUACAAGUUUUGAUAAUUUGAAACAAAAUUCUGACUCUAUUUCAAAGGAAAAUGCUAUUUUGAAAAGAUAUUUCAAAUAUUACAAAAAGAUUUUCAAAAGGAUCCAAAAAACUGGAGAAAAUCCUUUCAGCCCAAAUACCUUACUUUAACAAAUCUGGUUUAGGUAUGACUUCAGAAACUGUUCCAUUAAUUGAUUUUCCCAAAGUAAAAGAGAGAAUUAAACAAAGACCUGUAAAGGGUUUUUACAAAAAUCACUUUCAAAAAGUUUUUGUAAAACCUGUUGGCCGAAGUGUACUCAGAUGUUCAAAGUGUAACAGCUCAGAACAUUUCGAGAAGGAAUGUCCCAAGAUUUGGAGACCAGUUAAGAAGGACUGGGCAAAGACUAUUUUUAAUACUAACUCUUUUGAACCCAAGAAAAUCUAGGUACCAAAGAAAAUUUGAGUUUUUCCUUGAUUAAGGUCACUAUUAAAAGAAAGAUUAAAUGGUAUUUGGAUAGUGGCUGUUCGAGACAUAUGACAGGAGACUCAAGCUGCUUCAUAAAGUUUGUUAGACUGAAUGGAGGAAAGUUUCUUUUGGAGGAAACAAUAAAGGAAAAAUUGUAGGAUGUGGAACUAUGAAGAUUGGAAGCCUCACUAUCAAUAAUGUUUCCUUGGUGGAAGGUUUGAAUUACAAUCUACUGAGCAUAAGUUAGCUUUGCGAUACUGGUUUCAGAAUAAACUUCCAAGAAGGCAUUUGUUCUGGAACGAGUCAAGACUUCUCUCAAUCUUUUAUUGGGCGAAGGCAUGGCAACAUAUACCUUUUGGACGUAAACCUAGAAAGUUCUCAGUGCCUUAUUUCUAUUCAAGAUGAAGCAAGUCUCUGGCAUCGAAAGCUUGGCCAUGUUAAUAUGAAGCAAAUUGCUAAAAUUUCUUCUAAGAAGCUGGUUCGAGGCCUUCUCAAUUUGGCUUAUCAGAAGUCUGAAUUAUGCACUCCCAGCGUCUUGGGAAAAUAGGUCAAAAGUUUCUUUAAACCUGUAAAUCAAGUUUCUACCAGUCGAGUUUUACGGCUACUCCAUAUGGACCUUUUUGGACCAACUAGAACUCAGAGUAUUGGUGGAAAGAAAUAUUACCUAGUGAUCAUGGAUGAUUACUCUCGUUUCACUUGGGUAUACUUUCUGACAAGUAAGUCUGAAACCUUCUCUUAUUUCUCGAAGUUUGCCAAGAAGGUUCAAAAUGAAAAGAGUUAUACUAUUUCAAGCAUACGAACUGAUCAUGGAUGUGAGUUUGAAAAUAAGGACUUUGCGAAGUUUUGGGAUGAAUAUGGUUUUCAACAUAUUUUCUCUUCUCCAUACACUCCGGAACAAAAUGGGGUUGUGAAAAGAAAAAACAUAUCUUUACAAGAGAUGGCCAGAACUCUCUUGAUAGAGAGCAAAAUAUCCUCUCGAUUUUGGGCAGAAGUAGUUUCUACUGCUUGCUAUAUUAUCAACAGAGUAUUCUUGAGACCUAUUAUAGAGAAAACUCCUUAUGAAGUAUAUAAAGAAAAGAAGCCUAUUGUUUCUUACUUUCAUGUCUUUGGCUGUAAAUGUUUUAUUCUAAAGAAUACGAAUGAUCGGUCUGGAAAGUUUGAAGAAAAAUUAGACGAAGGAAUCUCCCUUGGCUAUUCAACAUCAAGCAAAGCUUACAGAGUUUUUAACAAGAAGACUCAAUUCGUGGAAGAAUCUAUGAACGUCAAGUUUCAGCCAGAUUAGACUCAACUUGAAGAGUCUGAACAUGUUCCAGACUUAACAAAGUCUAUUUCCCCCCGAAGAGGUUCAAACUUCUGGAGAACAGCAACAAGCAGAUUAAGCAGAUUCAAACGAAGCAGAGGAUCAAUAGACUCUCAGGCCUAAUAACAACUGGAAGCACAAGUCAAGUCAUCCCAAAGAACUCAUCAUUGGCAACAUUGAUGAAAGAGUUCGCACCAGAUCCAAAGGAAGAGAAGAGUCCAGUGCUUUAGCACUUAUUUCUGAGAUAGAACCAAAAAGUGUAGAAGAAGCUCUAUUUGAUGAAAGCUGGAUAGAAGCUAUACAGGAAGAAUUCAGACAAUUCAACAUUAAUGACGUAUGGGAGCUGAUUCCAAAACCUAAAAGCAAAUCUGUUAUUGGAACGAAGUGGGUUUUCAUAAACAAGAUGGAUGAGAAAGGAAAAGUGAUUAAAAAUAAAGCAAGACUCGUGGCGAAAGGAUACACACAGGAAGAAGGGAUUGACUAUGACAAUACCUAUGCACCUGUAGUAAGGUUAGAAGCAAUUAGAUUAUUGCUUGCUUUUGCUUGUUUCCAAAAUUCCAAGUUAUUCCAGAUGAACGUCAAAAGUGCCUUCCUCAAUGGAUUUAUUCAAGAAGAAGUCUAUGUGGAACAAUCACCAGGAUUUAAAGAUCAAAGAAAACCAGACUCUAUCUACAGACUGAAAAAUGCAUUGUAUGGUCUGAAGCAGGCUCCACGAGUCUGGUAUGAAAGGUUGAGUAAGUUUUUAACUCAUAAUGGUUUUGAAAAGGGAAAUGUUGAUAUUGCUUUGUUUAUAAAGAGAGAAGGGAAAGAUUUUCUGCUAGUACAAAUUUAUGUAGAUGAUAUUAUCUUUGGUUCUCCUAACGAAAAUCUCUGCAAGAAAUUUUCAAGAUCUAUGCAAGAUGAAUUCGAAAUGAGCAUGAUGGGUGAGUUAACAUUCUUCCUAGGAUUGCAAGUCAGACAAUCAAAGAAAGGUAUUUUAAUUCACCAGGAGAAAUAUGCCAAAGAUCUCAUUAAUAAAUUUGGAUUGGAGAAUUGAAAGAAGACAAAUACACUUAUGUCAAGGUCAUUGAAAUUGGACAAGGAUGAAGAAGGGAAGAAAAUAAAUCAGAAGCUAUACAGAAGCAUAACCGGUUCUCUUCUCUACCUUACUGCCUCUAGGCCUGAUAUUUUAUUCAGUGUGUGCAUCUGUGCUAGAUUUCAGUCUGAUCUAAGGGAAUCUCAUCUAAGUGCUGUAAAACGCAUCAUCAAAUAUGUUGCGACUUCUCCAAAGCUGGGUCAUAGUAUCCUAAAGAAUGAGACUUUACCAUUCUUGGUUAUUCUGAUGCUGAUCUAGCCGGUUAUAGAAUCGACAGGUUGAGCACAUAUGACACUUGUCAACUAUUAGGACAAAUGCUGGUGUCUUGGUUCUCAAGAAAGUAAAGUAUGGUGGCUUUAUCAACAACAGAAGCAGAAUAUGUUGCUCUUGGCAGUUGUUGUUCUCAAAUUCUGUAGAUAAGACAACAACUAAGAGACUAUGGAAUAGAAGAAUCCUGCACCGAGAUCAGAUGUGACAAUACAAGUGCUAUCAAUCUCACCAGAAACCCCAUUCUUCAUUCAAGGGCGAAGUAUAUAGAGAUUCGACAUCACUUUAUAAGAGAUCAUGUCCAAAAUGGCGAGAUUAUGGUUCAUUUUAUUGAUUCAAAGAAUCAGCCGGUAAACAUCUUCACAAAACCGCUGGAGAAAAACUUGUUUGAGUCUAUCGCAUCAAGCUGAUUAUUAUCUCUCUUAUCGACUAAAGUCUGAAGUUGGUCAAACUCGAAACUUCAACUUGAAGAAGCCACUUCAGAAUGUACAUAUUCUCAAAUCCAGGUAUUUUAUUUUUAGAAUAUAAAUUCUGAACAGGUAUGGUUUUAUCUGAAUUGAUGUUUGCCUAUUCUAUUUUUGGCAAUUAUUAUUUUACGAUUUUAAAUUUUUAGCAGUUACCAUUUUUAUUUUCGUUUUUGAAAAGGCAUUUUCUCUUGUGACGAUUCGGCUACCUCGUUUCGAUUUAGUUAAAUUCCCCAAGAUUUCUCUUUUUUGAAGCACAAGCAUUUUCCAAACCCUAAUGAGGAACCGCUCUCACUCUCCCUCGACCUUUUCUCUCAAAAUUUCUCUACAAGUUUUCAUCUUUUCUUCACUUGUACAUGUCUUUGAAAUCUUCCAAGUCUGCAUCCCUGUCACACCAGCAAAAGUCCUCUCGGAUUGCUAGUCAAGGUCCUCAAAGCAUGCCAGACGAUCCAACGCAUUUCGAUCUCACUGGUGAAGACUCUCCGCACAACUCUCCGCACAACUCUCCACAGAACCCUCCGCGCCAACCUUUGGAAGAGGAAGUUGAACAAGACGUAGUUCCUCUUCGAACUUUGACACCCUAGGUUCUUUACAAGCAUUAUGGUUAUUUGAAAUAGGGUAGUACUCCAAUGUCCUUUAUCACUGAUUUUUUGAAAAGCCAUGGACAUGGGAACAAAACUAUUUUCUUAAGAACCAUGGAAAGGAUAGGAGUGGCACCAAAGGGUUCAGCAAAAAAAGCUUUUAUGCAUUUUCCUUCUGAUCCUAGAUUUAGUUCUGAUAAUCAGCCUGGAAGUAAGGAUGAUGAUGAGUGGAUGUUUUCGAAUUUUCAACCCAGGAUGGGUGUGCUUGCUGAUGUGCCUGGUGAAAGAACGAAACUAUUUCGUUCUAAGGAGCAUAAAAGGGUUUAUGCCCAAUUGUUGAAUAGAGGGGUGAUAAACCCUCGAACAGUUGAUUUUGACUUUUUGGACUCGAUUAAGGUUAACUUGAGGGAAAGAUGGCAUUUCUUCAACUUGAGAAAUUUUGUGCUGAGAUGGCUGUGGCGUAUCCUGAGUUGACGGCAUACUUCUAUUCUAAUCUGUCUUUCCUUGACCAGAAUCGCAUUCAGUUUACUGUUUGUGAUAAAGCUUUUGUUGUAGAUGUUGACAUUCUGGUUGAUAUUUUAGGAGUGGAAAGAUGUGGUUUUCAACCAAUCAACAUCUCCAUUGGUCAAGCCACUAAAUUCUUGGUAAAAGACAGACUGCCAAGUGGAGGUAUCACUUACUCUCGAUUGUCAGCCUCCAACAUUUUGUUGCACAAAAUUGUCAUCAACUGCAUCAGACCCAAGGCAGCCUCCAAAACUGAUGUUUCCAGAUUUGAGGCGAUAAUCAUGAUGCGGUUCUCACUUCCUCAUACUUUCCUGCUGCACAUGUACAGGACAGUUAUGAAAGACAAAGGCCAAUUGCCCUACUUUGCCUUGGUUACAAAGCCGUUCCGCCAUUUUCAGAUCCAAUUUCCCGCUUCUCUUUGUUCCAUAACUAUUGCUCCUAUGGCAAUAGGAAUGAAGAUGAUCUUGAAAAUGAGGCUGAAGGAUUUGACUAAGGCCAUUAAGCUUUUGAAGAAUGAAUCCUUGAGCAAAACCAAGGAAGAUCCUAUUGUUGCAAGAAAGCGCAAAGGCAACGAAGUUGUGCAAGAAAUUGCAAAGAAAAUGAGAUCACUUAUCCUGCAGGAUGAAGAGGAUGAAGAUGAUCUUACCAUUUAUGCCAUUGCCCUAAGGAAUCUUCAAGGUGGUUUUGAGAAAUCAAAGGAAAGAGAAGGAAGAGAUAGAGAAGUAGAAGAAGAGGAAGAAGAAGCAAAGCAAGAAGAAGAAGCAGGAGUUGAAGAUGAAGAAGAAGAAGAAGAAGAAGAGAAGGGUGAGGAUGACUCUGAUGGAGAGACUGUUGCAAUAACAUUAUCGGAGGACUCUGAAGCAAAAAAGGAACAAGAAGAAGAAAUUUCUUCUUCACCUAUAGGCACAUCAACAGGGAGAGCUCAAGAGAAAAUAGGGACUUCUUCUCCACCUAAUGCAAGUGAUGGUAUAAGCCGAUCUCUUGCAGACCCUGAAGAUGUUUUUGCAUCCCAGUUUCCUGAAGCUGAAGUUGAAGAGUCUACUCCAACUUAGGGUGCAAGACAAACUGCCCUCGAUCAAGUUGAUGUUUCCCCGUCUCUCAACACUCCACGAACUCAAUUCACUGAAGCUAGUGCUCAGACUAAACCAAAUGUAGACUAUCCAAGGAUAGUAGAGCUCUUUUUGGAGGCUAAAGCUCAGCAAUAUGCGAUGGAUGUUGAGAUCCAGAAGCUUCACACUGCCUUGAGAUCUACUUCAGAUUUCUCACUAGCAAGGUACAGUCUCUAGACACUCAAGUUCAAACUUUGAAUCAGCAAGUGUCACAGACUGUUGCCAAGGUCGAAGAUGUUUAUCAACAGUGCCAGAAGCUUGAGGAGACAAUGUAGUCCAUGGGACAUUUUCGACUAGUUCGAGUUCCUAGACAACCCUGAUUGCAUUUUUCUUUUUAAUUGUGUUUUGAAUUUCUCUUUCUUUUUGCUAUUGACAAAAAGGGAGAGAAUGAGUGCAGAUUUAAACUAUUUGAUUUGUUUGAACUUGUUUGUUUGUAUUCUGCAGUAACCUUUUGUGGUUGUGAUGGAUUUGGGUUGAAUCUUUGACGAGAUUAAUGUGUUUUCUAUGGUUGCAGAAUCGAUGUUAUCUUGGUCUAUAACAAUAUGUUUUUAUAAGUUAUCAUGUACUGCUAAAGUGUUGUUUUGCAGGAUAUAAGUUUUAAAUCUGCAAGAAAGUUUUGUCACCAUAAAAAAGAGGGAGAUUGUUGGAGAAAACUCCUAUGUUGUUUUGAAGCUAACAAAAAUUAUCUAAUUUCUAUUCUGAAGAUUGCCAGACUUCUAUGUCAAAGUCUAUCUUACAUCAGAAGUCUGUCCACUCUGACAAAUUCUAGACUGAACACAAGAAUGAAGACUUAAUCAAACUCAGGAUUAUUUUCUUCAAGGUUUCAGUACGUACAGGAUAUAUAUGGCUUUCUGGUUGGAAAUAUUACCUACAAGAUUGGUUAUCUUUAUUAGAAUCAAUUUAAAUAUAUCAAAUCAUUUCGGAAGGCAAGUUAUUUUGGAAAGAAUCUACUUAUGGAAACUAAGAUCCUGAUUGUAUGGGCGAACAGGAUUGACGGGCUUUCAUCACAAUUUUCAAACGGCUCGAGAUCUCCUUAAUUGAUUUCGUCCAACAGAUUGAUUGGAAGAAUUCCUUUGGAAAGUGCCAACGGUUGAGAAGGCAUGAAGGUGUAUUUAAGAAGGCAUUUCCAAUCGUUCGAUAGUAUGCGUGAAAGAAGAAUUCCAAAGUUUGAAACUUCCCACUUGUUAUUCCUUACACUGUGCUCAAACUUGUACUCAAAAGAGAGAGAGACUUAUACUGUGACUUCGUGAGAGCAAUAGAGACUCUUCACUAAGAAGUCGAGAUCGCAAGAUUGUAAAUUCUCUUUUGAUUCAUAGUAGAAACCAGCCAGAAGGCUGUCAGCAUGGGAGAGUAGACGUAGGCUUAAUUUAAGUCGAACCACUAUAAAUUUUGUGUUCCUUUUCUCUUCCCUGAACUCCGUUAGUUUAUUUGUUGCGAUAUACUUCUGCAUUUUGAAUUUACUGUUAAAGUUUGAUUCCAUCUGCAAAGUCUGUAGUAAACCAGACUCAGGUUAAAAGUAAAAGUUUUUUACUGCAUUUCGUAAAAUCUGUUUUCACACCUAUUCACCCCCCUCUAGGUGUUCUUAGUAGCCCUUUCAGUAGCAUACACUCAUAAGGAACUAGGGGAGCUUCAUCAUGUUGAAGAUCCUAAGGAACCUCUUUUUGAAAACUUUCUCUUGGAGAUCACUACUAAUACUGACAAAGAGAUUUUUGUUGAUCCAGAAGCCACUAUUGGUAAUAAAAAAGUUCAAGGAAGUCAAGAAGUUCCUGAUAUGGUGACUGAAUACACUAUUUCUAAUCUACCAGAUCCUCAAGAAAUCCAUCAAGACACUCCUCUAGUUUCGAAAGGUGAUGUUGCUAAUAUCCCUACUGUUGUAAUUCCUUCGAUCCCUACUGCAAUUGAAAGCAUACCUGGUGAGCCACUUCUUGCUCCUACUAUAUCUCCUGACCCAGUUGCGUGGGAUAAAGGAAAAGGAAUUGCAGAUGUUGAGGGGGAGUCUGAAGCUGCUAAACAGAGGCAAGAGGACAUUGAUAUGAUGUUGAAACUUGGGCUAGAGACAAAUCCUUCGAGGAUACCCAUUAUAGACAGCACUGAAGACAGGCUUUUUCUAUGAACUCUGCUAAGGAUGAUGGAACACGAGGAUCAGAUGGAAAAAGAGCUGAAAAAAUUAUCUGUCUUCCUCCAUACUCAAGUUGAAACACUAGACAACAUAAUGACAUCCAUGGAGCGGACUCUUGAGAAUAUGCAAUAUUAUGUUCUUGUUCAAUUGCCUCCAGAACAUAGAAUGCCGUCUCUAGCUCCUUCUCCAGCACCCAUUCCAGACCCCGUGUCCAACCAACCAUCCUCUUCUAAAUAACUAUCUGUUUUCGUUAUUUCUUCAAAGUUUGGUUUGUUUUUUGUGCUGGUCUAAUUUGGUUAUGGAUUGAUGUUGGUUGUUUUUAUUUCACAUUCUAUUUAAUUGGUACUAUGGUUUAUGGAUAGUAUUGUGUUUAGAAUCUUAUCUUUUUUAUUGCUGACAAAAAGGGGGAGAUAGUGGUGGUCCAGCAAAACUAAAGUUACGGGUUUCUAAGGACUCUGAGCAUCGUAAAAACUAAGGGGAUUGGUUAAAAUUCUCUUGACCCUUAUCUUUUAUUUCAAUGCAUUAACAUCCUUAUAAUAUUUUCGUGCUUCAUUGUUUAAACUGGCUUUAUAGAAGCUAUUUAAUUUUCAUCUCUCGUAAAUUUUCUUAAAAGUUCUACUUGAACAAAGUUUUGUCAUCAUCAAAAAUGGGGAGAUUUUUGAGAAAACAUUCCCUUAGUGGUUUCGAUGAUUAAUAAAAUUUACCGACUUUGGAUUUUGAUUCAAAGUAUUUUUAAGGAAGGAAAGUUUGAUGAUUGUAAUUAGAAUCAUCGUUGUUAGAUGAUAUUUUUCGGAUUAUUAAUCAACUAGCUAGGAAGGAAUAAAUCUCUCGUGCAACGGCUAGUGGAAAAUUGAUUGGAUUACUUGCUACAUUUUGAAGAAGCCUUAAAAGGAAAGUUUUCAUAAAAAUCUUCAAGUUUCUAAACUUUCCUCAAACUUCGAAGACGAGCUAUUCUUUAUAAAUAUAGACACUCGACUUUUGGAAACCCAACUUGCUAUAUGGGUAGCAAAUAUUACGGGAAGCUUCAACCUCAGCGAUCCUCAUGCCAUCAGAUCUUCUCAACCAAAUUCAGGGCCAAUAGGUGGAUUGGCUGGAUAAUCCUCUUGGAGAUAUGUCCAACGGUCAGCUUGGACUAGGAGGGGUACAAGAGGAGGUCUCAAAGUAGAAGGAAAAUAAUUCGCUUUCACGAGUAUUGGAGCUUUGAAUUCUAAAAUCUGAAGAGUGUUUGUGAUCAUUUACAUUUGAUUCAGUGAGCAAAAUUGUGUAACAUUUUAGAGGUCGGGUGUGAGGAGUUAUACACACAAGCUUGAGUGUUCAGAGCUCAGAUCUUGUAACCUCUUAUCGGUUCUUAUUAGUGGAUUCCAACCAAUUGGUUGUAGCACGGGAGAGUGGACGUAGGCUUGCAAAAGCCGAACCACUAUAAUAUUGAGCGUGCAAUUCCUUAUCCCUUACUCUUUAAUUUUCUAAUAGAAUUGUGCACUAGUAAGAUCUGACCACUUCAUCAGAAGUUGUCUCAUUACAAUAUCUAUUUAAAUUACUUAGUUUAUGCAGAAUCACCUAUUCACCCUCCUCUAGGUGAUAUUUUAGCCAUAACAAUUAUAUGUCAUGCAAAUUUUCCCCUUGUUAUUUGUCUGCAUCCUGUUUAUUGUUGUUAAUAAUAUAUCGUGUUUGGCUUUCCUUGUACUCCUUUACGCUAGUAAUAUUGUAUGUUCUUUAUUUAGUUGGUUUUUUCCUCUGAUUUGAUGGAGUGAACUUUACCAUCCUCUUUAAUAAGUAGCCUCAUUUGCACUAGAAAAAUAUGGUUAAAGGAAGUAUAUGUACUUCUUCUUAUCUCUAGUGGACCAUUUGAUGAUAUUAUUACUUUGAUCAUUGUUUUGUAGAUUAGAAACACCCACUUACUCGUAUCCCUUAUUUUUUAUAGGUUGAAGCUAAGAAGCAAACGUAUAACUCUUUUGAUGAUUUGUUGGCCAAAUCUGAGAAACCUGUAUUAGUUGACUUUUACGCAACUUGAUAAUUUACAUCCUCCAUAGAUUUGAAGCAAUGAUACCCGUUCUAAUAAAUCUUCGAGCAACUUGAUUAGCAUAAUACUUAUAAUUUGAGCUUUUGUGCCCAGAUGUGGUCCUUGUCAAUUUAUGGUUCCCAUCUUUAAUGAGGUCAGCAUUAGACUCAAAGAUACAAUUCAAGUUGUGAAGAUUGAUAUUGAAAAGUACCCCAGCGUUGCUGAUAAAUACAAGAUAGAAGCAUUACCUACCUUUCUCAUAUUUAAAGAUGGGAAUUUGAGCAUUUUGUAAGUUUUAUCUUAUUCACCUUUGCUACCAUUUGAAAAUUUAAUCUACUAAGUUCUCAUAAUUAUCAUGUUAGUGAAGGCUCAUAAAAAAUUUUGAUACUGUGAUGAGAUGCCUUAGAUAUCCUAAUUUGAACAAAAACCUAGAGUCACAAGUUUUUUUUUUUUUUUGGCAAUUUCAAUAUUUUAUGAUGUGAAAGAUAUAGGGUCAACUCUGGAAAGAGUACUUGCAUUAUUUUAAAAAAGCGCAGACCCCCCUUGUGAUGUAUAUAGGCACUAAUGCCUCUCUCGUGACAUGAAAAAUCUAUAAUGACCUAUAAUCAGUGGACACCCUUCUCCUUCUAAACUGUUUUUGAUUAGGGAAUUCCAUCCCACUUCAUCAUUAUUCUCUCGCAAAACAUGGAAUAACACCAACAUGUUUCUACAUAAUAGCCGAUGAUAAUUAUGCAUAAACCGCAUAAGUCUUCAACAGCAAUCAAUGAAAGGCCUUCCCUUUGUAGAGCUUGACCGUCCUGGAAAACACAGCUUCCCCAGUUGUUAGGUUGCUGCAAUCUAUGCAUAGUGAGUGAUACUUUUUUAGCAAUAGGCAGAAGGUAUCUCCAUAAAUUUUCUGUGAAGGACAUGGUUGCCGGCUCAAUGCAAAAAUGGUAAAACUAAUGGGCAUGACUCAUGCAUUAUUCUGUGGUCUUUGAAUGUUAUUUAAUCUGAAAUUAGUUAAUUCUCAUUCACAAAUUAAUUGCAAGAUUGGGUUGUGAAUUUUUUCUGAUUUUCGAUUGCUUCCAACUUAUUCAGUUUUAAGAUGUUUUAGUCAUUUACCCUUACUUUGAUUGAGCUGUUUUCAAUUAUCAGGAGGGUGCUCUAACAGCUGAUCAGCUGAUCCAGCGGAUUGAGGAUUCGCUGAAAGUUAAACAAUAGUUUUGGCGAGCCCUAGUUAUUCUUGUAUUGCUUCCAUUGUAGGCAUAUUUCAUGAACACUGUCCUUUCACACCCUCUAGAAUUUUGCAACUUUCAUUCUAGAAUGAUAAUUGGUGGCCUCAGCCUUGUUGUAUGAACUUUGAAGUGUGCAUAGGAAGUUUUAUUCUCCUUUUUCCAUUUUUUUUCCGGUCCUUGAACAGCCAUUCUCCCAAGAGGUCAUGAUUUAUGGUAACAUUGUUCAUCUGUGUAUAUUGGGCUAAUUGGACCUAAACUUUAUGGGAAUUGGCAUGAGUAAAUCACAUCAUAACAAUGCAGAUUCAAGAGUCUAUUUAUUCUUGGGAAGUGAAAGCUAGCGUGUUUGCAAUUUGAAGAUGAUAGUCGGAACCUGAAGUUGAUGCAUACCAGACAACUUGUUUACCUCAAACUUUACUUUGUGGGGCAUUUGUUACACGCUACACUAUUGAGCUUUAGUUUAGGUUCUCUUGUCAUUUGCACCAGAUAAAAGUCUCAUUGGCUUACAGGUUUUUAUUGAUGUGUGCUCAUUGGCUUUUCUUGGGUGGUUGCGCAGUCAUGUCAUGCCAUCAUUUAAAUGGAUCAUGCUCAUAGGCAAUGCCUGCAAAACUCCUUCUUUGCCUUGUACCAUACAAUAUCUAGUUCAAUGAAUUUUUAAUCCGGUUACUCAUAAUUAAUUCGAAUGCCUCAUACCUCGAAACGCCCCUCCCGUCACUCUACUACUCUCUGUCUGGGCAAACAGUAGAGCGUGGUGCGCUGGUUGCGACCAUGAACCAAUUGGUUUUUGGCCUUAAUUACCCUCAGAUCAUGGGUCGACUAAGGGCGGGGACCUUGAAUUUGGGGUAGUGACCUUAGAUCACAAGUGCGGGGUGUGGAUGCAGGUGGGUGGCUGUUGGUGCGAGUGUGUGAUGGUGCGAUAAUGGUAGUGGUGAUCGGAGGAAUGUUUGCUGACAAGUUAGAAGGCACUCUGAUAGGAUACUUGCAUAGUCAGUUGACAAUUGUGAUGGUAGUCGAGAUGAGGCUGCAUGCAAACACUUGGGCGCAAGCGGGAAGGAGAUCUAUAAUGGUGCAGCCGAGAGGGAGGAUGAUGAAGGUGCUGAUCGUGACUAUGAUGGAGAUUGGAGGUUGGAGGAAGGAGACAUGGCGGUGGAAGAUUGGAGUUGAGAUGUGGCGUGGAGACGGGCAAUCCCUAGGCUGCUUGAGGAAGAAGAAAGUGAAGGAAAGGAAAUGAAGAAAAUAGAAGACAUAUCAGUUCUUGAAUUUUCAGAGGCUCAUCCGUCAACUUCUCAAAAGGAUGAACUUCAUGCAUUUUUUUUUUUUUUGGUAAAAGGUAAUAAUAUAAAGAGGAAAGGUCAAAAGUACAAAAAAUCACGGCACCAAAAACUUACACUCAAGAUGAAUAAACAUAAUGAGUAGAAGUAUGCCAUGACGUAAAACACAAGACAACGCCUAAAAGAAGGCAAACAGUAAACUAGAUAGGCACGGCAUGAACAACCGGCAAAGAAACAAACACCUCAGCGAAGGAGGAGAGACGUCGGCUCCAGAGUACUAGAGCACUAGAGCACUAGCAUUUCCUUGAAGCGUCGAUUGAAACCAGGGUCGAUUACGGGUCUCCCGAGAAGAUAAUGGGAUCGAUGCCCUAACUCCUUUGCAACCUUCUGUUUUUGAAGCUAUCCUCAACGUUUCUAAAGGUGCUAGGUCUAUUCUUAACCACCUUAAGAAGAUGGUUCUUCACAGCCGGGACGGUAAGGGGUUGUUCUCUGAAUAGGAUGCUAUUCCUAUUUUUCCAAAUAAUGUGACAAAGAGCCCCGAGGGAAAAGCGAGCAAUGCAUUUAGAGAAAUCCUUACCCUUCAAGAAAGAGGUGGCCCACUGGAGAUUCUCUCCCCAAGACCUGUUCCGCCAAGGUAGAUUGCAUCUCGUCGCCCAAAAGAAAGCAACACCGGCUGUGAUAGAGCAAUCAAAAAACAAAUGAUUUAUGGAAUCAGGCAACCCAUUACAGAACGCGCAGGAUCCCCUCUCUAUUCUACCAUGAGCCAAUAACAGAGAUUGUGUGCUGAGCUUGGCCAUAAGCCAAAGCUUAAGCUGAUACCUUGGCGUGAUUGCAUUAUCCCAAAUGAAAUCAUGCCAAAAAAUGAUGUUCCACUUGCUCCUGAUGAUUUCCCAAGCAUUUGCUACCGUGAACUGGCCCGACGAGUUCUCCCACCAGCAACAGCAAUCUGCUACUUGAGUAGGGGUUGGAAGAGGAUAAUCCCAUGACUCAAGGACUGUUUUGAGAGCUUGGCCAGCAUUAGAGAAAAGAUCUGCAACUGAGGCCUGUCUAGAUAAUUCUGAGCUGUAGAUAAGUGAGUCUGAGAAGAUUAAAUUCAGAAGUCCCCUAGGGUGCCAGUUGUCGAACCAAAGAGAGACCGAGCAGCCAUCCCCAAUCCUCCAAAAGAAGGCGUUUCGAAAUUUGCUCCUGAGACUUAGAAGCUUCUUCCAGGCCCAGGAACAACAGGUUGGCUUCCUAGCGACCCAAAAGUUCCUGUCCUUUAAAAACAUGGAAUGAACCCACUUGCACCACAUAGCUUCUUUAUCUGAGAAUAAGAGCCAUAUAUGUUUCAACAUGGCAGCCUUGUUGCAAUCUUUAAGCCUCCUGAUACCAAGCCCUCAUUCCUUCUUUGGAAGGUAUACAUUUUCCCAGGCAACCUUGGCACCCCCUAUACCUAGUUCCGGGCCUUUCCAAAUGAAUUGUCUGAGGAUUUUCUUAAUCUGAUCUAGAACAGCUAAAAGUAAAAAAAAAAAACACUCGCCCAAUAGGCUUGGAUAGCUUGAAGAACUGACCUAAUGAGUUGCAACCGCCCAGCUAGAGAAAGGAAGCGAUGAGCCCAAGACUGAACCCUCGCCAUGACGCGGUUGACGAGAGUGCAACAGUCGGCCUUAGUGAGCCUCGAUGUAAUGAUAGGAACCCCCAAAUAGCGAGCCGGCAAGUUACCUUUGUAAAAACCCAACUCAGAGAUAAUCUAGUUUCUUAAGGACUGCGUGCCUCCAGCAAGGAAGAUUUCACUCUUAUUAGGAUUUGGGAACAAGCCACUCCAAGUAGAGAAGGUUUGAAGGCCUUCUUUAAGAAUAGCUAUAGUGGGCAAAUUCGCCUCCGAAAACAAGAAGACCUCAUCCGCAAAGAAAAGAUGCGAAAGGCUUGUGGGCUUGCAUCUCUAGAAGAACUUAAACUCUGGCUUCAAAAAGUAUCUAUAUAAGAUCCCUGAUAGGACUUCCAUCACUAAGGUAAAUAAAUAAGGAGAAAUAGGAUCACCUUGACGAAGUCCACGACCACUUGCAAAGAAUCCAUGAAGCUCCCCAUUCAAAGCAAUCGAGAACUUAGGAGUGCGAACACACGUCAUAAUCAGCCGAUUUAUAAACUCAGGGAAACCAAAAGCCAAGAGCGCUCUCUCAAGGAACUCCCAAUCGACCGUGUCAUAAGCUUCUCUAAAGUCCACCUUGAUUGCACACUUAGGCAGGUAUGGUUGAAGAUGUAAGCCGGAAAAGAGCUCCUGGGCCAACAAUAUAUUAUCUCUGAUCCUCCUGCCCUUCACAAACGCGUUCUGAAAAGGGCUAAUGACGUCCUUCAAGACUGUUGCUACCCGAUUGGCCAACACUUUGGUAAUACACUUGUAAAUAGUGUUGCAACAGGCAAUGGGCCUAUAAUCCUCAACGGAAGACGCAUUCAGCACUUUUGGCACCAACACCAAAAUGGUGUUAUUGAUCUCCCUUAGGAGCCUCCCGGUGGAGAAGAAGUCCAACACUGCUACAGUAACCAGGUGCCGUACCAUCUUCAAGUUUUCUUUAAAGAAUUCAACCGUGAAGCCAUCUGGUCCUGGUGCCUUAUCAACUGAGAGAGGAUGUUGGAUUACUUCAUGGAUCUCCUCCACCGAAUGUCUAUUCAGCUGAGCUUGCGGCGCCAAGAGGUCUUGGAAGUACUUAAGAAAGCAUUGUUGGACCCGCUGCGGAUCAAAGAUACGGUUCCCCUCCGAAUCCUGGAUAGAAAUGACUCUAUUCCUCAACUGUCUCUUUUUGACUUACUGAUGGAAGAACUUAAUAUUGCGGUCUCCCUCUUUGAGCCACUUGACUUUCAACUUCUGCCUGAAGAAAUACUCUUCUAUGGACCUUAGCCUAGCAAAGACACGUCGAUGUUCCUUUUCCAACUCAGCUAGAUGAGCAGAAGUAGGCUCCUGCAGCAACUCCGCCUGCGUGGUCUCUAAGGCUGUCCUCGCCUCCGAUGUUUUGACUGAGAUGUCAGAGAAGGAAACUCUAUUCAGAGUCUUAAGUCAUUGUCUGAGAGCCUUCAGCUUACAUACAAGUCUAAACAUAGGAACUCCUUCCACAGGGCCUCCCAAACUUGAGAAACAAUAGCAUUGAACUCCGGAUGCUUCAUCUAGAAGUCAUAAAACUUGAACGGCUUUCUUCGAGGAAUCGGGUUAAGCACCUUAACCACCAUAGGAGUGUGAUCGGAUAUACUCGACACCAGGAAGGAAGCUUCAGAGUACAAGAAUUCAUAGCUCCAUUUACAAUUCACCAGAACCCUAUCGAUAUUUCUUGCCUUUCUGGCAAAGCCCAUUGAAGUUGUCCAAGUGUAUCUAAAUCCUACAUACCUGAGGUCUUCGAGUUCCGCCUGUGCCAAGCACUGUCCAAACUCGUUGAAACACGAUAUCCAAUCAUCAGAUUCGCCGACCCGAUCAGAUGGGUCUUUAAUUGCAUUGAAGUCUCCCAUCACAAGCUAGGCCGAGUUUUGCAAAGCGAUGCUUCUAAGAACAAGAUCCUCCCAUAGAGCUCUCCUGAGUGUGAAAGUGUGCUUGCCAUAAACCACUGACACGCAACAAGCCACUCCAGAGUCCAACCAUUUAAGGUUCCCAUGCACCGCUUGAGUUAAAAUAGAGAGAGCUUCAAAGCUAACCCGAACCGGGUCCCAUCCAACCCAAAUCCUACCCCUAGGGGAGAACUCAUAGUUUGAGAUCCAAGACCAAUCUCUCAACAAGAUCCCAGAGAUUGAAUUGAAGUCAUUUUGUGGAACCUUCGUUUCCAAUACACUAAUCAAACACAACUAGUUUGAGAUAGCCAAGCUUCGAACCUUAGCCUGUCUAGUGGGGUAACAAGGCCCCUCACAUUCCAACUACCUAUAUACAUAUAUACAAAGAGAAAGAAAUAGGAUUACCUCCUCGUCGGCAGCUUGCGCCGACUGGAAGGCGGAGUAGGGUGAAAGGAGCGAGGUGGCGAAUUAGGAACUAGAUCCAUCAACUUGUCUUGGAUAGACUUCACACCGUAGCACCAGGAGGAGCUUUCGGAGACGGGCCGAGGGGUAGCCUGAGCUGGCAAUUCGGUUUGCCGAUCCAUCCGACUCCUCCCCAAGGCUCACCGGCUCUAUCGAAUCUUCACCGGGACUAAUCGGCUCUCUUUGGCUGAGGGGGCAUGUGCUUCCGUCCUCAUAAUAAUUCGUAAUCCUCUCUGGACAUUGCGAGUUGAAGUAGAAGGUAAACUCCUGUGUACUGCAGUUGCCUUCUCUUUAUUUGUGUGAAUUUCAUCCCCCAAGCUAACCAGAAGUGCCGAGGCAAUUUCCCUAUGAAGAGGGUCCUUCUUCUUCUUCCCUUUAACAAGAUUCCAACCCGUCUCAGCUUGCCAAGGUCCAUUCUCCAACCCAGAAUCAUCAGCAGGUAGACAUGACGCAGUAGGAGGGGCGAAAUCAGUCUGCUUUUGCUAAGCCUACCUUCGUUGGCCUUCAACUUCUGCAGGGGCUUUCAAAACAGGAGGAGCUGGGGCUAGAGGCGUACCUUGGGGAACAGGGGGAGCAACGAUCGGAGCUUGCUGAGCAGCCCCUGCAGCAGAGGGACGAGCAGGGGUAGGGGCACAUUUGUGGCUGAAGAUGCCACACCCUGAACAUGCAGUAGGUCUCCAUUCAUACUCUACUCCCACUAAGCAUGAUUCACCAUUGUGAACAACUUCUAUAGCAUCACAACUGGGCUGCUUCAUCUGCUUACUGCACAAGUCCACAUAUAGCGGCUUGCUAACUGCGCUAGCCACCUUGCUGAUCCCUUGCGAAGACCAGAAGGUAAGAGGAAGGUUCCUCAGCCUAAUCCACACAGGCACAGUCAAAUGGCUAUCUUUCUUUAGCUCCAAUGUAGGUUGCCAUUGCUGCAAAACUAAGGGCACUCUAGCAAUCGUGAUAGGUGCCCUCUCUAGGACCUUUCUGCGAAAAUCUCCAUCAGGCACAUGGAAAAAGAAGAAGCCUUGUCCAUUAGACAUUACCUCCACCAGAUUCGGUCCCCACGCGUUUUUUAGGGCCAAUUUAGUUACUUUGAACGGUAAUCUCCCGCCAAUAAAGUAACCCACAAGGCACUCUUGCAGCUUAGGAUCAGCAACCUCAAGUAUAUCAUCAGAUAACUCAACCACUGGUUUGUUGUUGACAUAUGAAGGAGGAAAAAACUCCAGAUCAUAGCCCUUUGCAGCAACCUUAGCUACGCUGGCCCAAGUACGAGCAUUCGGGUUCUUGGACUCCUUCCUAGGCUGAGGGCGCUUAGAGCUAGACCUACCUCGGCUUCUACCUCAAGGCCCAGCAGGAGCACGAGGAGAUCGAGCCACUUAAGGAUCAUCGCUCAAAACAGCCAGAGACAAAGUAGCAUGUCUUGAAUCCUCCUUCGAUGUACCAACCUAAGGUGAAUGGCCAUGAAUGGGAGGAGGCGGGCUACGAGCACUAGGCCCUUUCCCAACGUUGUGGGCCAAACCCGACUUGGAUGCCAUCGCAGUAGAUAAAUCGCAACCACAGCAGCAACAUAUGAAGACAAACCCUACCCAAGCUCACACAUUACGGUCCAAACCUACCAGGGCAGUGCGCUAGUGAGAGAGGAGAGGGAGGAGUCCGGCGACGGCGGUGGAAGGCGGCCGGCACGACGGUGGAGGCGUCGUCCUGCUGUGGGGUUUGGUGCUGAUGCGAGUGGGGAGUCCGACGACGGUGGCAGGGGUUGCGCAAGGUCCCUUGGAGCGGUGCGGGCUAGGGCGGAGCCCUAGGGAGCGCUUGGCGACGGAGCUCGGCGGUCGAGGGCGAACCAUAGGGAACGCUCGGCAUUGAAAGGAGCGCUUGGCAACGGGAGUUCGCUUGGUGGUCGAGGGCGAACCCUAGGGGGCGCUGGGCGACGGCACUGGGGGGCAGAGUUCAGCGGCGGACAACGAAACGCUCGGGAGCGCUCGGCGACGGGAGGAGUGAGCUCGGGAGAAGCUUGACCCACCAGCGCUAGUGCGGCCAAGGGCGAGGCCCUAGGGCGAGCUCAGUGGCGGCGCUCGGCGGCGACGCUCGACGACGGAGCUCAGCAGCUGACGGUGAGCCGCUCAAGAGUGCGCUCGGCGACGGAAGAAAAGCACAUGAACUUCAUGCAUUUAUUUCGUAAAUUGAGAGAAUUGUAAUGUUUAUAUUAAAUAAGGACCUGGAAAACAUGAACCUCCACAAUUUCAUCGUGUAUAUUUAAUUUACAUAAAUUUGGUGAAAAUAUCUUUUUGAAUAAUAACAUGCAUUAGAAAGAAAAGAACAGUACCAAAGACAAUCUUGACAUUGUCCCAACUCCCCACGAUCAUUAGUGUAAACGGUUCUUCAAGUGCCCACCACGAAGCAAGAUUAAACGUGAAGAAUGUUUUCGUGGAAACCAAUGAAACCACGUUGACAUGUUCUGCUUUCCCAAUCUAAUGGCGAUUUCAUUUUAACUCGUUAUUAAAUUGGAGUUUUAGUCCCAUUGGAGAAAGAUAGGAGAAAAGAAGCAAGUCUACUCGUAUGCUACAUUGUUCAUUUAACAUAUGACUAAGGUUUUUUUAUAAGCAUUGGUCUCCAAACCUGCUAAACGGUGAACGAGAUGAUGUGACAGGUCUCUCUACACAAGUUUUUUGCUAAGUAAAUUUCUUCGAUCUCUUGCUAAGGAGGAUCAGAUGUUGGAGUAGUUCAGAUCCUUUGUAAUUCAGAGUCAAAUAGGUGUCUCAAUCCUUGAUAGUGGAGGAUUAGGGGUGAACAUACUCUUUGGUACAUCAAAGAACAUCUGGAGGAUCAAGCAUUAAUAGUACUCUUUGGUGUUUUCUCAAUGCUACCUCUAAAUGUGGCACCUAUAAUUUUAGUUUGUUAGGAUUAAACUCUUUUCAUUGCAUGAAAAAAGUUUAUGUACAUUCCGCAGGAAAGUAGCAAAACAUAUUUGCACUAAUUUAUUGCCCUUGAUAAUUCUCCACUCUCUUCAUUAUUUUACCAUUUAAUUGUAACUGUUUGCCAGGAAAGCGUUCCCUUGUGAAUAUCUUUCAUCCAAGCGGUAAGUUUUCGUUUUUUUGUUAUAUGAAGCGGGUUCUGUGUUGUUUCAGAAAGGAAGUGACCAAUGCUACUCUACGGAAGGAUAAACAGGAAAUAAAAACGUGCGAUAAAAGAUAAAUGUGCAAUAUAAAGAAAAAGAUAACCAAAAGACAAGUGCUUUUGUGAUUAUUGAUUUGUCAAAAGGUCCUUUACAAUUGUGUUCCUUUGACUAUCUAUGGCCUAAUUUAAGAGCAACCGCUCUUUAGCAGUCACUGACUUCAAUUUUAAAUUGCUUCUAGAGACUUCGAUACUGCCAAUAGCCACUUCAUAUUAUUCAUAGUAUUGUUAGCACCAAGCCUUUGAAAUCUUCUCCAUUCUUAUCUUCUCGUUCUCGAGCGGUUACUAAUCCCGAAUCCUUAGUAUCCCUGAAAACUAGCGGCCUUCUUACACACUAGGCUUAAUGGGCUCACCUUUUGCUCUAGGCCCAAGAAGCCAAUUUUUGGCACCAACAGUAACUCAUUUUCCAAGAAGAAAUACGUUUUAUUUUAGCAAAAUAACAUAAUGUAAGCUUUUUCCAUGUUCGUUAGUAGACAAAAGUUUCUAUUGUUUAUGUGCAUCUCAGAGAUAAUAUGAUAUUUAUGAUGCAUAAUAUUUUAUAUUUUGUUUAUGGAUUUUUACUAUGAUACUAAUUAGUUGCUUUGAAUUUGAUAAUUUAGUUUUACCUUUUACAACAAAUAAUACAUUAAAAUAACGAUGUAUUUAUGCUAAAAUAUUGCAUGCUCCAUUUUAAUUAUUUUUUGUUGUGACGAUUCGGACAUCGUGUGGGUAAACAUCUAGUUUUGAUAGAUUACAGCGAAUUUUUUUAUGUUCUUUUUCCUAAGCCAUGAAUACAUAAACUUUAAAUAUCAUUAAAUGACCUACUAACCUCAUAAAUCGAAAAACGCAUGAGUCUAAGUACAUGUCGAAUGUUCCAAAUUAGUUUGAUCUUAGUAAUCACGUGAAAAUGAACAGAUGGUGAAGCAUAUAUGUAUGUCCAAGUGGGUGCCUGCAUUGUCCGAUAUGAAAAUUUUCCGAAGUCAAUUUGUGGAAUCUAUGCUCUCCUGGGUGGAUUUCCGUUUCUGUAGUUCUUUGAGAGAGUUCACAUUACUAUUUUGCAGUUAAGGACUGUAGCAUAAACGGGUAAUUAAAGGGCGGUCUUCUUUUGUUUUAACCUCAUCUACAAUUUCUAUCAAGUACAUUGCCAUACUUAGAAUGGUCAUCCAUAAAAGUGAAGAGGUACUAUGGAAUUUGAGAAUAAGAAUCUCUUAAUAUGGAAGCAAAGGAACAGAAUCGUAUGAUUUGAGAAUGUCACGUACUUAUAUCAUAUUAUGCUAGUGAAGAGCCCGGGCCUCACCCGGCUCAUCAUUUAAAAUGAAGUACUUCACUUGUGAUCAAACAUUGAAAUUGAAAACCGAAAUAUCAUAGCUUCAAGGAAAUAUGUAAUGAAUCAACAUUUUAUGCAGAUACACUUCAAACAUAAUGCUCAACUAUUUUGUGAGGAUAAUGAUAAUAACCCCCUAUCAAGAGAUUUAACAGUUAUGGUUCGUACCACGCCAUGACUGAGUGAUUAUACUGUAUUUAGUUAUUUUUUUUUUAAAUCAUAUGGGAGAGGGAAUCCUAAAGAGGAUAAGAAAGAGCGAGGGAGUCCGCAAAGCAUCGGCAAUGUGUUUAGAGCCCAUUAAGACAUUUGAUAAAAAAACCUGUGUGUACCGUAACUUCGAAGCCCAUUUCCCAAUUCAACGAAUUCACAGGGGAGUUCCUCCCGAGGCAAAGACACCUACUUUUAGUUUUAGCAUUUCAGUUUUCUCGCCAUGAUAAAGUUUCAGUUAAUGAACUCUUUUUAUUUCAAAUCUCCCGUGGCUCCAUAAUUGUAAUUCCAGUUUUAUUCCUUGUAACACAAAACCCUUAUUCUAGUCAUUCACUUUGUAAGAGUAGAGACACCCCUUCUCUCUUUUUUCCUUCUUUCGUUGUCAACUUCGUCAAUCAAUUGCUGCGUCUUUACAUCGCCGAAGGAUAUCGUCAAGCUUUGCCACCGUCCACCAUUACGCAGUUCGCAGCUUGCCGCUCGCCACCUUUGUCUCGAUGUCAAGUCAUCACUCUUUGCCAAUCAAUGCUAGAUCAUUGCUAUGGAAGCCACUGCUGCUUGUGUCUCUUUCUAGUACAUGCCAUCAAGGGCUGGUCCAGGCCAAUCCCUGUCGCUGAUCUAUGAUUUGAGGUUGACAAUGGUAGUUGAAACUUGGGUUAACCUCAAAAAAGUUAAUAUCACGAGAAAUCUCAUGCUGAUAUACAUGUGACAAUUUUACUUCAAAUUAAUUUUUUCACUAUAAAAAAUUUCAAAUUGGUGCAUCUAUGACAAAUUUAUCCUUUAUUAGUUUUCGUUAAAUUUUACCGUCAAAUUGCUGAGUUAGAUAAUACGUGGUAAUUGAUAAGUAUAUUAAUUUGGGGUUUACCUUCUGUUUGUCGCAUGCUUACCCCUUUCGUAGUUUUCCGUGGUAUUAAUAUAAUUUAACGAAAACUAACGAAUGAUAAAUAACAAUAAUCAAUGUAACCAUGGAUGUGCAAACAGUGGAGAUCGAAAGGGAGCUAUCUCCUUGGAAGAAUAGCAUUGAUGGAUAGCCACUAAUUUGCUUUCCAGAUAAAAAUAACGAUAAUAGUAUUGAAUUCAUUGACAAAAUUGAAAAUGAACAUACGUAUAGUUUUUUAGCCUUAAGAGAUUCAAAGCAUCAGACAUUGAAUGAAAAAUGAAAUCCCAAAGUCAAGUGUUCAUAUGGUCAUUUAUUCAAUGAUAAUCAAAUUAAGUAAUAUAUCUUCAUUUUGAUUUGGGAGGUAGUCUCACUAAAUGUGUUCAUUUUGACCGGAAAGUUACAACCCAAAAAUUACAAACUUUUGGUUACUGUUAAGAUAGUGGACUUAAUGAAAUUGUCAAAGUAGUAAAGUAGUAGAGUCAAUGUAACCAUUUGGAACAUAAGUGUAUGACCUCCUUUUGUAACCAUCUAUUGUAGGCUUUAAAUAGCUACUUAUAGCUCCUACACAAAACAAAAAACUUGUUAUUUAUUUAUUUAUUAUUUUCCAAUUAUUGUACCGUAAUUGUAGUUUUUUAGAUAUUUCGUUGUUGAUCAAAUUCCAACGUGCAUCUUAACCGUAGUUUUCAGAUCUUCUCAUUGAUUAAAUUCCAACAUUGUAUCUUUCUAUCGUCACACUUUCUCGUCAAUUAAAUUUCUGCAAAGUGUUGUAUAUUUUGAUAUUGAUUAAAUUCCAUUGAAGUAUGUCUAUCUAUUUCCUCGAGUUUACUAUGUCAUGUCUAGAAUCGUCACAGAACGCAUCUCUUUAUAUAGAAAAUCAAGGAAUGAUUUUUGGUGAAAAAGAUUUCUUUGUCAAGAUAAAUUCUGGCGAAAUAGGAAGAAAAAGAAAAUUCAAUCCAAAUCACUAACAGAGGCACCCCCAAGGACCAAAGACCGAGAAGCAUCCCAACGGGAAACUUAAAAGGCCUUACCUUGGAGAGCGGUUAAUAUUUUGUCAUUUGGAUCACGUUGCUGCGGGGUAUGGUUAAGUUGGGCGACCUCUGAUGCCAGUUAGGCUUCACGUGAACAUUGGUUGCGGACGAUAUCGACGAGGUUAUCCUUGGUGUGCGCUUACCGGCUUGGUCACAGAAAUAUUGUUUUUGUCAGCCCACUGACAUGUGUUUUGUGCUACUUGCUUUCGACUUGGAUCAUUGUACUUUUGGCCUCUAUUGUCGAGCUGCACUCGAUCAAGAUGCCCUCUAUUAUCGAACUCCGCCCGUUCGCCCGCUUUCCAACCAUCUAAACAGUCCAUUUUUUAGUCUCUUAACUCAGAAAGAAUCAUAUCCAUGCUCUUACUAUGUUUAGAUUAACGCUGAAGUUAGCCUUCUAUUGCCUCUUUGAAGCUCACCUUAAUGACUUCUUUGUAAUCAGGCUCUAUAAUUUCCAUGGUGAGUGAUAUCUCAAUAGCUUUUACAAGCUGAACUCAAGUUUCUAUCUUGCUCAGAAAGUUUUUUUCAAUUAUAGAAGCUUAUGUUAAACUUUAAUCAUAUCAAAAUAUAAUUUUUCAAACAAAAACUAUAUUCAAAAUGAUAAACUAACAGUACAUUCUUUUUAUAUUUUCAUCAUAGUUACUUAGAAAGUUUGAAAGAAUCUAUUGAAUAAGGACUAAUUAUUAACAAGCAGUGCCCGUGUGUACCCUCUAUUGACAUAGAUGGCACUCUUAAAUUUCGUUUUUUCAGUAUGAUUGAGUUAUUAUAUUCUUUUCCUUAAAAAUACUAGUCUUAAUAUCACUACUUCAAAGCCAAACCAAAAUGUCUAGUGAACAUACAAUCUUAAAAUUAAUAUCAACAAACUCAUGAGAAUGUAACUAACGAAACCUUUAUUUUAAGUCACUAAAAUAUUAUUAAUAGCCUUUCCGCUAAUGGAAAAAGCAACUAUUAUUAAAGUCAUGUGGAUUAUUGUCAUUUUUUACAACCAAGAAGAAUGCUGCGAGGGUUAUUUGAGUAAAAAGGGUAGGAAGGGUAACCAGCGUCAACAACCUCUCGGGCAUUAUCAUAAAAGUUCCAUAUCUAUAACAGAAUGUUUGGUUUGAAUUAUAACUAUUGCUUAUUAAGCAAGCAUGUCAUCACCAUCCCACCAUAAUAAGAGCGGAGUAAAGUUAGGGUUAUCCCGUGACAUCCUGGAUUUUUACUUCUGUUUUUAAUUAAAUUAAUCGGGCAUUUCAUCGACGCGUCUAUAGUGCUAUUCUCAGAGCUGAUCACUCGUGAGAUAACUAGACUAUCUAAGGAAGCCAUUAAGGAAUUUUAAUGCAUUAGACUUGAGAGUUUGACCAGGAAUCGGCUACUCGACCGUGCUCAUCUGCCGAGGCCAUUACGACACAGUUAAAAAAAUUGAUUAGAGAUCAGAGAUAAGUCGGUUCGACUGAGAUUUGUGGCUAAACGUGGGUGAUUUCACUAAAUUGGAAAAUUCUCGCCGACUAGCACUAGAUUGAUUUUUCUGUCUUUUUGGUACCAUGUGUCCGUAUUUGAAAUCUUGAGAUUUUUACGACCACUGAGAGUUACCAAUGUGUCGAAUGGGUUCAUUAUGACUCGAAGAAAAUCAACCGCGGGUCAUUUGCACUAAAUUUUUUUGAAAGCAACCCAGUAGCCUAAGUCACGCUAAAAUUGCGCCGAAUUGAAAUUAACCGCGAAUUUGAAUCCAAUUUCAGAAAUUAAAAGUUAUGUCAUGUCACGAGUCAUUUUAGGAACAUUGACUCAGUCUCUGAAGAUUUUUUUGCAAACCGAGAUUUUGGCGGAAAAAGUCGAGAUAUGGCCGUUUUCGACCGGAAAAAUCAUAGGACCAUUUUUUAUUGCGAAAUUGGGAUGCAAGUGGGUCCUAGUGGCGAGGAAAAAUGCCAAUUUAAUUGUUGUUGUGAUGGUUGAAUUUUUUAAGGCCAAUUGAUGUUGGUUCAAGAAGGAUUUGGUGUCCAAUUGGAGAGAAAUCAAUGCAAAUUCGUAUGCCCCCUUGGACCCAACAAUUGGACUUCAAAGGCUUCUAGAAGGCAUUUUGUGGCUGCAAAUGGGUGAGGGAUCCAGCUGAAAUGGUGUGGGGCCAAGUCAAGGAGACAUGAAGAUAAGAAAAGACCAAGGUGGUCCCCCUCCCUCCUUCUCUUUCCUCUCUCUUUCCUCACCGUCGAGCAGCCUCCUCCUCCCCCUCUUCUUGCUAUUCGAAAUCCCACAAACCCAUAAUAGCAUAAAUAGAAGCCAGCAAGCCGCCGAAACAGCCAAGCCAGCCGCCGAACCGCCUUCGCACGCCGCUCGCUGCCCCCACAUGCUCGCCCGCUCGCGCGCCAGCCCCGCGCCUUCCAACCUGCUGUUUUGCUUUCACCGUGACCCCAGAACACCCCCAGGGCUACUAGAGCUCAUCCUGCCACCACCGGAGCUCCCUCCAUCGCCGUGAAGCGUCAUCCAACCCCGCCUAGACCCGGUUCAGCCGUCUCAGCCCGUUUCCGCCUCAACCAACUCCCGUUCAGUCCUCUCUUGGCCCAGAUCAGUGACUGAAGUCAGUGGGUCUCUAGGCCACUGUUAGGCUCAUUUUCAAGGCUUUCCCGACCCCGUUCGGCGGUCCCGCUUUGGAGUGUGUCAAGCCUCUCCGCCUUGCUGUCGUUUUGAUUCAAGCGGACCGCUUAACAAGUGAGUUUAACUCAUUAAUCCUUGCUUAGUAAGUUAAUGACGCUUAAAGGUUGAUUAGUUUAAGUUAAGCAUGGAUUAGGUGGAUAGUUAGAUUAAAUUAGCAAUUUAGUUAAUCGUGGAUGCAUGUUAGGUGGUUAGUUUAGUGCAAUUAGAGCCUAGACAAGCUCUAGUAUUUAUCUAGAGUGGUUCGAAAAUUUUCCGUGCCCGUCUCGGCUUUUUAUUAGGCUUUUCCAGCCUAAGUAUGAAUUAUCGGCAUUUAUUAAUUAUUUUUCGUAAUUAAUUAAUUAAUUAAUUAUUUUCCGAAAAUUAGACUGGGAUAACCGAUGACCGGAAUUUUAUGCUGAUUGCAAUGGUGUGAUCUGUUUAUUUAAUUGAGUUCAAAUUUGUGCUAAUUGUGAUUGAAUUGUGUUUGUGGGUAAUUAUCCCAAAAUUAUUUAAUUUCAGUAAUUAAUUAGAAAAUCACCGGGCGUCAGUUUACAUCGCCAAAAAUGACUUUGUGGACUGUUGAAAUUAGUGUGAUUUUCAAGUGUGAAAAUAUUAUAUUUUGGCUAAGGCAAACCGUGUACCCACACACGAGUAUUUUUAUAAAGUAUGAUAAAAAAAAAACAUAAUAAAAUAUAUCAGAUCAGUGGAUCUGGCAGCUUUUGGUGAGCAUAAUAAAUAUAUCAGAUCAAUGGAUCUGACAGCUUCUAGUGAGCAUAAUAAAUAUAUUAGAUUAGUGGAUCUGACAGCUUCUGGUGAGCUAUACUAUCUACUAUAAGCUUAAUGUGAGCAAUCCUGAUUAUGAUCGGACUUUAUAAAUAGUAGUGGAUGAGAUGACCGAGGAAUGGUCUAGUUGACAUGGAAUCGACUAAGUCGAUUAAUCAAUGAUUCGAUUUGAUUGGAUAAAUUGUUUUGUGAAGUGAUUGAUUGGAUAGUUAUCUAAACUGUAUUGACUUGUAGGAAGAGACUGAGGCCAAGGUAAGUCCUCUGACUCGUGUUUGUGCCUAGGUAGCCCUCAAGGCGUAUUUUCUUCUUAGUCGGGUCUUAAGAGGUUGAACUUGUUGAGACGUCAUCUCACCCUGUUGUGGGAUAACAUUUCAGGUCCUUAAAUGGCCGCUCCUCCCGAGCAUUUUGGACAACCGAAGAAGAUUAUCGAACAAAAGUACUACAUUCCGAUUCACGGGCACCCUGAGGGACUGGAGUAUGAACUGGUGAAGUCCAUAGUCUGGGUUAAUGCGGGUUUACCCAAAAAGGUGCCCCAUCAAUACAGGGCAUGGUACCGCCUGUUUCGUAAUGGACAGAGAGAGAGCCCCAUACCAGAAUUUGAGAUACCUCUGUAUGUGAUGGAGGUUGCUUUUGGAAAGGGCACUGCAGACCCUCCAGGUGGUUCGAUGGUAGACCCGGUGGACCCUGACCUCGAAGAUCCAUAAUCUCCUAUGUAUUCAGCAGUAGGCUCCAGCUGGAGUGUGGAAAGAGAUGACGGGGAGGACGAGGACCCGUAGUUGUUUAGAACCCCACCCCUGUCUUGUAGACUAUGUUUUAUGAACUGGUUUUAGGUAGGACUUGACUUUUAUAGUUCAGAUUGUAAUAUGUACAAUAUGGUUUGCUUUGUAUAUAUAAGUGUGGUUGGGUUUUUCGUUCGAAAACUUAUGGUCCUACUUUUCUAUCCCAUUGAAUUGUUGUCUGGGGAUUAUUUAUCUGCUUCCGCAUGCAUAUUAAAACGAAUGGGUCAGUGAUGCGUGUCGGGAUGGGUACGUGCUUGGAGGAUCGGGACAUGACAUAUCCUAUAGUCACUAAUUUACAUUCUAGAUAAAAAUAACAAUAAUAGUAUUGAAUUUAUUGACAAAAUUGAAAACGAACAUACGUAUAGUUCAAUUUCAUUUGUGGUUGCUCGCAAAAAAUAGGCUGCCAACUCAGACUCUUCUUCUCUCUUAUGGGAGGAUUAAGUUCUCUGUUUGCGCUUUCUGCUGCUCCGUUCCAGACUCCGUGGACCACUUGUUCUUUGAGUGCACAACGUCUGCGACUCUUGCGAUCUUUUGGGCUUCUAGAUGUAAUUUACCUUGGAAGAACAGAGUUUGGAAGGACAACCUCUCUUGGGCUCUCAAAUUCCUAUCCGGCAAAGAUUUUUUUCACAGUAUUGCCCGUUUCUCUUUUGGGGCUUUAUGCCAUUUCAUAUGGAAAAAAAGGAAUUCUAUCAUCUUUCGGGGUGACUCUUUGGCAAUUCCAGCCAUGAAGAAUCACUUGAUCAAGGUUGUGAAGGAUAAGGCUCUUUUGUUCUCUAAUGUUCCGCCUACUCCAAGAAACAAGCAACUCCAAAGAAGUCGGGGGUUCGAUCCGUCCAUCUUCAGCUCGGCGUCUUCUCCCUAGCUCUCCUCCAUCUCUUCACUCUUUGGAGGGGUGCCUGAGGGUCGUUGGUCUGUUUUUUUACUUGUAGUUUAGCCAAUUGGUUGCUACUCUGUUUCCUUCUCUCUGUAUUUUUUUUUUAUUCGGCACCCUCACACUCUCCCUGCCCCCACAGCUAAAGUGUGAGUUACGGUGCCAAAUUCUUGUUCAUUUGUCCAAAGCUUAAUAUAUAUUCUUACAUUUUACCAAAAAAAAAAAAAAAACAUACAUAUAGUUUUUUAGCCUCAAGAGAUUCAAAGCAUUAGACAUUGAAUGGAAAAAAAAAAUCCCAAAGUCAAGUGUUCAUAUGGUCAUUUAUUCAAUGAUAAUCAAAUUAAGUAAUAUAGCUUCAUUUUGAUUUGGGAAGUAGUCUCACUAAAUAGUUGAUUUUGACUGAAAAGUUAUAUCCAAAUAUUAUGAACUUUCAAUUACCGUUAAGAUAGUGGACUCGACGAAACCGUCGAGGUAGUAAAAUCAAUGUAAGCGUUUGAAACAUAAGUGUAUGAUCUCCUUUUGUAACUAGCUAUUGUAGACUUUAAAUAGCCACUUCAUAUCUUUAUAGCUCCCGCACAAACACAAAAAACUUGUUAUAUAUUUAUUUAUUUAUUAUUUUCCAAUUCUUGUACCGUAACCGUAGUUUUUUAGAUUUUUCGUUGUUGAUCAAAUUCCACCAUGUAUCUAAACUGUAAUUUUCAGAUAUUUGUUAUUGAUUAAAUUCCGAUAUUAUAUCUUUCUAUCGUCACACUUUCUCAUCGAUUAAAUUUCGGCAAAGUGUUGUAUACUUUGAUAUUGAUUAAAUUCCAUUAAAGUAUGUCUGUCUAUUUCUUGGAGCUUAAUAUGUCAUGUCUAGAAUCGUCAUAGAAUCCAUCCCUUUUUAUAAAAAAAAAAGGAACGAUUUUUGGUGAAAAAGAUUUCAUCGUCAAGAUAAAUUCUGGCGAAAUAGGAAGAAAAAGAAAAUUCAAUCCAAAUCACAAACAGAGAUCCCCAAGGGCUAAAGACCGAGAAGCAUCCCUACGGGAAACUUAAAAGGUCUUUUCUUUAUACCUUGUAGAGCGGUUGGUAUUUUGUCGUUUGGAUCACGUCGCUGCGGGGUAUAGUUUAGGUUGGCCGACCUCUGAUGCCAGUAAGGCUUCACGUGAACGUUGGCUGCGGGCGAUAUCGACGAGGUCAUCCUUGGCGUGCGUUCACCGGCUUGGUCAAAGAAAUAUUGUUUUUGUCAGCCCACCGACUUGUGUUUUGUGCUACUUGCUUUCGACUUGGAUCAUUGUUAAGAGCAUAAUAGUGUAAUACUUGGACUUUUCUCUUUUCUUGUAAAAUAACAAUGACACCGAUAAUUAUAAUAUUGAUGUGUAUGGAGUUUCAUCGUCCUCUGUCCUCAGUUUUUAUUUUAUAAUAGAAUAGUGACAUAUGAGUAACAGGUUGGCCAAACUUAGAAAAAUUCAUGGGUGCGACCGUUGACCAAAAAGCAUGUAUGAACGUUUGCAUCUCGCAUUUUGCAUGGAGAAUCUCUACAGAGAAACUCUUGUGUUUUGAAAGAUUACUCUCACGUCUUGCGAGAAUAUAUAAUUUGAUUUGAUUUAGUAUUUGAAAUUAAAUUGAUGCGGAUCAUCUAAGGUUAAAGGGUAAAUGCACAACAUGCAGUUACCUCAUGAUACUACCUAAGAAUAUUGGAUUGGGUACGGCCAGAAAAAAUUUGUCUAAUUUUUACGGCUACCGAGAUAGUGAUAGUUAGAGACCCACGACUGUACACUGUGACAGAAAGGAAUAUGUUUUCCGUGUGUUAGUAAAUCUGUUUUUCUUUUUUUCGUACGACGUGAUCAUUAGUGAGCUUAAUGUUGUUCAUUUUCAAAUUCUAUUUCAUACGGUUCCAGCCUUGCCCUGUCCUCAUCUUUUUGCCAUGAUGUAAACAUGAGAAUUCACUAAAUACGAGCAAUCAUCUACUUUUUGCCCCAUCUCAUGAGGACCGCCAAAUAAUUUGAACCCAUUAAGAUUCUAUUCGUUUCACGGAAAAUAUUUUUCAAGAAAAUAUUUUUCAAAUUUUCUAAUGUUGGUUUUAUGGAAAAUGAAAUAAUUAAGAAAAUCAUUUUCUGUUAUUAAAAAAUAUUUUCAAAAGUGGGGAAAAUAUUUUUCACUUUUCAGAAAGUGGAAAACAUUUUCUAUAACUUCUUCCACUCCACUUUCUUUCACCAAAUACAAUUUUCUUUUAUUGUUAUAUUUUUCUUUUUUUUAAAUCGAGUUUUUGAUCAUUUUUUUUCUUCCAUUUUCUUCUUCUACUUCCUUGACUGGUCGCCGACCACAGUGAACUCGAGCCUCACCCCACUAGAUUGUGGUGGGGCGAUGCCGAGCUUGCCCGAAUUCGCCAGAGCCUCGCCAACCUCUAGCAACCUCAGGCAAGGCUCAAGCCUCACCCAGCUUGCCGACCAAUGGCGAGGCCACAGCUAGCCAAUGGUUGAUCGCUAGCCGUCACCAUACCUAGAGACCAGCCAAGGCUGAAGAAGAAGAAGAAAAAUUAAAAAAGAACAAGGAAAUGAAAAAAAAAAUUAAAAAUUGAAAAAUUGAUUUAAAAAAUAAAACAAUAAAAAAAUAUUUAAAAUGAAUGCAUGCAGAAAAAGAUUUUUCUUCUUGAAUGGCGAAAAAUAUUUUCUAAUUCAUUUUCAAAUUUCGGCCAAACACUAAAAAAUAUAGUUAUUUUCCUAGAAGAUGACUUCCUGAAAAAUAAUUUCCGAAAAAAUCACAUUUUCACGAAACGAACGGAAUCUCAAAUUAUAAGCAAACUGUCUAAUCAACAAAGAAUUGAUGUACUUAAAAUAUUAUCAUGUUUGAGAAAUUUCUCGGAAACAAGGAUUGGUGGUAUCUUGGAUGAUAGAUACGUUAUAUAUGCAUACUUACAUCCAUACAUAAGUCGUGAGUAACACUCUAGAGUCUCUAUUGCCAUGGUCCAACUUUCUAAAAAGUUGUUUGUCCGCAUGUGCAAUAAUUCAGCCCCCCGGUCGUGUUUUGCGUUUUUUACUUUUACUUAAUUUUGGCCAACUUGUAUCAUUGUAGUUUUGUGGGGCCAUUACUUUAGACCUCUACUAUUGAGCCUGUGAAGUCAAUCUCUUAUGGGAUGACUAACAUUACCGAACUCCACCCAUUCGCACGCUCUCCAUCCCCGUCCGAAUGCUCCAUUUUUCAAUCGCUCGUCCCUGAAAGAACCUAUGGAUUUCACAUCGCUCGUCCAUUUUUCAGAUCUUGUCAAAUAUUUAUGGGGUUUGGCCAGUACACAUUUGGGCUACAUUUAUAAUCUGAAAGAUAAUGUCGACUUAUUGGGGAGGGAAACUAAAGACCCGAAUGCCAAGAGCGAAGAUGUGGAAGCAGGGGUGAAACGUGAAGAAGAAGGAGGAGGUGUACAUCGCACGAGUGAAGCGGUGAACUAGUUAGUCAAGGUGCAAAAUUUUUUAGGUGAGGCAGAGCAAGUUCUUUGAGAAGCUAGGGAACAUGACCGAAUCAAAUGUCUCGGUCAUUGUCUUCCACAAAAGUGCUGGCCAAGCUAUCAAUUGGGGAAAACAGUCAAUCAAAUGCUCAAUGAAGCAAGAGAGCUCAAGAAAGAAGAAUUUAACACUACGUUGCCGUUGCUUCUCCUCCAGUACUUGCGAUGCCUAUGGACGAGACCGUGGGGCUUGAUAUUUCCUUCAAUAAAGUGACGAAAUGGCUCGUGGAUGAAAAAGAAAUAGGAGUGAUUGGGUUAUACGAAACAGGUGGUGUGGGAAAGACCACCCUCAUGAAAAGGAUCAACAAAGACCUUUUGCGCGCAAAUCAUGGAUUCAAGGUCAUUAUUUGGGUGGUGAUGUCCAGGCGAGUGAAUGAAGAUAACAUUUGCAACGCCAUAAGGAAAAGGCUAGACAUUAAAGAUGAGAUCUGGGAACGAUGGUCUCGGGAGAAAAGAGUCCAUCAUCUAUUGAAAUUUUUGACCCAGAAGAAGUUUGUGUUGUUGAUUGAUGAUGUAUGGGCGAAGCUAGACCUUUCCAAAAUCGAAGUUCCUCGUUCUUGUCUUAGGAACGGGUCCAAGGUAGUAUUCACAACUCAGUUGGAGAAAGUAUGCUACCAAAUGAAAGCCAACAAAGCCUACCAAGUACAGUGCUUGACACUUGAAGAAGCCUUGGGAUUGUUCAAGAACAAUGUUGGCAAAUCGACUGUACAUUCUCAUCCAUAAAUUCUAGAGUUCGCCAAAAACAUUGUUCUAGAGUGCAAAGGGCUGCCACUAGCCCUUAUUACUGUCGGGCAAGCCGUGGCCGGUAAAGACGAUCUCAGUGAAUGGAGGCAUGCGCUAACAACGCUGACGAACAAACCACACAAGCUAUCAGAUAUGGUGGAGGAAUUAAACCACAUACUAGAGUUCAGUUGUGAUAGCUUAGAUGACACCACUUGACAGGCUUGCUUCCUUUACUAUUGUCACUUCCCUGAGGAUUACCCCAUAAUGACAAAUGAGCUAAUUGAACUUUGGAUUGGAGAGGGCUUGUUAGAAGACACUAAUGAUGUAUAUCAUAUGCGGGACGAGGGAGCAUCUAUCUUGGGGGCUUUAAAGAGGGCUUGUCUAUUGGAAAGUGGGCCUUAUCCAUAUGGAUAUUCAUAUGGACAACCAAUUGUAAAGAUGCAUGACGUUAUCCGCGACAUGGCCACAUGGAUUGCUUGUGACCACGGACAAAAGGAGAACAAGUUGCUAGUGAUAGAGAACGAAGAAGACAUGUCUGCGGAGAUGAUCUCCAAAUGGGGGGAAGCGGAGAAAGUAUCUCUAUGGGUAAAUUCGGUUGCAAAUAUCAACCAGACACCACCUAUGGGUUCCUAACUCGAAACUUUGUUUGUAAGGGAAACUAAUGUGAGGCUCGUGCCAAGAGAAUUUUUUGAGUCGAUGAUGACUUGUUUGAAGGUGCUUGACCUAUCUGACAAUGAAAAUAUUGAGUCAUUUCCCGAAGGGAUUUGCGAUAUAAUUAGCCUAUGGUACUUGAAUCUGUCAGGCACUUGUAUCAGUGAGUUGCCCAGGGAAAUCAAGAACUUGACCCGAUUACGGUGGUUGCUACUUCAUAAUAUAGAAUUAGAUAUCUUAAUUCCGACAGGGGCAAUUACAAGCUUACCAUUGAAUGUGUUUAACAUGUGGGGAUGUGGUUUAGAGAAGGAAGAAGAAGUGAUAGAGGAACUAAGGGACAUACAAGAUCUCACCGACUUAUCUAUCAUGGUGCAAAAAUCUUUCUAUAUCCUAAAAAUAUUCCAAUCCUUACAGAGAUGCAUAAGGAGAGUACAUAUCAGUUAUUGCGAGGACUUGACCUGCAUCCCGAUAAGUCACUCGUUAAAAGGGAGCGACAAUUUUUCGCAUUUAGAGAUGCUUCAUGUGACGUCCUGAAAUUCGAGUCCUUUGAGGGAUGAAUAAACGUGAAUUUCGUCAAUGCAUUGUUGGUUGAUCUCACUUGGAAUUGAUCACUCUUGAGAUACUGACCUUGCAGGGAAAGACUAAAGAGGACAGAACUCGUGCGACUAAAGAACUUGACCUGGGAAAAAGGACUUGACCAUGAGACUUGCAUGAGGACGAUCCUGUAAAUAGGUAGGCCGAUUUCAGGAAACGACUAGAUGUCGAUUCACGGACAGAACAUAAUGGGACGACGAGUGAUUCCGUUUACUAUUAUCGAGCUAUGACAAUUCUUGGUAAUCGUGUACUUUGAAAUAAGAAUCUAUCUUUCGCAAUUUCAUGUAGUCAAUGACGUCCAUGUGUCAAGAUGUCUUGAACGUGGUUUGGCACGAGUCGGUUACGCGUGAAUCCUCGAAGCCGCCUGUCAGUUUGAGUUAUACCAAAAUGGCAUCCGGGCGAAAUUGACAUGGCAUGAGAAUCCAAGAUUGGACUUCUAAUUUUUGGGAAUGUCCGAGACAGACUUUUGGAAGAUGUUAUUUCGACAGUCGACAGUACCAGUUAAGCCGAGUAUUUGGGAGAAAGGAUUUACAGAUCGAGGAACCGAGCCUUUAAGGACGUGGGCCGGGCAAGGCCAGUGUGGGCCUCAUGCCCAAGGUGGGACAUCCACCAUGAUAGACCCAAGACAAGCAAGUGAGCCCAUUGGACCCAACCGACCAAUUUACCUUCCGAGCCCAUUGUCUAACCUUGAGCCAUUUCGAGCCCAACUAACUCCUGAGCCCGUUCCUAUUCAUUUCCUAGUCCAUUUCUUAGGCCUGCCCUUCAUUUCAGCCCAAGGGUAGAUUGGGAAAUGUGCAAGGUGGAAAUGACCAUUUUGCCCCUAGAUAUUAUGAGCAAAAGUCAAAAGAAGAGAGAGAAGAUGAUGUCAUGUUGCAUGGGGACUUAAAGCAAGCAUUGAAGAUCCCUAAUGAGGCUUGACAUUCUGCUCUCCCAUCACUCUCUCCUCCUCUUCAGCCCAAGAAUUCGCAGCCCUCUCUCUCUCCUUGUUUCCAUUCCUUCAUUCUUCUUCUCCUACAGACCUUCCUCCAAAAACCUGAGUUGUUUGUUGCCUUCCCGUGAGAAUCAUCGCCCGUGCCACCCACCACCGUGCUCAGGACAUCCAGUACAUACACCCAAGGCAGCCGUUCAUCGAUUAGAGCCGCCGAUUGACCCGUCAGCCGGCCAGAAGCCACCGCCGGCCAGUCCGGCUGUCCGCGUGUGCUGUUUCGCCUCUGCAGCCAUUUUCUUCCUAUUCCGACCCAACCUCCGCCUAGCCUAGCCACCAGCUAGUCCCCCUUGAUCCCCAAGUGUCGCCGGACGCUGGCCAGCCACUCGCCAGAGCUCUGGCCAGCCUAUACAACCCUUCUCCUCCUCCGGCAGUCCAGUUUUCCUAUGUUGCAAAAGGAGUAUGAGUUAGUUGCUACUGUUUCAGCCUUGGGACCGCCUUGGAUCGUAGUGGUUGAGGUCCCCGUGCGUCGCCUUCGUCGCUGCCACUGCAUCCGUGUCACCAGCCCGCUUAACGGGUAAGUUUAACCCCUAAUCCUUCGUUUAGUGCAUAAACUUGCUUAGGGUUAGUUUAGUUAUGGCUAAUUCUAGUUUAGGGAGUUUAAUUUGUUAGAGAAAACUCCUUUAUUAUUUUGAAGUUGACAAAACCUUUCCAAAUUUAUAUCAAAAGAUCUCAAGACUUUAUUGUCAAAGUCUGAAGACCGACAGACCACCAGAUUUUAGUCUCAAAGUCUAUCCUCACUGACAGUUCCAGACUGAAGUAUGAAGACUUAUCCAAAUGUAGGAUUAUUAUCCAAAUGCAAGAUUAUCUUCAAGGUUUCAAUUCGUACGGUUAUUGGAAGACCUUAUAGCUGGAUUUUACAUAUACUUGAUUGAUUGUUCUUAUUGGAAACUACUCCGAUAUGAAGAUCUUUGAAAGGCGAACAAACUUAGAAGGUUCCACUUAUGGAAACUCAAGAUCCUAAUUUGUAUGGCGAAUCGGAUUGACGGGCCUUCAUCACAAAUCAUCUAACGACUCGAGAUCACCUUAAUUGAUUAUGUCCAACGGGUAGAUUGUAAGAUUUUUUUUGAAAAGUGCCAACGGUCAAGAAGGCAUGAAGGAGUAUUUAAGGAUUGAUUCUUUAGUUGUUCGGUACAGUUCUUGAAAGAGAAUUCCAAAGUCUGAAGCUUUCUAGUCUCUUGCUUUUUCAUUCAUCGAGCCAAAACAGUGUAUACAAAAGAGAGAAACUCUUAGUGAGACUGUGUGAAGUUCGAUAGAGACUUGUCACUGUGACAAUCGAGAUCACAAGCUAUAACAUCUCUUUUGAUUCUUAGUGGAAUCCAACCAACAGGCUGUCAGCAAGGAGAGUGGACGUAGGCUUGAUCUAAGCCGAACCACUAUAAACCCUGUGUUCAUAUUCUCUUUUCCCUGAACUCAUUACUUUCAUUUAUUGAGUGUUUAUUUGUUCAAAGUUGAAAUACGUUUAAUGUUUAUCGUCUUCUAAAAGGGAAAAUUACUUUUACCAAGUCCUACGAAAAUUAUUAUACACACCUAUUCACCCCCCUCUAGGUGUAUUCACUAGCCCUUUCAAUUGGUAUUAGAGCUUGUGUGCUUAUUCUGUUGAUGUGUCUUUACUUCUUAAGCUAAAGAUUUAUGACUAGUAUUUUGGCUCUAGGACUGGUUGAAGGCCAAAGCAACACCAGACCUCUUUACUUUGAUGAGAAGGAAUACAACGUAUGGAAAAACAAGAUGAAAGCAUUCCUAAGAUCGAAAGAUCCCCUGUAAUGGGAUGUGGUAGAAAAAUGGAUUAUUCCUAAAGUCACAUCGACUUCAGAAAGAGGAAAGGAAGUUGAGGAUAUUGGCGAAAUGACACAAGUAGAAAUAACCAAGAGACAAGCUAUUGAUGCUAAAGCCAUUUAUUCCUUAUAUUGUGCUUUAUCUCCUACUGAAUAUAAUAGAAUUUUAUCUUGUGAAACAGCAAAAGAAGUCUGGGACAGGUUGCACCUUACCUACAAAGGAACUGAUCAAGUUAAAGAAACAAAGAUCAAUAGUCUACUCGGACAGUAUGAAGCCUUCAAAAUGAAGCCAGGAAAAUCCAUCACCGAUAUGUUCAGUCGUUUCACAGAGAUUGUAAACGGUCUUGCAUAUCAUGGACAACCAAUUUCUGGACAUAUGAAAGUCAACAAAUUGCUGCGAGGACUCUCUAAAGACUAGAAUCACAUAAAGACUUAAAUAAGAGAUACCCAAAGGAUCUGCCUCUCUCAAUGGAUGAACUAGUGGGCAUACUUCAAUCUUAUGAAGUUGAACAAAUCAAUGAGGAAGAAGAUCCCAAAGGUAAGAAGUCAAUUGUUUUAAAAUCUAAUGAUGAUUCUGAUGAUACAGAUUCAGAAGAUAACCUGGACGAUGAAGAGCUAGCACUCAUGAUUAGGAAGUUCAGAAAGUUAAACAGAAAAGGAAGAAAAUUCAACUGGAGGAAGCAGAGUACUCAAAGAUUUCAGAAUAAAUCAACUGGAGACAAUGAGACCAACAAAGAUGUGAUUUGCUUUGAAUGCAAGAAAAAAUGACACAUCAGACAUAAUUGCCCUCUAUUGAAGAAAAAGAAGGGAAAUACAGAGAAAUUCAAAAAGGCUCUCAAAGAAAAGACAUGGAGCGACACUGAAUGUGAAGAGAGUGAUGAAGAAUAUGCCAACAUCUGUUUAAUGGCAAAUUCAUAAUUAGACUCAGAUUCUAAAACUGAUUCAAACUCAGAUUCAGACAAGAAAAUCGAGGUUAAUAAUUUUAAAAUUCCUGCUAAAGUCUCAAAAUAUAUUGAUGAACUCUGUCUUAGUCUCAAGAUAUCUCUUACAAGAAUUUCCGAACUAAAGAAGGGAAAUUAUAAACUGAAGCAACAGGAAAUUUCUUAGAAAGAAAAUUUUGAAAAUCUAAACAAAAAUUUUGUUGUUUUGAAAGAAAAUGUAAAUUCUCUUUCAAAGGAAAACAUCUUUUUGAAAGAAGAUAUUUCAAAUAUCUCAAAAAGGUUUUCGAAAGGAUAUGAGAAACUAGAUAAAAUUCUUUCAAUACAAAGACCUUAUUUCAACAAAUCAGGUUUAGGAAUGACACUAGAAACUAUUCCUUUAAUUGAUUUUCCAAAAGUAAAAGAAAGAAUCAGACAAAGACCUACAAAAAUCUUUUACAAAAAUCACUUUCAAAAAGUUUUUGUAAAACCUGUUGGUCGAAGUGCUCUCAAAUGUUCAAAGUGUAACGGCUCAAAACAUUUCGAGAAGGAUUGUCCUAAAGUUUGGAGACCUGUUAAGAGAGAUUGGGCAAAAACUGUUUUUGGAGCUAACUCCCCUAGACCCAAGAAAAUGUGGGUACCAAACAAAACUUGAAAUCUUCUUAUAACUGCAAGUCACUAUCAAGAAAAAGAUCAAAUGGUAUUUGGAUAGUGUUUGUUCGAGACAUAUGACAGGAGUUCAAGCUGUUUUAUAAAGCUUAUUCAAAUAAAUGGUGGAAAAGUCUCUUUUGGUGAAAAUAGUAAAGGAAGGAUCGUUGGAUGUGGAACUGUGAAGAUUGGAAGUCUUCAAAUUAACGUCUCCUUGGUGGAAGGCUUGAACUAUAAUCUGCUCAGCAUAAGUCAACUAUGCGAUACUGGAUUCAAAAUCAACUUCCAAGAAGGCAUUUGCUUAGGAACUAGUAAAGAUUUGUCUCAAUCUUUUACUGGACGAAGACAUGGAAACAUCUACCUACUGGAUAUAAAACCAGAAAGCUCUCAAUGUUUAAUUUCUAUUCAAGAUGAAGAAAAUCUUUGGCAUCGAAAGCUUGGUCAUGUCAAUAUGAAGCAGAUAGCCAAAAUUUCCUCUAAGAAACUUGUUCGUGGACUGCCCAAUUUGAAUUAUCAAAAAUCUGAAUUAUGCGCACCAUGUGUUUUGGGAAAAUAGGUUAGAAGUUCUUUUAAACCUAUAAAUCAAGUUUCUACUAAUCGAGUUUGCAGGUUCUGCAUAUGGACCUUUUUGGACCAACCAAAACUCAAAGUAUUGGUGGAAAGAAAUACUGCUUAGUAANNNNNNNNNNNNNNNNNNNNNNNNNNNNNNNNNNNNNNNNNNNNNNNNNNNNNNNNNNNNNNNNNNNNNNNNNNNNNNNNNNNNNNNNNNNNNNNNNNNNACUUUACAUGGGUAUCCUCUUGGCAAGUAAGUCUGAAGCAUUUUCUCAUUUUCAAAUUUGCUAGAAAUUCAGAAUGAGAAAAAAUAUGCUAUACAAGCAUACGAUCAAACCAUGGAGGUGAGUUUUAAAAUUAAGACUUUGCAAAUUUUUGUGAUAAAUUUGGUUUACAGCGUGUUUUCUCGUCACCAUAUACUCCAGAGCAAAAUGAGGUUGUGGAAAGAAAGAAUAAAUCUCUGCAGGAAAUGGCAAGAACACUCUUGAUUGAGAGUUGUGUAUCCUCUCGUUUUUGGGCUGAAGUAGUUUCUACAGCUUGUUAUAUUAUUAAUAGAGUAUUUUUUAGGCCUAUUCUAGAGAAAACUCCUUAUGAAGUGUUUAAAGGAAAGAAGCAAAAUGUUUCUUCUUUUCAUGUGUUUGACUGUAAAUGUUUUGUUUUAAAAAAUGCAAAUGAUCGAACUGGUAAAUUUGAAGAAAAGUCAGACGAAGGUAUUUUUCUCGGCUACUCAACGUCAAGCAAAGCUUACAGAGUAUUCAACAAAAAGACCUAGUCUGUGGAAGAAUCUAUGAAUGUCAAGUUUCAAGACUCUACAUAGAAUCAAAUAGUAGAGACUCAACAUGAAGAGACUGAACCUGCUCGAUAUGUCAUAAAGUCUACUUUCCCCGCAGAAGUUCAGACUUCUGAAAUUCAACAACAGGAAAAACUAGAAGAUUCAACUAAAGCAGAGGAUGAGCAGACUCACAAACCAACCAGCAAUUGGAAGCAUAAGUCUAUUCACCCCUAAGAACUCAUCAUUGGCAACAUUGAUGAAGGAAUUCGUACCAGAUCCAAAAGGCGAGAAGAGUCUAGUGCUUUGGCACUUAUUUCUGAAGUUGAACCCAAAAAUAUAGAAGAAGCUUUGGCUGAUGAAAGCUGGAUUGAAGCUAUGCAAGAAGAACUUAGACAGUUCAGCAUCAACGAUGUUUGAGAACUAAUCUCCAAACCAAAAGGUAAGUCCAUUAUAGGAACUAAAUGGGUUUUCAUGAACAAAGUGGACGAGAAAGGAAAAGUGAUCAAGAACAAAGCAAGACUCGUGGCCAAAGGAUAUACACAAGAAGAAUGGAUAUACUAUGAUGAGACCUAUGCACCAGUAGUAAGGUUAGAAGCAAUUAGACUACUACUUGCUUUUGCUUGUUAUAAAAGUUUCAAGUUAUUCCAAAUGGAUUUAAAAAAACGCAUUCCUAAAUGGAUUUAUCCAAGAAGAAGUCUAUGUGGAACAACCACCUGGUUUUGAAGAUCCAAGAAAAGCCAAACUCAGUCUACAGACUGAAAAAUGCCCUAUAUGGAUUGAAGCAAGCACCUCGAGCCUGGUAUGAAAUGUUGAGUAAUUUCUUAACUCAAAAUGGAUUUGUUAAAGAAAAAGUAGAUACUACCUUGUUUAUUAAAAGAGAAGGUAAAGAUUUUCUACUCGUUCAAAUUUAUGUUGAUGAUAUUAUCUUUGGAUCACCUAAUGAAAGUUUAGCAAGAAGUUUUCUAUAUGCAUGCAGGAUGAAUUCGAAAUAAGUAUGAUGGAUGAGAUAAAUUUCUUUCUGGGAUUACAAGUAAAACAGUCAAAGGAAGGGAUUUCGUUCACCAAGAAAAGUAUGCGAAAGAUCUCAUCAAGAAAUUUCGAUUGGAAAACUGCAAAAAGACAGAGACACCUAUGUUAAGUUCUUCAAAAAUGGAUAAAGAUGAAGAAUGAAAGAAUGUGGACCAGAAGCUAUACAUGAGUAUUAUUGUAUCACUUCUUUACCUUAUUGCAUCUAGACCUGACAUUUUGUUUAGUGUUUGUAUCUAUGCUAGAUUCCAAUCAAAUCCCAAAGAAUCUCAUCUCAGUGCAGCAAAGUGAAUCAUCAAAUACGUUGCAACCACUCCAAACAUAGGAUUGUGGUAUCCCAAAGAAUGAGACUUUACUCUCCUUGGAUAUUCAGAUGUAGAUCUUGCAAGAUGCAAAGUGGAUAGAAAAAGUGCUUCUAAUACAUGUCAAUUGCUUGGAAACAAGCUAGUAUCAUGGUUUUCAAGAAAACAGAGUACUGUAGCUCUUUUAACAGCUGAAGCGGAAUAUGUAGCACUUGGAAGUUGUUGUUCUAAAAUCUUAUGGAUGAAGCAACAGCUAAGAGAUAUUGAAAUUGAAGAAUCAUGCACCGAAAUCAAAUGCAACAACACAAGCGCCAUUAAUCUCACAAAGAAUCCAAUUCUUCAUUCAAGGGUAAAGCAUAUAGAAAUACGUCAUCAUUUUAUUAGAGAUCAUGUUCAGAAUGGAGAAGUUAUGAUUCAAUUCAUUGACUCGAAGAAUCAACUGGCGGACAUAUUUACAAAGCCACUGGAGAAAAGCUUAUUUGAGUCUAUUCAUGCAAGACUGAACAUUCUAUUUUUUGCCGGGUAAAGUCUGAAGGUAUUCAGACUCAGAAUUUCCAAAUGUUACGACUGUAAGUAAAUUUCUUCUAAAUUGAAUGUAAAGUUAUUUUUGGAUAAAAUUUCAAAAAGGUACAUUAUCCUUUUAAUUGCUUUUUGCCUAUCUCAUUUUUAGAAAUUAUCUUUAUUGACGAUAUUUUAAUUUUCAAAAAGGCAGUUAUUAUUUUUGAAAAGAUAGUUUAUCAUUUUUCAAAAAAGGCAAUUUUUACUUUUUUUUUAUGACGUUUUGUAUACCUGCUUUAUAUAUUGUCGAAACUCUUCUUCUCCAUCUACGCCUUUCUUGAAACCUUUGAAUAAUGUGAUCUUACUCUCUCUCAUUUUUGCUUGAGUUUAAUCCAAAAAGCUUUCACCCUUUCAACGAACGAGUUCAAGAAAUUCCCCUCAACUGCUACAAUGGCUUACCAAAGAAAGUCUUCGAGAAUUGCAAGCCGGGGACCACAGUGAAAGGGCUAGUGAAUACACCUAGAGGGGGUGAAUAGAUGUGUAUAAUAAUUUUCGCAUGACUUGGUAAAAGUAAUUUUCCCUUUUAGAAGACGAUAAACAUUAAACGUAUUUCAACUGUGAACAAAUAAACACUCAAUAAAUGAAAGUAAGGAGUUCAGGGAAAAGAGAAUAUGAACACAGGGUUUAUAGUGGUUCGGCUUAGAUCAAGCUUACGUCCACUCUCCUCGCUGACAGCCUGUUGGCUGGAUUCCAUUAAGAAUCAAAAGAGAUGUUAUAGCUUGUGAUCUCGACUGUCAUAGUGACAAGUCUCUAUCGAACUUUCACACAAUCUCACUAAGAGUUUCUCUCUUUUGUAUACAAUGUUUUAGCUCCAUGAAUGAGAAAGCGAGAGACUAGAAAGCUUCAGACUUUAGAAUUCUCUUUCAAGCACUGUACCCAACAACUAAAGAGUCAAUCCUUAAAUACUUCUUCAUGCCUUCUUGACCGUUAGCAUUUUCCAAAUGAAUUCUUCCAAUCUACCCGUUGGACAGAAUCAAUUAAGGUGAUCUCGAGUCGUUAGAUGAUUUGUGAUGAAAGCUUGUCAAUCAUGUUCGUCCAUACAAAUCAGGAUCUUGAGUUUCCAUAAGUGGAACAUUCCAAGUUUGUUCGCCUUUCAAAGAUCUUCAUAUCGGAGUAGUUUCCAAUAAGAAUAAUCAAUCAAGUAUAUGUGAAAUCCAGCUAUAAGAUCUUCUAAUAGCCAUACGAAUUGAAAUCUUGCAUCUGGAUAAUAAUCCUACAUUUGGAUAAGUCUUCAUACUUCAAUCUGGAACUGUCGGUGAGGAUAGACUUUGAGACUAAAAUCCGGUGGUUUGUCGGUCUUCAGACUUUGACAGUGUCUUCAAGCUUUUUCAGAGACUCCUUGAGUUGAAGUAAGGUCCUCACCCUUUACAAUUUCCUGCAUUUGAAGCUUCAGGGCUUGAAUCUGUUCUUGGACAGAGUCUACUAUUGUCUUGAAAACUAUCAUCAUGUUCUUCAUCUCAAACUCGAAAGCAUAUUGCUGUCCCUUUAAUUCCAAAAGAAGUUCCAUCACUCUCUGAAAAUCUAUUGAGUGAUCUGGAGUAGUGUUGGGUCCAGCCAAAUCAGUUACAGGAGUUUGAAAAUGAGGGGGAACAUCAAUUGUUCUAUCACCAUGACUAGGAGUGUAUGCCUCAAAAUCUGCUUCAGGGAAUUGAGAGGCAUAGAUUUCUUCUGCAUCUGGUGGAGAUCUGCUAACAUCACUAGCAAAGAUGGGUGAAGAAGUACCUCGUUUCUCACCAUCUCCCCUUGUCUUUGUGCCUUCAGGUGGAGAAAUAUGUUCUUCUUCAUGCUCUGCUUCAGCACUGUAGCGAUGUUGUUCUCCAGUCUUUUCACUCCUUGUCUUCUUCGAAUCAUCGGACAAAGAUGCAACCAGUGUUGGUUCAAAAGAGUCAUCGCGACUCCUCUCUUCUUCGCUUCUUCUUCUUUCUUUUCCUUCUCUUUCUCCUCCUUCUUCUUCUUCUUUUCUCAUUUCUUCUCUUUCUUCGUCUCUUCUCUCUAUUUCCCUAUAGCUCACAAAACUUUGUAGACUUCGCAAGGCAAGAUCUAAGAUAGUUAGAUCAUCAUCAUCUUCAUCUUCAUCUUCCAAGAUAAGAGAUCUUCUUUUCUUCAUAGGGUCCUGUCAUAAGCUCCUUGCCUUUCCUUUUCCUUGCAGCAGAGUCUUGCUUCGCUUUCACAGGGGACUAAUAACCAUUGGAGCAAUGGUUCUAACACAAAGAGGAGCAGGAAGUUUGAUAUUGAAAUGCUUGAAGAGUUGAGAGAUAAGCGCAGUAUAAGGAAGUUGUCCCUUGUCUUUCACCACAGUCCUAUACAUGUACAUAAGAAUUGUGUGAGGCAGAGAGAACUUACGACUAGUGUUGAUCGCGUACAUUUGUGACACCCCUCGACGGCCCCCGAUCCAUUAGGGUCGCCACAGUUCGCUUACCUUUCACUUUCCCUUAUAAUUCGUCACUCUGAUACCAUUUCAAUUGCAGCAGGUCCAUACAACCUGGGGGUUUACAUCUUUUAGAUCGGUCCCUUGCGCAAUUCAUAUAACGGAAGCAUAUCCAACAACUCCCUUCCUUAUAUUCAGAAAACGAUGCACAUUAACUAAACAUUUAUAGGUAAAAGCCGAACACUUUUAUUUACUUAAACCAGAUGGACAUCAUUCAUCGGUACAUCAAAAUGUCAUGGUUUUCUAUACUUGGCUAUACUUCAAAAGAUGGCCAACAUCUCCUCCAACAGUCGUAUACUUAAAGUCUAUCGAUCAGUGUCGGCGUCCAAAAGUUCCUUCCUUUGCUAUCCUCCUCCUCACAGUCAUAUCCAACCACUUGAUCCAUCUAUUGGUGGCAGUGGCAGCAGAGGAAUCUUAUCUAGUCUGAAAUGUUAAUCUCCAAAGGGGUAAGUACAACCACUCAGCAGUAAAGAUCCACCAAACUACUUAUUGCAUCAAACAGAACAAUCAAGGCAUCAUAACAAAGCACAUAUCAUUCAUGCACUCAAGCAUACCUUACCUUGCAACCAUGCAUAUGUCAUCAUACCAUAUGUGCAUAUACCAUCAUGCACUCAUCAUCAAGCAUUCAUGCAUAUAUCACCAUACCAUAUGUGCAUAUACCACCAUGCACUCAUCAUCAAGCAUUCAUGCAUAUAUCACCAUGCCAUAUGUGCAUAUACCACCAUGAUUCAUAUCAUCCAUGCUAUCAAGCAUACAUCACCAUGAGAUCCAUUCAUGCCUUCAUGAUCGCAUUUUCAAUAUCGAAUAGCAUUAAUUUACUUUCAUAAGCAGAUCAUGCAUCAUGCCAUAUGCAUACACCCAUGCACAUGAUUCAUUUUCAAUUCUUAUCUUUCAUAAGGAUUUCAUCAGUUUUUCUUUCUAGGGACCAAUGUUGGCAUCCCACAAUUUAUCGCUCGCACCUAACCUGGUAUCGCGAGGAACCUCCGGACAUCCGACACCCUCACAUUCCGGGCAUCUUGUAUCCCAACUGGCAUCACGAGGUAUCCCCUCGGCACACACCUCCGAGGCUUCCAGGAUUACGUACCGACAUACCACCAGGCAUUCCCCCUGGAAUUACGUACUGUAUACCACCGGGCAUCUCGAAACUCCCGAGGACAUCCGGGCAUGUAUCGUAAUACAACCGGGCAUCCGGCACCCCCACAUUCCGGGCAUCCCGACACUCCCGGGGCAUCGUUGGCUCACACCUCCGACGGUCUUGUUAUUAUCACAAUUUAUAUUCACACAUGUAUCUCAAUUUCAACAUGGCAUUUGAUGCAAUAAUGCCAAUGAUUGGAAUCAGCCUUUUUAAAAUCAUAUAAUAUGCAUUGGGAAAAAUAUUAUUUGAUGCAAUAGUUUUGAGAAAUUUCAUUGAAUUCAUGAAAAUCCAUAAAUCUUUUGAUGUCAUAUGAUAUGCAUGAAUGUCACCACAUCAUUGCACGAAUGAUAAUCCAAGAUAUCACAAUUUAUAUAGCAAAUCAAUAACCUGUAAAUAGAACAGUUUUUCAGCUUAAACAGAAUGCGUGCUGUUUAUGAAAAAUUCUGGAGAAUUAGUAAACGAUGGAAAUUAAUUCUGAAAAUUUAACACAUUGUAGAUAAGAUCUAAGAAAACACAUUUUGUGAAGAACACCAUAUCAAACAAGGCUUCACAGAAUACGUACAGGUCCAUGCAUCACCGAAAAAGGAUUUUAACAUCAUCCAUGCACAGUUUUGAAAAAAAUUUCAAUUAAACCCUUAAAUAAACUCGGAAAAUUCUGAAAUUUGGAAAUGCUGUAUUUAAGACCUAGAAGUACAAGUUUCAUGAAGAAAUCGUAGUCCAAUUCAUUCUGGAUUAAAAGAUAAAAUCGAUUUACUUUUCCUAUUCUCGGUAUCAUUUUCCAGAUCUACCCGUGUUGAAGAAAAAAUCGUUUCCUUGGUCAUUACUGGUCCAUUUACUCUGACAUUUCAGUAUGUUGUUCCUCAAAAUAUUACCUACAACUUUUAUUAAGGACACAUUAUCAAAUUUUAACUGUAUGAUUUUAUAAAAAUCCCGAAAUUAUACUAGAUCGAAGCAGUGUUUUUCCCAGAUCCAGUUUCUUCAAAAGACAACGAUUUCACCGACCUAUUUUUGUUCAUUUCCUCUAAAUGUUUGAUAUGUUCUACCUCAAGAAGUAUACUACAACUUUUGUUAAGAGAUAAAAGUGAUAUUUUCACAAGAAGGUUACUUUACAGACCACAAAACCACUGAAGGUCAGCACAACGAAUUCCAGAUCUAGUCUCUCCAAAGAAAAAUCAUUUCACUGACCAUUUCUUGUUCGUUUUGUCUCAAAUUUUAGUAUUUUUUUCAUCAAGGUGUUCGCUACAACUUUCAUGAAGAAAUCAAAGCAAGAUUCCGACUAAAAAGUCACAUGCAGCACACAAACUCAUGGAUGGUUGGACUGGUCUUUCCAGAAACAGCAUGCAUAGCCAACGAAUCUCUCUCCAAAGCUCCGAAAUUUCAUCCCAUCUACCUCAACCAAGACUUGCCAUCUACUACACAUACACAGAGCAAUGUAAAGGGUAGGUUUUAGGACUUCACUUGCCUCAAAUUCGAAGGAAACACAGCAAGACAAGACGGGAGACGGCCUUCCUCUUCCCCCUCGCGACCCGCACUCGCCCUUCUCUCUCUCGCUCAAACUCUCCUCUCUCUCUCGAUCUCACUCUCUCUUUCUCUCGGUUGCUCCGCCCCCUUCCCCUUUCCUUUUAUUCUCUUAUUUGCUUGUAAUCAUUAGGUUUUGCAUGCAUGAGACACUUGACUCCAAGAGGAGGACAAGUGGCUUCAACAAGGAGACAAGUGGCUGCAUCAAGAGGACAAAUGGAGGAGGUGGCGUGGCCUCCAUCCGGUUCUCCUCCAUGGGCCGAUGAUUUGGGCCUCUUGGCCUGCUUUGGGCCCGAAAAUUUUGGGCCAAGUUGUCCCAUGUCCAAUUUAAAUAGCCCAUAGAAAAAUAUCAAUAAUAAGCCCAUAAUUCCUACACCACUUUAGGGCAUUUGAUUUUUAUUUUUAUUUAUAAAAAUCAAUUAACAUUCCCAUAAUCAAUUAACAUUUUCAUAGGGGGUUUGGUCCAAGAGAUAAAAUAUCGUGGCCGAUGAUGUAAUUGUCCCUAUGGCCAUUCAAAGACAAAUAUCGUUUCCCUCAGAAUUAAUAUUUCCGGUUGUCGAAAUUCCCAGACACCACAACAUUAGCUUCACUUCGGAACGAGAAACAUCCGUCUUUGAGGUAGACUUAGGCCUGAUGCAAUUAAUCACCACCUUGUGAAGAAGAAUAUUGGAGGCAAUCAUUCUUGAAUAAGAAAUCUUACCUUCGACCAUUCUGUCAUUGACAAUGGACAAGGUAGCACGAGCAUAAGACACACCAAUUGGUUGGAAUCUUCCUCUUUCCACACCAAUUAUGUCAGCCAAAGUGUCUACAUCAACUAUGAACUCUUUGUCUCUCGCAGUAAAACUGAAUUUAUUCGCAUCUAUAAAUGAUAGAUUUGAAUCAAAGUAGGCAAUAAGUUCAGGGUAUGCGACGGUCGUCUCGGUGCAAAAGUGUUCAAGUUGAAGCAAACUAAGUUUCUCCCUCAAAUUAACCUUCUAAGAGUCAAGCAAGUCAAAAUCCACGCUCCUAGGGUACAUAACCCCUCUUUUCAACAAACUCGAGUAAGUCUUCCUAUGGUCCUUGGAUCAAAAUAAAUUUGUCCCUUCACCACGAACUUUUGCAGCAACACCUAUCCUAGGCUAAAAAUGAGCGAACAUCCUUUCAUCGUCAUCUUUCUCUUCAAGCUGACCGAAUCUCGGAUCACUAGGAAAAUUUUCAAAUAUCCAUUGUGCCAAACCCUGAGGCGCAACUCCUAAUCUUUCCAUAGUGUUCAAAAAAAAUGUCUCAUUUUUUUAACCGUGUGCUUUUAAGAACUCAUCGAUCAGAUUCAUAGCAGAACCACCCCUUUUCAAGUUGGAAUACAGUCUGCAGAUAAAUUGGGGUUUUUGAGUCCUUACAGGUUCAACGUCUUCAAUAACCUCUUCUUGUUCUUGCUGUGGAGGAGGAUUGUGCGCUGCUUGUUGACGCUAUUAAGAAUGUUGUCUUGGUUGUUGCUGUUGUUGUUGUUGAGGAGAAUCUUCUUCCUCAGUCAAAUCGAAAUGCGUAGGUCCCUCACGCAUAUGCUGUGGUCCCCGGCUUGCAAUUCUCGAAGACUUUCUUUGGUAAGCCAUUGUAGCAGUCAAGGGGAAUUUCUCGAACUCGUUCAUUGAAAAUGUGAAAACUUUUUGGAUUAAACUCAAGCAAAAAUGAGAGAGAGUAAGAUCACAGUAUUCUAGGGUUUCAAGAAAGGCGUAAAUGGAGAACUUGACAUAGGUUCUGGUCCACAGUCUUUCCUUCUUCAUCUUUAUCCAUCUUUGAAGAACUUGACAUAGGUGUCUCUGUCUUUUUACAGUUUUCCAAUCCAAACUUCUUGAUGAGAUCUUUCGCAUACUUCUCUUGGUGAAUGAAAAUCCCUUCCUUUGACUGUUUUACUUGUAAUCCCAGAAAGAAAUUUAGCUCACCCAUCAUACUCAUUUUGAAUUCAUCCUGCAUGCAUCUAGAAAACUUCUUGCAUAGACUUUUAUUAGGUGAUCCAAAAAUAAUAUCAUCAACAUAAAUUUGAACAAGUAGAAAAUUUUUACAUUCUCUUUUAAUAAACAAGGCAGUAUCUACUUUUCCUUUAACAAAUCCAUUUUGAGUUAAGAAAUUAAUUAACUUUUCAUACCAAGCUCGAGGUGCUUGCUUCAAUCCAUAUAGGGCAUUUUUCAGUCUGUAGACAAAGUUUGGCUUUCUUAGAUCUUCAAAACCAGGUAGUUGUUCCAUAUAGAUUUCUUCUUGGAUAAAUCCAUUUAGGAAUGCUCUUUUUACAUCCAUUUGGAAUAACCUGAAACUUUUAUAACAAGCAAAAGCAAGUAGUAAUCUAAUUGUUUCUAACCUUGCUACUGGUGCAUAGGUCUCGUCAUAGUCUAUCCCUUCUUCUUGUGUAUAUCCUUUGGCCACGAGUCUUGCUUUGUUCCUAAUCACUUUUCUUUUCUCGUCCACUUUGUUCAUGAAAACCCAUUUAGUUCCUAUAAUAGACUUACCUUUUGGUUGGGAGAUUAGUUCCUAAACAUCGUUGAUGCUGAACAGUCUGAGUUCUUCUUGCAUAACUUCAAUCUAACUUUCAUUAGCCAAGGCUUCUUCUAUAUUUUUGGGUUCAACUUCAGAUUUAAGUGCCAAAACACUAGACUCUUCUCGCCUUUUGGAUCUGGUACAAAUUCCUUCAUCAAUGUUGCCAAUGAUGAGUUCCUUAAGGUGACUAGACCUAUGCUUCCAAUUACUAGUUCUUCCUGUUGUUGAAUUUCAAAAGUCUAAACUUCUGCGAGGGAAGUAGACUUUAUGACAUCUCGAGCAGGUUCAGUCUCUUCAUGUUGAGUCUCUACUAUUUGAUUUUGUGUAGAGUCUUGAAACUUAACAUUCAUAAAUUCUUUCACAGACUAGGUCUUUUUGUUGAAUGCUCUGUAAGCUUUGCUUGAUGUUGAGUAGUCGAGAAAAAUACUUUCAUCUGACUUUUCUUUAAACUUACUAGUUCGAUCAUUUGCAUUUUUUAAAACAAUACAUUUACAGCCAAACACAUGAAAAUAAGAAACAUUUGGCUUCUUUCCUUUAAACACUUCAUAAGGAGUUUUCUUUAGAAUAGGCCUCAAAAAUACUCUAUUAAUAAUAUAACAAACUGCAGAAACUGCUUCAGCCCAAAAACGAAAGGAUGCACAAUUCUCAAUCAAGAGUGUUCUUGUCAUUUCCUGCAGAGAUCUAUUCUUUCUUUCCACAACCCCAUUUUGCUCUGGAGUAUAUGGUGACGAGAAAACAUGCUGUAAACCAAAUUCAUCAUAAAAAUUUACAAAGUCUUGAUUUUCAAACUCACCUCCAUGGUCUGUUCGUAUGCUUGUAAUAGCAUAUCAUUUCUCAUUCUGAUUUUUCUUAGCGAAUUUCGAAAAAUGAGAAAAUACUUUAGACUUACUUGCCAAGAAGAAUAUCCAUGUAAAGCGAGAGUAAUCAUCCACGAUUACUAAGCAGUAUUUCUUUCCACCAAUACUUUGAGUUCUAGUUAGUCCAAAAAGGUCCAUAUGCAGAAGCUGCAAAAUUCGAUUAGUAGAAACUUGAUUUAUAGGUUUAAAAGAACUUCUUUCCACCAUCUUUUACAUCGUGUGCAUAAUUCGGAUUUUUUAUAAUUCAAAUUGGGCAGUCCAUGAACAAGUUCCUUGGAGGAAAUUUUGGCUAUCUGCUUCAUAUUGACAUGACCAAGCUUUCGAUGCCAAAGAUUUUCUUCAUCUUGAAUAGAAAUUAAACACUGAAAGCUUUCUGGUUCUAUAUCCAGUAGGUAGAUGUUUCUAUGUCUUCAUUCAGUAAAAGAUUAAGACAAAUCUUUACUAGUUCCUGAGCAAAUGCCUUCUUGGAAGUUGAUUUUGAAUCUAGUAUCGCAUAAUUGACUUAUGCUGAGCAGAUUAUAGUUCAAGCCUUCCACCAAAGAGACGUUGUUAAUUUGGAGACUUCCAAUCUUCACAGUUCCACAUCCAACGAUUCUUCCUUUACUAUUUCCACCAAAAGGGAGUUUUCCAUCAUUUAUUUGAAUAAGCUCUAUAAAACAGCUUGAAUCUCCUGUCAUAUGUCUCGAACAGCCACUAUCCAAAUACCAUUUGAUCUUUUUCUUGAUAGUGACCUGCAGUUAUAAGAAGAUUUCAAGUUUUCUUUGGUACCCACAUUUUCUUGGGUCCGGGGGUGUUAGUUCCAAAAACAGUCUUUGCCCGAUAUCUCUUAACAGGUCUCCAAACUUUAGGACAAUCCUUCUCGAAAUGUUCUGAGCUAUUACACUUUGAACAUUUGAGAGCACUUCAACCAAUAGGUUUUACAAAAAACUUGUUGAAAGUGACUUUUGUAAAAGAUUUUUGUAGGUCUUUGUUUGAUUCUUUCUUUUACUUUUGGAAAAUCAAUUAAAGAAAUAGUUUCUAGUGUCAUUCCUAAACCUGAUUUGUUGAAAUAAGAUCUUUGUAUUGAAAGAAUUUUAUCUAGUUUCUCAGAUCCUUUUGAAAAUCUUUUUGAGAUAUUUGAAAUAUCUUCUUUCGAAAAAAAAUGUUUUCCUUUGAAAGAGAAUCUGCAUUUUCUUUCAAAACAACAAAAUUUUUGUUUAGAUUUCAAAUUUUUCUUUCCAAAAAAUUUCCUGUUGCUUCAAUUUAGAAUUUCCCUUUUUUAGUUCGGAAAUUCUUUUAAGAGAUAUCUUGAGACUAAGACAGAGUUGAUCAUUAUAUUUUGAGACUUUAGCAGGAAUUUUAAAAUUACUAACUUCGAUUUCCCUGUCUGAAUUUGAGUCUGAAUCAGUUUCAGAAUUUGAGUCUAAUUCUGAAUUUACCAUUAAACAGAUGUUGGCAUAUUUUUCAUCACUCUCUUCACAUUGAGUGUCGCUCCAUGUCUCUGCUUUGAGAGCAUUUUUGAAUUUCUCUAUAUUUCCCUUCUUUUUCUUCAAUAGAGGGCAGUUAGGUCUAAUGUGUCAUUUUUUCUUGCAUUCAAAGCAAAUCACAUCUUUGUUGGUCUCAUUGUCUUCAGUUGAUUUAUUCUGAAAUCUUUGAGUACUCCGCUUCCUCCAGUUGAACUUUCUUCCUUUUCUGUUUAACUUUCUGAACUUCCUAAUCAUGAGUGCUAGCUCUUUAUCGUCCAGGUUAUCAUUUGAAUCUGUAUCAUCAGAAUCAUCAUUAGAUUUUAAAGCAAUUGACUUCUUACCUUUGGGAUCUUCUUCCUCAUUGAUUUGUUCAACUUCAUAAGAUUGAAGUGUGCCCACUAGUUCAUCCACUGAGAGAGGCAUGAUCCUUUGGGUUUCUCUUAUUGAAGUCUUUAUGUAAUUCCAAUCUUUGGAGAGUCCUUGCAGCAAUUUGUUGACUUUCAUUUGUCCAGAAAUUGGUUGUCCAUGAUAUGCAAGACUGUUUACAAUCUCUGUGAAACGACUGAACAUAUCAGUGAUGGAUUCUCCUGGCUUCAUUUUGAAGGCUUCAUACUGUCUGAGUAGAAUAUUGAUAGUUGUUUCUUUAACUCGAUCAAUUCCUUCGUAGGUAACGUGCAACCUGUCCCAGACUUCUUUUGCCGUUUCACAAGAUAAAAUUCUAUUAUAUUCAGUAGGAGAUAAAGCAUAAUAUAAGGAAUAAAUAGCUUUAGCAUCAAGAGCUUGUCUCUUGGUUAUUUCUGCUUGUGUCAUUUUGCCAGUAUCCUCAACUUCCUUUCCUCUUUCUAAAGUCGAUGUGACUUUAGGAAUAAUCCAUUUUUCUACCACAUCUCAUUCUAGGGGAUCUUUCGAUCUUAGAAAUGAUUUCAUCUUGUUCUUCCAUACGUUGUAUUCAUUCCCACUAAAGUAAGGAGGUCUGGUGUUGCUUUGGCCUUCAACCAAUCCUAGAGCCAAAAUACUAGCCAUAGAUCUUUAGCUUAAGAAGUAAAAAUACUUCAACAGAAUAAGCACACAAGCUCUAAUACCAAUUGAAAGGGCUAAUGAAUACACCUAGAGGGGGGGUGAAUAGGUGUGUAUAAUAAUUUUCGCAAGAUUUGGUAAAAGUAAUUUCCCCUUUUAGAAAACGAUAAACAUUAAACGUAUUUCAACUUUGAACAAAUAAACACUCAAUAAAUGAAAGUAAUGAGUUCAGGGAAAAGAGAAUAUGAACACAGUGUUUAUAGUGGUUCGGCUUAGAUCAAGCCUAUGUCCACUCUCCUCGCUGACAGCCUGUUGGCUGGAUUCCACUAAGAAUCAAAAGAGAUGUUACAGCUUGUGAUCUUGACUGUCACAGUGACAAGUCUCUAUCGAACUUUCACACAGUUUCACUAAGAGUUUCUCUCUUUUGUAUACAAUUUUUAGCUCGAUGAAUGAAAAAGCGAGAGACUAGAAAGCUUCAGACUUUGGAAUUCUCUUUCAAGCACUGUACCAAACAACUAAAGAGUUAAUUCUUAAAUACUCCUUCGUGCCUUCUUGAUCGUUGGCACUUUCCAAAGGAAUUCUUCCAAUCUACCCGUUGGACAGAAUCAAUUAAGGUGAUCUCGAGUCGUUAGAUGAUUUGUGAUGAAAACCCGUCAAUCAUGUUCGCCUAUACAAAUUAGGAUCUUGAGUUUCCAUAAGUGGAACCUUCCAAGUUUGUUUGCCUUUCAAAGAUCUUCAUAUCGGAGUAGUUUCCAAAAAGAAUAAUCAAUCAAGUAUAUGUGAAAUCCAACUAUAAGGUCUUCUAAUAACCAUACGAAUUGAAACCUUGAAGAUAAUCUUGCAUCUGGAUAAUAAUCCUGCAUUUCGAUAAGUCUUCAUACUUCAGUCUGGAACUGUUAGUGAGGAUGGACUUUGAGACUAAAAUCUGGUGGUCUAUCGGUCUUCAGACUUUGACAAUAAAGUCUUGAGAUCUUCCGAUAUAGAGUUGGAAAGGUUUUGUCAACUUCAAAAUAAUAAAGGAGUUUUCUCUAACACACAGCAUAUGCGUGAGGGACCUACGCAUUUCGAUUUGACCGAGGAAAAAUAUUCUCCUCAACAACAACAGCAACAGCCAAGACAACAUUCUCAACAGCGUCAACAAGCAGCGCAAAAUCCUCCUCCACAGCAAGAACAAGAAGAUGUUAUGGAAGACGUUGAACCUGUAAGGACUCAAAAACCCUAAUUUAUCUAUAGACUGUAUUCCAACUUGAAAAUGGGUGCUUCAGCUAUGAAUCUAAUCGAUGAGUUCUUAAAAGCACACGAUUACAAAAAUGAGACAUUUUUCUUGAAUGCUAUGGAAAGAUUAGGAGUUGCGCCUCAGGGUUUGGCAAAAUGGACGUUUGAAAAUUUUCCUAGUGAUCCAAGAUUCAGUCAGCCUGAAGAGAAAGAUGACGAUGAAAGGAUGUUCGCUCAUUUUCAGCCCAGGAUGGGUGUUGCUGCAAAAGUUCGUGGUGGAGGGACGAAUUUAUUUUUAUCCAAGGACUACAAGAAGACUUACUCGAGUUUGUUGAAAAUAGGGGUUAUGUACCCUAGGAGCGUGGAUUUUGACUUUCUUGACUCUUUAAAGGUUAUUUUGAGGGAGAAGCUUAGUUUGCUUCAACUUGAACACUUUUGCACCGUGACGAACUUACUGCCUACUUUUAUUCAAAUCUAUCAUUUAUAGAUGCGAAUAAAUUCAGUUUUAUUGUGAGAGACAAAGAAUUUCAUAGUUGAUGUAGACACUUUGGCUAACAUAAUUGGUGUGGAAAGAGAAAGAUUCCAACCAAUUGGUGUGUCUUAUGCUCAUGCUACCUUGUCCAUUGUCAAUGACAGAAUGGUCGAAGGUAAGAUUUCUUAUUCAAGAAUGAAUGCCUCCAAUAUUCUUUUUCACAAGGUGGUGAUUAAUCGCAUCAGGCCUAAGUCUACCUCAAAGACGGAUGUUUCUCGUUCCGAAGCAAAGCUAAUGUACCCGAUCAACACUAGUCGUAAGUUCUCUCUGCCUCACACAAUUCUUAUGCACAUGUAUAGGACUGUGGUGAAAGACAAGGGACAACUUCCUUACUCUACGCUUAUCUCUCAACUCUUCAAGCAUUUCAAUAUCAAACUUCCUACUCCUCUUUGUGUUAGAACAUUGCUCCAAUGGUUAUUAGUCUCAAAAUGGUUUCUAAGAUGAGGCUGAAGGAACUGAGCAAGAAGCUGGAGCGCUUCAAGGAGAAGUCCCCUGUGAAGGCGAAGUAAGACUCUGCUGCAAGGAAAAGGAAAGGCAAGGAGCUUAUGACAGGACCCUGUGAAGAAAAGAAGAUCUCUUAUCUUGGAAGACGAAGAUGAAGAUGAUGAUGAUCUAACUAUCUCAGCUCUUGCCUUGCAAAAUCUACAGAGUUUUGUGAGCUAUAGGGAAAUAGAGAGAAGAGAUGAAGAAAGAGAAGAAAUGAGAAAAGAAGAAGGGGGAGGAGGAGAAAGAGAGGGAAAAGAAAGAAGAAGAAGCGAAGAAGAGAAGAGUCGCGAUGACUCUUUUGAACCAACACUAGCUGCAUCUUUGUCCGAUGAUUCGGAGAAGACAAGGAGUGACAAGACUGGAGAACAACAUCACUACAGUGUUGAAGCAGAGCAUGAAGAAGAACAUAUUUCUCCACCUAAAGGCACAAAGACCGAGGGAGAUGGUGAGAAACGAGGUACUUCUUCACCCAUCUUUGCUAGUGAUGUUAGCAAAUCUCCACCAGAUCCAAAAGAAGUCUAUGCCUCUUAAUUCCCUUAAACGGAUUUUGAGGCAUACAUUCCUAGUCAUGGUGAUAGAACAAUUGAUGUUUCCCCUCAUUUUCAAACUCCUGUAACUGAUUCGGCUAGACCCAGCACUACUACUAAUCACUCAGCAGAUAUUCAGAGAGUGAUGGAACUUCUUUUGGAAUUAAAGGGACAGCAAUAUGCUUUCGAGUUUGAGAUGAAGAACAUGAUGACAGUUUUCAAGACAACAGCAGACUUUGUCCAAGAACAGAUUCAAGUCCUAAAGCUUCAAAUGCAAGAAAUUGCAAAGGGUGAGGACUUACUUCAACUCAAGGAGUCUCUGAAAAAGCUUGAAGACACUGUCAAGUCCAUGGGAGAUUUCCAACUCGUUCGUAUUCCCAAGCAGCACUGAUAUUAUCAAACUCUUUUCAAUCGUUUUUUUCUCCACUUUUUGCUGAUGACAAAAAGGGGGAGAGUUUGAGUGCAGAUUUGCAAUUUGGUUUUGGGUUUUAUUGGUUUUGAUUUGACUUUACUUUCUGUGGACUUUUGACUUUGAAUACUGGUUGACUUUGAACCUUUUGAUGCUUGCUUGCAGUAACUAAUCUUUGCAAUAUUGAUUAUGACUGGACUAUUAUUUAUCCUUAUGGAUUAACAUGUGUUCUAUGGUUGCAGAAUUAAAAUUUCCAUGUCCUAAUCAAUUUACUUUUAUAAGAUAUUAUGUAUUGCAUAAGUACUGUUUUGCAGGUCAAAAGUUUUCCAAAUCUGCAGAAAAGUUUUGUCACCAUCAAAAAGGGGGAGAUUGUUAGAAAAAAAAACUCCUUUAUUGUUUUGAAGUUGACAAAACCUUUCCAAAUCUAUAUCGGAAGAUCUCAAGACUUUAUUGUCAAAGUCUGAAGACCGACAGACCACCAAAUUUUAGUCUCAAAGUCUAUUCACACUGACAGUUCCAAACUGAAGUAUGAAGACUUAUCCAAAUGCAGGAUUAUUAUCCAGAUACAAGAUUAUCUUCAAGGUUUCAAUUCGUAUGGUUAUUGGAAGACCUUAUAGCUGGAUUUCACAUAUACUUGAUUGAUUAUUCUUAUUGGAAACUACUCCAAUAUGAAGAUCUUUGAAAGGCAAACAAACUUGGAAGGUUCCACUUAUGGAAAUUCAAGAUCCUGAUUUGUAUAGGCGAAUAUAAUUGACAGCUUUCAUCACAAAUCAUCUAACGACUCGAGAUCACCUUAAUUGAUUCUGUCCAACGGGUAGAUUGGAAGAAUUCCUUUGGAAAAUGCCAACAGUCAAGAAGGCAUAAAUGAGUAUUUAAGGAUUGACUCUUUAGUUGUUCGGUACAGUGCUUGAAAGAGAAUUCCAAAGUCUGAAGCUUUCUAGUCUCUUGCUUUCUCAUUCAUGGAGCUAAAACAUUAUAUACAAAAGAGAGAAACUCUUAGUGAGACUGUGUGAAAGUUCGAUAGAGACUUGUCACUGUGACAGUCGAGAUCACAAGCUGUGACAUCUCUUUUGAUUCUUAGUGAAAUCCAACCAACAAGCUGUCAGCGAGGAGAGUGGACGUAGGCUUGAUCUAAACCGAACCACUAUAAACCCUGUGUUCAUAUUCUCUUUUCCUUGAACUCCUUACUUUUAUUAUUGAGUGUUUAUUUGUUCAAAGUUGAAAUUCGUUUAAUAUUUAUCGUCUUCUAAAAGGGAAAAUUACUUUUACCAAGUCUUGCGAAAGUUAUUAUACACACCUAUUCACCUCCCUCUAGAUGUAUUCACUAGCCCUUUCAUAAUUAAGUUGUAUUAGCCCUAAGAUAGAUGGUUAGAUAGAUGGUUAAGAUUAGUUUAGGUUAAUCUUACUUUGGUUAAUUAGUGUGGCUUAUGUGUUUAAUUAAGCAUGUUUAGCCUUGAUUAAUUGAUUAUUUGUCUUAAUUAAUGAUUUUCUUAAUUUCUGAAUUUAAUUUAUUAAUUAUUGAAUUCUGAAAUUAUACUGUUCAUAUUGCAUUGUUCAGAAAUUACUGUUCAUGUGCACUGUUCACAAUGUACUGUUCACGCGCACUGUUCACGUGCAUUGUUCAUCCAGAAGUGAAAGAUGGUCUAAUUUCAUAUGUUUUGAUCUUAUGAGGUGAAUUUGAUGUGUCAUUGUAUGGACAUUCGCAUGAAUCAUGUGGUUUUCACAAAAAAGGGGAAAAUGGUUUGUCUAAGGGACACCGAAAUGGAUCGCUUUCAUGAGAAAAUGAUUUGAGGUUGUAUAUGCAAGCAUGUGUGCAUUGGCUAAUGCUCAAAGAUAAAAAGUGGGUUGAGGUGGUAUGCUUGCGUGAUCACUAGGUUGAACUCGCCGCCUCGGCCAUAGUUCAGGGGGUGAUACUCCGAUUUAUCGGAAUACCCGACAGGGGUCCAGAUGCCGAGUCGCGGUAGAGACCAAGCCCAUGCUCCUUUAGGAAUGCCGUCUUGGGAGAGAGCUCUCAACGUCGCCGCGUCUCACGGGGGAGGGCGAUGCCUAGUUAUGCCAGUAGACACUGGCGGGGGUUCAGUUGUAGCCUUGACGGGCAGUAAUAAUUGGAACACGUGUGGAUAUAAGAGCGUAUGAGAAACAUGGCAUCAUUAGUUCCGAUUAUGCAUGAGAUGAUCACAUUGUUUAUGGCACGCACGUAUGAAUCGAUAACGUGCAGGGUGUGACAAUGACUAGGUGAGAUCGCUUGUGACACAACUCGUAUGUGAUUGAUGAACUGCAUCAUCUAAUGGACAUGUGCAUUGCGUGUAUUGUGCUGAGAUAUAACGUGCAGGGUAUGGCAUACUGGGUAAGGCUUCAUGCGAACCGACUAUUUAAUUAUUGGUUGGCCUUGGCCGUUGCUAUUUGUUGGUUGUUAAUUGUUGGUCUUUGGUUUAUAUUGCCUUCAUUGAUGAAAGUGAUGUUCAUUUAGUUUUAGUUGUCGUGAUUUUUCUUCUAAGCUAAUUUAUCUUGUUUAUUAGGGUCCACCGUGCUACAAUACUCCGGCUUCAGGUGUUUGCUAAUGUGUGGUAAAUUUAGGAGCAAAUCUUUCACUGCUUCUUCAAGUUUAACAGGCUGAUAUUCGAGACGGAAGCAAGUGAUUAGCUCGGGAGGCAUUCUGUGGCUACUCCUGACGAGAUCCCAGACUAGAAAAAAGAACCGAAAGCCAUUGAAAGCUGGAAUGAGAAGGAUGAGAUUCGGAGAAUCUAAUUUGUGUUUUUCUUCUGUCACUAAACGCGUUGUCGCUUCUGAGACUUGAGAAAAGGCAAAAACACAAAUUAAGUAUUGGGAUCAUUUUCUUCUAUAUAUGCAUUUAAAAUCUAAUUUUAAAUGAAAUUUGCCAAUUCUUGGUCCUUGAUGCAGAUAUUCUUACACGGCAAAUUAUUUAUGGCGGAUGGACCUUUACAAAGAUGGCUUAUAGCGUCUAUUUGCCAAAUUAUGCAUGAAUUUCUUUUAUCGAAAACAUUGCCCUUCAAAUAGAUAGUGUUGACAUCUAAUUUUGGCAACCUUAAGAAAAUAAAAAUAAAAAUCGCAAUUAAAAGGAAAAAAACAUGAGAAAAUCAAUUUGAUUGAUUACGCAUGGAAGUUGGAAAUUUCAAAUCUUGAUAAAUGUGGAGACAAUUCCUAGUCGAGGAUCAAGAUUUAGGGAAUAAGAUAAAUAAAAAGCAAUAAUUUUGAUAAAAUGGAAGAAAUCAAAGUAAAAUCGAACUGAUCGCAAAAUCACACUGUGAUUUGUAGUCAUGAAUUAAUACAACAAAAAACGGAAACUCAAAAAAUUACCAUGGAGAGCGGCCUUCUGGAAUCACUAUAAAAGAUAGCCACGAUUUUUGUGACCGAGGGGAGCGACAAAGAAAGAAUUCGUGCAAGAAAAAAAAUUCGAAAGAAAAGGAGUGAAAGAGAGAGGAGACGUGAGUGCAGAGAAGUCACAGAGAGAGGUGACGUGAGUGGACAGGAAAAAAAAAAAAAAGGAGGAAAAAAGAAGGAAAAAGCGGCAGCAGCAACUGUUCGUCUUCUUCGCGUGGACGCCCCUGCCCGUGCCGGCCCCGCGCCCGCACCGGCCACCGCGCCGACACCGCCUCCACCAGCCACCACCGCCGUUCCGCCGGUCUCGCCCGUCGCUGCUGCUGCUGCCUCGCCGCUCCGUUCGCGCCUCAGCAGACUUCCCUCUGCAGCGUUCUCUGCCGGGCUACGGGCUCCACUCGCCGCCGUCGGCGUUCGCCGCGCCGGUCACGUCGUCCCGCCACUGCCGCCCUACCGGAUUCGCCCUCGACGCGCAGCACCGCCACCGACGCCCGCAUUUGCCCCUCGCCGUUCGCUGUUGCUCGCCGCCUGCAACCCGCCUGCACCGACCGCCGCGCCAGCAUCGCACCGGCCGCCGCGCCUCCGCCUGUCCCUUCCGCUCGGAGCCCGAAGCUGCCGAGCCUCUGCAACCCGCGACCCAGCGACCCCGCGCCUCCGUGCCUCAGCCCACUCGAUGCCUGCACCUCCGCGAACACCGCCGCGCCUCUGCAUCCCGCGCCCAGCAGCCGCGCCUCCACAGCCGCGAGCACCUGAGCGCCUCUGCCCGCCACUGAACGACACCCCUGCCCCUGCUCCACCCGGCGUCCGACGACCGUGCUCCUGCCUCCGUCAACGCCCACGCCACCCCUGCCCUCCGCCGUGCUCCGCCCUUCGCUGACGCCGCAGCAACCGGUGCCGCUGCUGUCCUUCCUGCAUUGCCCAUCUUAGGUAGUUUUUUAUUUUAUUUUAUUUUAUUUUAUUUUAUUUAAAAAAAUCAAGUUUCAUUAUUAUUACUUAAGUUGGAAUAUUGUGUGUUAAUGUUAAUUAUUUAUAUAUUUUAGGCGUUAUCCAUAGAGUUCUAUUGCCCUAAAAAUCUCUAUAAUUAUUAAUUUGAUUCGUAAGAUGUCAGCUCAUUUUUUAAAUUAUAUUGAUUUUUUGGGCAUUUUGAUAGUGUUUUGAUUAUUAAAUCAUAAUAAUUAUUAAUUUGGUACGUAAGAUUUCGAAUCAAAUUUUUAAUUAUUUUGAACUUUCUUAUAUGUUAUGAUGUUUAUGGUUAAAAUAAUUGUUAAUUUAACCCGUGAGACAAUGGAUUAUUUUUUUGAUUAUUUUAAUCAUUUAUUUGAUGAAUAUCUUGAUUAGUUUAGAUAUUAUGUUUAUCUGAUAAUUGCUUCUCCUGAAAAACACUAAAAAAAAAUCAAAAAAAUCAAAAAAUCAAAUCUUGCAUUGGAAUAUGUUGGUUUCAUAAAGUAGGGUUGCAUUUUUAGAUUGCAUGUUUAGAUAAUUUUUGAAAUAGAUUAUGAUUGGAUUUAAAUAAUUUUUUUUUAUAGAUAAGGGCUUAGAUAAUCUUUGCACAUUUUAAUAAUCUCAUUUUUCUAAAAAAAUAGUUUUCUAAGAUAUGAUAGGGUUUAGUCAAUUAAUCACUAAAACAAAUUAGAAAAUUAUUCAUUUUAGAUAGUUUAAUUAGGGUUUUUAUUAAUUCCGAAUUUUAAUAAAAAAAAUACAAAAAUAUUAGGUGCAUGUCAAAUAAUUUGCAUAAUAGGUUCAUUUAAUUAAAGUGCAUAUUUUAUGAUAAAGUUAUAAUUUCAAGAAAACCAAAAAAAAAAAAAAUGUUUGCUUUGUGUGUUUAAUUCUUUUGAUGCAAUUUGUUUGAUUCAUUAAGUGUUUACACCCGUGUGAUCACUCUAUUGCAUGAUAAUAAUUUAUAAUAAAAUAAAUCUAAGUUGCCUACAAAAAUAUUUUUGAAAAUAAAAAGAAUGGUACCAAAAGGACAUUAGAAAAAUCUAAUAUAACUACGUCCCCGUAUCCAAAAUUUGUAGUUCGUAAGAGUAAAAUAAUUCUCCCAUUAUUUUACUUAGGUAUCUAAUCGGCCUACCAUAAACUGAUUAGUGGCGACUCCUAAUUAAUAAUCUUUUGCAUGCUAAAAAAACUUGAACUUAAGUCGCGAAUUGAUAUAGGUUGGAAAACCCCGAGCUAAGUCUAAGCUUAGUAGUCCAUUAGCCUAAAUCAUAGGUGGUGCACCCGAAAUUUAGAUCGCGACAGACAGCAUUGUUGUAACUCCCUGAAAUGACUCCAUGCAAAAUUUCGAUAAAUCGCACCUCGCCUAUUAACUUUUUUCACGUACUGCAGUGCUUAAAGAACAUGCUUUGGCGAGAUAAGCCUCAGAUAAGUGCAUGAAGAAAAUGUAAGGAUGCAGUAGCUGAGCAUUGAACUAGCUUUACCCGCUCCAUCAAGCAACAGCAUAUAUCAAAUUCUAAGGAGUCAGCCACCCGGCAGAGCUCUGGCUUGAUAAUGGCAAUGUGAGAAAGUAGCAAUGACCAUGCAUCAAUAUGGUCUUCGUAUAAAUGCACUCUAUGAAAAUUUGCACAAGCCUUUUGUAAAUGAAGUGCAACACUGAAACGUUCAAUGCUAAUGAGUCUUCAUGCACUAAUCUUGUUCGAUUUUUUUUUCCGUCCAUUCUAUAGUCUCUAUACAAUGGCCUUCAAUCCUUAUUUUUAGUACUUGGCACAAGGAAAACAUCCUGAGCUACCUCAGUAGAGUUCACAGCUUUGAGGGAGAUUUACACUAUCCCCAAGGUUCACUGGAUAUGUACUGUGCAACCUGCUUCACGCUCAAAUAAUUAUCCAGUCCCCUGCGAAGAAAGGCACAAUCAUCUGGUCAGUACGAAGCUAUGAUCAUCAAAUUUUCUCAGUGCAAUGCAAACCUACUGAAAUAAUGCAAUAAGUAGUUACAACUGUGCAGACUCAUAAGUUAUAACUACCGUACAAGACAAAAAUCAUUUGGAGAUCAGACUACCUUUCUCAACUAGAUCAUUUUUCUAUUUUCCUUUUGAGUUCUGUCAUUCAUUUAGUCAUAGAGAAGCGGACGAUACCAUCCUCCUAACUCCCGACCAAAACCACUCCGUUUGUUUCCUCCCCAAGGGGCCUGACAGAAGCAUGGCUGUGAACAGUUGAUCCACACAAUGCCUGCCGAGAAAGCCUGCAAUUCACCACCAGGACAUGACAACAAUCAAGUAAUCCGACAAAGUAAAUAAGUUCCAUGUACAUCUUUUGGUCAUCUGAGGGCUAAAAGUUCACAUAAAUGUACAUUGAACCUCACCUUGGUCAGGCGCUCGCACAUUUCCAAGUCAUUUGACAACACAGCAGCACCUAGUCCAUAACUGCAAAGCAUCGAUUAAUCGUGAGAUUCUCAUAAUGUCCCAAUUUAAAGAAGUCUACUCAGGCAAGAGUGGAGUAACAAUUUCGAUCACAAUAAAUGAGCAGAUUCUCCACUGUAUUGUGAACACUAUCAAAAGAAUGAAUCAACUAACUGGCCGUCAUCCGCUAAUUCAAUGGCCUCCUCUGUGCUAAAUGUUUUAAUGCAGAGAGCAGGUCCAAAGACUUCCUCUCUCCAAAUUUGCAUUGAUGUAGUGACAUCAGUUAUGAUGGUUGGCUCAAGGAAGAAUCCCUUCUUCAAAUGCUAUCAAUUGUUUGAGAUGAUACGCAGAAGUCAGGAAAAGCAUUUUCAGAAGCAGAAGGGUUCUUCAUGAGAGUACUAAAAGUGACAAGCUAGAGCCCUGUACCUCGGGACGAUCUCCACCACACAAAAUAGUAGCCCCCUUGCUCUUAGCCGUGGAGAUGAACUUCAGUAUUUUUUCAUACUGAAGCAAAGAAAAUGAAAUUAUCAUUUCGACAUCCAGCUGGCAGAUUUGAUGCUAAACAUUGAAAAGUGAAAAGAACCAAUGGUAAUUAAAAAUCCCAGACUAAAGCUAUUUCCCAUGAUUUCGUCCAAACAUAUGGCACUUAUGGGAGAAAUUAUGGCCUUCAUUCCACACGUCACCUCAAAAAUGAUCAUUUGCCCCUGAUUAUAGUGAAUGAAUGGCGUAGAAUAUGCCCAAGAUACAACUGCUGCAAUGGCUAUGGGACUGUUGGCUGGGUCCACCUUCAUGUGGGGCCCAGCCAAACAUUAAAUAAAUAAAUAAAUAAAUAAAGAACAAAAGAAAAGAAAAAGAAUAAAAAGAAGUGGAGUUGUCGUACGUGGGGUGUGCGUCCAAAGAGAGGAGAGAGAAAAACUGAGAAAAGAAAACUGCAGCAAAGGAGAAAGAGAAGAGAGGAAGAGCACUGCAACUUUGCGGCUUUGAUUCGAAGGCCAAAUAUUGUCGGAAUCGGCUCAAAUUUCAGUAUGUUGUUCGUGAGACCGAGGGCUACGAGUUGAUGGUUUUGGUUCGUCGAGAACCGUCUCCAAAUUCUCCAAUUGCGGUUAAGGUUUUCUUGCUCCAAACUUGUUUGUCUACCUAUGUGGUGAGAAGAAAAUGAUUGUAAUGUUGAUGUUGAGACUCUAGUGUGUGACUAGACAAGAAUACUUUGUGUAUCCUGCUAUUCUUGGUGAUUAGUGGAUGUUUUUGGGCGGUCCGUGGUUUNNNNNNNNNNNNNNNNNNNNNNNNNNNNNNNNNNNNNNNNNNNNNNNNNNNNNNNNNNNNNNNNNNNNNNNNNNNNNNNNNNNNNNNNNNNNNNNNNNNNNNNNNNNNNNNNNNNNNNNNNNNNNNNNNNNNNNNNNNNNNNNNNNNNNNNNNNNNNNNNNNNNNNNNNNNNNNNNNNNNNNNNNNNNNNNNNNNNNNNNNNNNNNNNNNNNNNNNNNNNNNNNNNNNNNNNNNNNNNNNNNNNNNNNNNNNNNNNNNNNNNNNNNNNNNNNNNNNNNNNNNNNNNNNNNNNNNNNNNNNNNNNNNNNNNNNNNNNNNNNNNNNNNNNNNNNNNNNNNNNNNNNNNNNNNNNNNNNNNNNNNNNNNNNNNNNNNNNNNNNNNNNNNNNNNNNNNNNNNNNNNNNNNNNNNNNNNNNNNNNNNNNNNNNNNNNNNNNNNNNNNNNNNNNNNNNNNNNNNNNNNNNNNNNNNNNNNNNNNNNNNNNNNNNNNNNNNNNNNNNNNNNNNNNNNNNNNNNNNNNNNNNNNNNNNNNNNNNNNNNNNNNNNNNNNNNNNNNNNNNNNNNNNNNNNNNNNNNNNNNNNNNNNNNNNNNNNNNNNNNNNNNNNNNNNNNNNNNNNNNNNNNNNNNNNNNNNNNNNNNNNNNNNNNNNNNNNNNNNNNNNNNNNNNNNNNNNNNNNNNNNNNNNNNNNNNNNNNNNNNNNNNNNNNNNNNNNNNNNNNNNNNNNNNNNNNNNNNNNNNNNNNNNNNNNNNNNNNNNNNNNNNNNNNNNNNNNNNNNNNNNNNNNNNNNNNNNNNNNNNNNNNNNNNNNNNNNNNNNNNNNNNNNNNNNNNNNNNNNNNNNNNNNNNNNNNNNNNNNNNNNNNNNNNNNNNNNNNNNNNNNNNNNNNNNNNNNNNNNNNNNNNNNNNNNNNNNNNNNNNNNNNNNNNNNNNNNNNNNNNNNNNNNNNNNNNNNNNNNNNNNNNNNNNNNNNNNNNNNNNNNNNNNNNNNNNNNNNNNNNNNNNNNNNNNNNNNNNNNNNNNNNNNNNNNNNNNNNNNNNNNNNNNNNNNNNNNNNNNNNNNNNNNNNNNNNNNNNNNNNNNNNNNNNNNNNNNNNNNNNNNNNNNNNNNNNNNNNNNNNNNNNNNNNNNNNNNNNNNNNNNNNNNNNNNNNNNNNNNNNNNNNNNNNNNNNNNNNNNNNNNNNNNNNNNNNNNNNNNNNNNNNNNNNNNNNNNNNNNNNNNNNNNNNNNNNNNNNNNNNNNNNNNNNNNNNNNNNNNNNNNNNNNNNNNNNNNNNNNNNNNNNNNNNNNNNNNNNNNNNNNNNNNNNNNNNNNNNNNNNNNNNNNNNNNNNNNNNNNNNNNNNNNNNNNNNNNNNNNNNNNNNNNNNNNNNNNNNNNNNNNNNNNNNNNNNNNNNNNNNNNNNNNNNNNNNNNNNNNNNNNNNNNNNNNNNNNNNNNNNNNNNNNNNNNNNNNNNNNNNNNNNNNNNNNNNNNNNNNNNNNNNNNNNNNNNNNNNNNNNNNNNNNNNNNNNNNNNNNNNNNNNNNNNNNNNNNNNNNNNNNNNNNNNNNNNNNNNNNNNNNNNNNNNNNNNNNNNNNNNNNNNNNNNNNNNNNNNNNNNNNNNNNNNNNNNNNNNNNNNNNNNNNNNNNNNNNNNNNNNNNNNNNNNNNNNNNNNNNNNNNNNNNNNNNNNNNNNNNNNNNNNNNNNNNNNNNNNNNNNNNNNNNNNNNNNNNNNNNNNNNNNNNNNNNNNNNNNNNNNNNNNNNNNNNNNNNNNNNNNNNNNNNNNNNNNNNNNNNNNNNNNNNNNNNNNNNNNNNNNNNNNNNNNNNNNNNNNNNNNNNNNNNNNNNNNNNNNNNNNNNNNNNNNNNNNNNNNNNNNNNNNNNNNNNNNNNNNNNNNNNNNNNNNNNNNNNNNNNNNNNNNNNNNNNNNNNNNNNNNNNNNNNNNNNNNNNNNNNNNNNNNNNNNNNNNNNNNNNNNNNNNNNNNNNNNNNNNNNNNNNNNNNNNNNNNNNNNNNNNNNNNNNNNNNNNNNNNNNNNNNNNNNNNNNNNNNNNNNNNNNNNNNNNNNNNNNNACCUGUAUUUUUUACUUUAGCUGGGGAGUGAGGUUACUUGAAUUUCAUGGACUUUGAAUUUGACAUCUUGGGUAAGUUUAUCUCGUCAGGAAUACUUGCGAGGUAAUCUAAAGUAAGAGAUAGAGGAUAUGGACGCAGUAGAUUGUGCACGAGAGGACAACAUUGCCCCUAUUUGAGGUAUUAACAUUGAAUUAUGCGACAUCAUUAAAAUGGUCCUAGGAUUGGUGCUCAUGUUUUGUUUUUGGUAUCAUAAUACAUGACAUAUAGUUCCAUGAGACAAAUGAUGAGACCUCUUAUUUUAUCUGAUUCGAUCACAUCUUAUAAUCUUUGUAAUGGCGAACAAAAGUUGUUUUUGAGAUUCCUCUUCUUUGCUGAAAAGGUAAAUUUAAAACAAAAAAGAAAUGAAUGUAGGAAAGGGGGGAUGAAUAUGAUGUCCAUCAAAGCAAGGCCCAGUCUUCGGCUUUAGUUUCCCGGCUUUAAUUUUUUCAAUCCAUUCAAAGCUGGAAAGUGAAAACCUCAUUAAUAAAGAUAUUUAGAACCCGAGUGCACUCCCCACUAUAAUUCGCGUCAAUCUACGAGAAAGUAGAGGUUUAACCACACAAAUUUUGGGCACUGAAUAGGGAACACCAUUUUCCGACUACGAUGGAGAGUAGAAAUGACCAGUCAUGCGUGCUAAUGGAUCCCUAUAUAAUUUCUAAUAAGAUGGGUGAGAAGAAGUUCUAAUAAGAUAUAUAAUUUCUCCUCUUUUAGAAAAAAAAACUACGAUCUUUUGGCACCUCCUUGAUCAACAUUAGUAGCAGGUAUCUUUAUCUUUAAAUUGAAGGGAUUUUUGUAAGAGGCAAAUUAAAAGGCAUAACCUAGCUAACCAGUGGCACUUCUGUCUAUGUUGGAGGAUCGUGGGCUUUUUGUCUGGAUUUUUAGGUGUCUUUUUUACUUUAGCUGGUGAGUGAGGUCGCUUGAAUUUUAUGGACUUUGAAUUAAUAUUAAUUGACAUAUUGGGUAAGUUUAUCUCGUCGGGAAUACUUGCAAGGUAACCUAAAGUAAGAUAAAGAGGAUAUGGACGUAGUAGAUUGUGCGCAAGAGGACAACAAUUGAUAUGUUUAUUGCCCAUGCUUGAGGUAUUAACAUUGAAUUAUGUGACAUCAUUAACAUGAUCCCACGGUGGGUGUUCAUGUUUUGUUUUUGGUAUAUCCAUCAUAGUACAUGAUAGAUAGUUCCAUCAAACAAAUGAUGAGACUUCUUAUUUUGUUUUUGAGAUUCAUCUUCUUUGCUGAAAAAGUAACUUUAAAACAAAAAAUAAAUGAAUGCAAGAAAGGGGGGAUGAAUAUGCUAUUCAUCAAAGCAUGGCGCAGUCUUCAGCUUUUGUUUCUCGGCUUUAACUUUUCCAAUCGAUUCGAAGCUGGAAAGUGAAAACCUCACUCUCCAAUUGAUGCGUAAACUCAAUUAUUAAUACCGAUAUUAGGAACCCAAGUGCGCUCCCCACUAUAAUUCGCGUCAAUCUACGAGAAAGUGGAGGUUUAACCCCAUAGAUGUUGGGCAUUGAAUAGGGAACACCAUUAUCCAACUACGAUGGAGAAAAGAAAUGACCAGUCAUGCGUGCUAAUGGAUCCCUAUAUAAUUUCUAAUAAGAUGGGUGAGAAGAAGUUCUAAUAAGAUAUAUAAUUUCUCCUCUUUUAGAAAAAAAAACUACGAUCUUUUGGCACCUCCUUGAUCAACAUUAGUAGCAGGUAUCUUUAUCUUUAAAUUGAAGGGAUUUUUGUAAGAGGCAAAUUAAAAGGCAUAACCUAGCUAACCAGUGGCACUUCUGUCUAUGUUGGAGGAUCGUGGGCUUUUUGUUUGGAUUUUUAGGUGUCUUUUUUACUUUAGCUGGUGAGUGAGGUCGCUUGAAUUUUAUGGACUUUGAAUUAAUAUUAAUUGACAUAUUGGGUAAGUUUAUCUCGUCGGGAAUACUUGCAAGGUAACCUAAAGUAAGAUAAAGAGGAUAUGGACGUAGUAGAUUGUGCGCCAGAGGACAACAAUUGAUAUGUUUAUCGCCCAUGCUUGAGGUAUUAACAUUGAAUUAUGUGACAUCAUUAACAUGAUCCCACGGUGGGUGUUCAUGUUUUGUUUUUGGUAUAUCCAUCAUAGUACAUGAUAGAUAGUUCCAUCAAACAAAUGAUGAGACUUCUUAUUUUGUUUUUGAGAUUCAUCUUCUUUGCUGAAAAAGUAACUUUAAAACAAAAAAUAAAUGAAUGCAAGAAAGGGGGGAUGAAUAUGCUAUUCAUCAAAGCAUGGCGCAGUCUUCAGCUUUUGUUUCUCGGCUUUAACUUUUCCAAUCUAUUCGAAGUUNNNNNNNNNNNNNNNNNNNNNNNNNNNNNNNNNNNNNNNNNNNNNNNNNNNNNNNNNNNNNNNNNNNNNNNNNNNNNNNNNNNNNNNNNNNNNNNNNNNNCGUCAAUCUACGAGAAAGUGGAUGUUUAACACCACAGAUUUUGGGCACUGAAUAGGAAACACCAUUUUCCGACUACGAUGGAGAGUAGAAAUGACUAGUUAUGUGUGCUAACAGAUCCCUAUCUUUCGUGGGAACCGAAAGUUAUUAUCAUGUAUACUUUCUAUUUAAGAAAUUUUAAUAAUGCAUUGGACAACACUUUUGCUCAAACAAAGACAACAUUUGAAAUGAUAAGUUGAUUUUUUUUUUAUGUGGUCAUUUCGGAAUCAAUCACACACAGGGAUAUGUCACAAGUUGUUAGUAUCAUGGUGUCAUUUGUUUUUCUCUUUAGCAAUUCCCAUCAUGCUCAAAAGUUGGUAUUAUGUGGGGACAUCAAUUAAGUGGUUCAAGUCGAGAAUUCAAGAUUAGGGGUGAGAAGAAGUUCUAAUAAGAUAUAUAAUUUCUCCUCUUUUAGAAAAAAAAAAAAUACGAUCUUUUGGCACCUCCUUGAUAAAUAUUAGUAGUGGGUAUCUUUAUCUUUGAAUUGAAGGGAUUUUUGUAAGAGGCAAAUUAAAAGGCAUAACCUAGCUAAUCAAUGGCACUUCUGUCUAUGUUGGAGGAUCAUGGGCUUUUUGUUUGGAUUUUUAGGUGUCUUUUUUACUUUAGCUGGGGAGUGAGGUCACUUGAAUUUUAUGGACUUUGAAUUAAUAUUAAUUGACAUAUUGGGUAAGUUUAUCUCGUCGGGAAUACUUGCAAGGUAACCUAAAGUAAGAUAAAGAGGAUAUGGAUGCAAGAGGACAACAAUUGAUCUGUUGAUUGCCCAUGCUUGAGGUAUUAACAUUGAAUUAUGUGACAUCAUUAACAUGAUCCCACGGUGGGUGUUCAUGUUUUGUUUUUGGUAUAUCCACCAUAGUACAUUAUAGAUAGUUUCAUCAAACAAAUGAUGAGACUUCCUAUUUUAUCUUAUUCGAUCACAUCUUAAUCUUUGUAAUGGCGAACAAAAGUUGUUUUGAGAUUCAUCUUCUUUGCUGAAAAAGUAACUUUAAAACAAAAAAGAAAUGAAUGCUGGAAAGGGGGGAUGAAUAUGAUAUCAUCAAAGCAAGGCGGNNNNNNNNNNNNNNNNNNNNNNNNNNNNNNNNNNNNNNNNNNNNNNNNNNNNNNNNNNNNNNNNNNNNNNNNNNNNNNNNNNNNNNNNNNNNNNNNNNNNNNNNNNNNNNNNNNNNNNNNNNNNNNNNNNNNNNNNNNNNNNNNNNNNNNNNNNNNNNNNNNNNNNNNNNNNNNNNNNNNNNNNNNNNNNNNNNNNNNNNNNNNNNNNNNNNNNNNNNNNNNNNNNNNNNNNNNNNNNNNNNNNNNNNNNNNNNNNNNNNNNNNNNNNNNNNNNNNNNNNNNNNNNNNNNNNNNNNNNNNNNNNNNNNNNNNNNNNNNNNNNNNNNNNNNNNNNNNNNNNNNNNNNNNNNNNNNNNNNNNNNNNNNNNNNNNNNNNNNNNNNNNNNNNNNNNNNNNNNNNNNNNNNNNNNNNNNNNNNNNNNNNNNNNNNNNNNNNNNNNNNNNNNNNNNNNNNNNNNNNNNNNNNNNNNNNNNNNNNNNNNNNNNNNNNNNNNNNNNNNNNNNNNNNNNNNNNNNNNNNNNNNNNNNNNNNNNNNNNNNNNNNNNNNNNNNNNNNNNNNNNNNNNNNNNNNNNNNNNNNNNNNNNNNNNNNNNNNNNNNNNNNNNNNNNNNNNNNNNNNNNNNNNNNNNNNNNNNNNNNNNNNNNNNNNNNNNNNNNNNNNNNNNNNNNNNNNNNNNNNNNNNNNNNNNNNNNNNNNNNNNNNNNNNNNNNNNNNNNNNNNNNNNNNNNNNNNNNNNNNNNNNNNNNNNNNNNNNNNNNNNNNNNNNNNNNNNNNNNNNNNNNNNNNNNNNNNNNNNNNNNNNNNNNNNNNNNNNNNNNNNNNNNNNNNNNNNNNNNNNNNNNNNNNNNNNNNNNNNNNNNNNNNNNNNNNNNNNNNNNNNNNNNNNNNNNNNNNNNNNNNNNNNNNNNNNNNNNNNNNNNNNNNNNNNNNNNNNNNNNNNNNNNNNNNNNNNNNNNNNNNNNNNNNNNNNNNNNNNNNNNNNNNNNNNNNNNNNNNNNNNNNNNNNNNNNNNNNNNNNNNNNNNNNNNNNNNNNNNNNNNNNNNNNNNNNNNNNNNNNNNNNNNNNNNNNNNNNNNNNNNNNNNNNNNNNNNNNNNNNNNNNNNNNNNNNNNNNNNNNNNNNNNNNNNNNNNNNNNNNNNNNNNNNNNNNNNNNNNNNNNNNNNNNNNNNNNNNNNNNNNNNNNNNNNNNNNNNNNNNNNNNNNNNNNNNNNNNNNNNNNNNNNNNNNNNNNNNNNNNNNNNNNNNNNNNNNNNNNNNNNNNNNNNNNNNNNNNNNNNNNNNNNGCUUCGAAAUUGGGUAGAACAAUGAAAUCAGAUCGAGUAAAACAACUCGGACUUUGAGGCAUGAUAUCACUUUCUUUAAGGAUUUAUUUGCCCCACAACGUUGCUAAUGGUUACCGACAAAAAUCCUCCAGGAUAUAAUAAAGUCUGGAUGAGAAUACUAGAUAGCAAUUUAAGUAUUUCUCCAGAGUCUCUCUAAGAAAUAAUAAAAAAAUUGGCUGCUGUUUUUCAGAAAAAAGACUCGAAAAAUUAUCACACAUUCUUUCCGAAAAAUGACAAGUAUAUAUAUAAAAUAGUCUUGCAACUCUUCGUGAAAAUUGCGAACAAACACAUCUUUAGAAAAUUGUUCGGAUAAACAAAUGAGACUCUUCGGAAGAAGUUGAAAAACGAACAAUUGCAACCCUUCGGGAAAAGUUAAAACCGAAUAAGUAAUUUUCCAAAAGUUGUCUUGAAAAGACACAAACAAAAUUCGGAAUAAUUAUAAUUUUUUUAAAAUAGAAUUUCGAAUUUUCAUUUUAUAUAUUUUAUUUCCGAAAUUCUCAAAAUAAAAGACAACCUUUGAUUUUACUAAAAAAUUAAUAACAAAGAAAUAAAAAUUAGAAUAAAUAACAAAGGGAUUAGUAUUAAUUAAACCGCGGGCGCGCAGGCAUGCCAAGUGCGCCAAAAAAUCGCGCAAUUAUUCGUGCACGCGGGUAUGGUGGGGUCUAGCCCCACCCAAUCAUUCUUUAAGUACAUAAAGAAAAACCUGCACUUUUAAAUUAGCCCACUCCCUCCUACUUUUCCUAUGUGGGACAAAGAAAACAUUCUGUUUGUUUUAACAAACAAACCUCCAACAAUUUCUUCCUCGUUUGCAACGAGUAACCACUAUAUAAGAAAAAUAUACAAUUCCCUAGUAACUGAAUACACGCGAGCCAGGACCAGCAAAAAGUUUUGCUAGGAUAACUACAAAAAUUGAGAUGUUUGUCCAGUUGGCCACUGAUCCCAUCAACCAAACACCAAAGAAAACAUCUUUCGAUUAUAAGAUAAACUGGUCCAUUAUUUUGGAAAUAGAAAUGUGGGACCGCAUGGUAAUGGGAUCUUCUAUAUACUAAUCUAUUUACAUAUGGUCUUCUUAACAAAUCUAUCAAGUAAAAUAGAACGACAGAGUUGAUCAUACCUCAAAAUCAUGAAAUGUCAUUUCAUACGCCAUAUCAUCUUACAAACAAUUUCAAAGUACAACAGAUUAAAAAAAUAAAAAUGGAAGUGUGGUGGAAAAUUUAACGUUUCAACACCACAGGUAUAACUUCUCCGUAUCUCAUAGCAGUGUAUAAUUGCUAUAUAACAAUUGUCUAUCUUGAGUUUUAUUGUGCUAUUGUCCAAUUGUUCAAUUGCACUUUUAGGUAUUGAAAAUUCCUUUUAAGUAAUUUGAACCAGUUAUAGUGACUAAACUUUAUUAAGUUAUGAUAAUUGUUGCGCAAGCAACCACUAGAACUCUAUAUGUUACUAUUCAUCUAUUUUUUUAAAUUGAACUAAACUAUGCCUAUGCAAUGCUUUACUUUGCUAGUUGUUUUACUUCCUAUGACCGAUAUAUUGCAUGUUUGGAUAAUUAAAUCCAUGAUGCAUAUAAUGUUUAAUGUCCAGUUUUUGACUUGUCAAAAGUUAAUAUGUCGCCUAUCUAUUGCUUGACCUUACGACUAUAGCCAAUUCCCAACUAACUAGACGAGUGGAUCAAGUAAAAUUACUCACAAAAAAAUAAAGUAAAUAUAAUGCUAAAUUCUUUCGAGGUUAUAAUUUUCUAUUACACAGGCAUUAACUUUACCAAUUAAAGUUGCCAAUUCAAAAUAUUACAAAAUUAUUACCCAAUAAAAAAAUUAUUUUCUCCUUAAAUUAAUCUCCAAUACGAAAAUUACAUUACAAUGCUAGGAAAAAUCUUUUUUUUGUAUAAAACUAUGAAUAGCUAUCUAAUCAAUAAAGAAUCAGUGUAUUUAAAAUUUUUACCAUGUAUGAUUAACAUUAUCCUAAAAUUUCUCGGAAGUAAGGAUUAGUGGUAUCUUGCAGGAUAGAUAUAUUAUAUUCAAUGGAGAAUUUUGUGGAAGAGUCUGUAAUUAUAUAUACAACGCUUUAUUUCCAUAGUUCCAACUUUAUAAAGCGCUGUUUGUCUGCAUGCACAAUAAUUCAGCCCCUGAGUUGUCAGUUGUGUGUUGUACUAUUUACUUUUACUUACCUCUGCCAGCUUGUAUCAUUGUACCAUCGGGGGCCAUUACCUUGGGCCUCUAUUAUUGAGCCUGUAAAAGUCGUUUCUUUGUUUUUUUUUUUUUUUUUUUGCUUCUAAGCAAAAUGUAGCAGUAAAACCCAAUUUAGACAAGGGCUAUAAACUAUUUGUCAGUAUGUAAAACAAAGGAUUUUAAUUGUCCCGCUACAUAAAGAAAUAAACAAAUUUUCAUGUAAUUUUUUAUUUGUUGUGUUUCAAUCAAAAUCCAACCAAUUUUCUCCAAGGAAAUGAUAACAAUAUAUAAUCAUUAGAACUUCACUCGACUCAUUUUUUGCUGAAUUAGACUCGGCUAGAGAUAAGUUCAAUAUGUUGCCAUUUUUGGACUGAUGUCGCUACUUGUUUCCAAGGGAAAAUGGAAAGAAAGCUUGCUUUUCUUUUAUAGAGCCCAUCAAAAUGACAAAAUUAAUCUAUCUGGUCUAGCAAAAGAUGGGUGAAUAGAGAGUUUGAACGGGCAUUGGUCAAAUUUUCAAAUUGUUUUGUUUAAUUAUAAUAUAUUUGUCAUGUGUUAACUCCUAAGUGGAUCUGAUUAGAAAAAUGUUGGUAAAGUACAUCACAAGUGUCAAAACUUAAUGUAGUUGACACUUAAGUGCCAAAAGUUUCAAAAGAUACACUUAAAUAUCACUUUUAAAAAUUAAAAAAAAAUCUAGAUAUUUAAGUGUCAAUUCUAGUGAAAGUAGCUGGAAAUUCAAUGUGACAUUAUUUUAAUAGUAAAUUGGUCUAGGUGGCUUGCCAGAGUUGCCUACUCAAUAAUAAAUGUGCAAAACGACGUCGUUUUACCUCAAAGAGGAGCGGCAACAAAUCAACGAGGGCCUCACCAUAGGUCGGCAAGAGUCGAGCUUGCUAGAUUAUGGCGCGGCAAUGCCGAGCUCAUCCGAGGUCACCAAAGCCUCACCAACCUUUGGUGACCUCGACAAAGGCUCAAGCCUUGCCUAGCUUGUUAACCUAUGGCAAGUCGAAGCUCACCAAUGGUCAAUCGCCAGCCGUCACUGUACCCAAUGAUCGCCCAAGGCGAAGGAAGAAGGAGAAAAGAAAAGAAAAACAAAAAAGGACAAGGAAAAAGAAGAAAAGAAAGAAAAAGGAAGGGAAAAUAAUUUAGAAUUGAAAGAUCGAUUUAAAAAAAUAAAAAUAAAAUUGAAAAUGAAUGCAUACAGGAAAAGAUUUCUCUUACUAAAUAGCAACAAAAAAAAUUCUACUUCAUUUUUAAAUUUCAGCUGAACAUUGAAAAAUAUGAUUAUUUUCUUUAAAAAAAAGGCUUUCUGAAAAAUAAUUUUCGAAAACGCCACAUUUUUCACGAAACAACUGAAGCAUAAAACUAUGAGCAAGCUGCCUAAUCAACAGAAUUGAUGUACUUAAAAAUAUUACCAUGUUUGAUUAACAUUAUCCUAAAAUUCCUCGGAAGCAAGGAUUAGUGGUAUAUUGGAUAAUAGAUACGUUAUACAUGCAUACGUACAUCCAUACAUAAGUCGUGAGUAACACUCUACAGUCUCUAUUGCCAUAGUCCAACUUUCUAAAAAGUUGUUUGUCCGCUUGCGCAAUAAUUCAGCCCCCUAGUCGUGUUUUGCACUUUUUACUUAUAUUUUUGCCAACUUGCAUCAUCGUGGUGUUGAGGGGCCAUUACUUUGGGCCUCUAUUAUUGAGUCUGUGAAGUCAAUCUCUUAUGGGAUGACUACCAUUAUUGAACUCCACCCAUUCGCCCACUCUCUAUCCCCAUCUGAAUACACCAUUUUUCAAUCUCUCGUCCCUGAAAGAACCAAUGGAUUUCGCAAGUCCUCUUUCAGAUCUCGUCAAAUAUUUAUGGGGUUCGGCCAGUACACAUUUGGGCUACAUUUAUAAUGGGAAACAUAAUGUCAACAAAUUGCAGAUGGAAACUGAAGACCUGAAUGCCAAGAACGAAGAUGUGAAAGCAAGGGUGGAACAUGAAGAAGGAGGAGGAGGCGUACGUCGCACGGGAGAAGUGGUGAACUGGUUACGGAAGGUGCAAAACUUUUUAGGUGAGGUAGGUCAAGUUCUUCGAGAAGCCAGGGAACGUGACCGAAUCAAAUGUCUCGGUCAUUGUCUUCCACAAAACUGCUGGUCGGGUUACCGAUUGGGGAAAACAGUUGAUCGAAUGCUCAAUGAAGCGAGGGAGCUCAAGACAGCAGAAUUUAACACUACGUUGCCAUUGCCUCCUCCUCCAGUACUUACGAUGCCUAUGGACGAGACCGUGGGGCUUGAUAUUUCCUUUAAUAAAGUGUGGAAAUGGCUUGUGGACGAAAAAGAAAUAGGAGUGAUUGGGUUAUAUGGAACAGGUGGUGUGGGAAAGACCACCCUGAUGAAAAGGAUCAACAAGGACCUUAUGGGCGCAAAUCAUGGAUUCGAGGUCGUUAUUUGGGUGGUGGUGUCCAGGCAAGUGAAGGAAGAUAACAUUCGAGACAUCAUAAGAAAAAGGUUGAAUAUUGAAGAUAAAACCUGGGGAGGAUGGUCUCAAGAUGAGAGGGUCCAUCAUCUAUUAGAAAGAUUGACCCAAAAGAAGUUUGUGUUGUUGAUUGAUGAUGUAUGGAAGACAUUGAACCUUUCCAAAAUCGGAGUUCCUCUUCCUUGUCUUGAGAACAGAUCCAAAGUAAUAUUCACAACUCGGUCGGAGGAAGUAUGUCGCCAAAUGAGAGCCAACAAAACCCACAAAGUACGGUGCUUGACACUUGAAGAAGCCCUGGGAUUGUUCAAGAACAAUGUGGGCAUAUCGACUACACAUUUUGAUCCGGAAAUUCAAGAGCUCGCCAAAAACAUUGUUCUUGAGUGCAAAGGGUUGCCACUAGCCCUUGUUACUGUCGGGCGAGCCAUGGCCAGUAAAGACAAUCCCAGUGAGUGGAGGCAUGCAUUAACAACGUUGAGGAGCAGGCCGCACAAGCUACAAGGUAUGGAGGAGGAUGUAUACCACAUACUAAAGUUUAGUUAUGAUAACUUAGGUAAUGCUACUCAACAGGCUUGCUUCCUUUACUGUUGUUGCUUCCCUGAGGAUUACCCCAUAAUUAUAGACAAUCUGAUUGAACUCUGGAUUGGAGAGGGCUUGUUAGGAGACACUAGUGAUGUAUAUCAUAAGCGGGACGAGGGAGCAUCUAUCUUGGGGGAUUUAAAGAGGGCUUGUCUAUUGGAAAGUGGGCCUUAUAAUGUAUAUGAACGAGCAACUGUAAAGAUGCAUGACGUUAUCCGCGACAUGGCCACAUGGAUCGCUCGUGACCACGGGCAAAGGGAGAACAAGUUGCUAGUGAUAGAGAACGAAAAAGACAUGUCCGCGGAGAUGAUCUCCAAAUGGAGGGAAGCGGAGAAAGUAUCUAUAUGGGGAAAUUUGAUUACAAAUAUCAACCGAGCACCACCUGUGUGUUCCCAACUCGAAACUUUGUUUGUAAGGAAAACUAGGGUGGGACUCGUGCCAAGAGGAUUUUUCGAGUCGAUGACGGCUUGUUUGAAAGUGCUUGACUUGUCUGACAAUAAAAUUAUUGAUUCGUUCCCCGAAGAGAUUUGCAAUCUGAUUAGCCUAGAGCACUUGAACCUGUCGAGCACUUGUAUCGUUAAGUUGCCCAAGGAAAUCAAGAACUUGACUCGGUUACGGUGUUUGCUAUUUGAUAAUAGGUAUAUACCAUAUACGAGUAUCCUAAUUCCAACAGGGGCAAUCGCAAGCUUACCAUUGAAUGUGUUCAGCUUGUGGCAAUGCAGUCUAGACAAGGAAGAAAAGGUGGUAGAGGAACUAGGGAACAUGCAAUAUCUCACCGACUUAUCUAUCAAGGUGCAAAAAUCUUUCUCCGUCCUAAAAAUAUUCCAAUCCUUACAAAGAUGCAUAAGGAGAGUAUAUAUCACAAAUUGCAAGGACUUGCCCAGCAUCUCAAUAAACCACUCAUCAGAAGGGAGCGGCGAUUUCUCGCAUUUAGAGGUGUUUCAUCUAUUCAAUUGCCCUAUGCUCGUGAAGAUGGAGAUUACUCAAGGGAUAGAACGAGAGCCCAACUGCUUUUGCUUCCCUAGUCUCGUUCAUGUUUUUGUUCAGAGUUGCGGAUUUUUGGACUUGUCCUGGCUCGUGCAUGCUCCGAAGCUCCGAAAGUUGGAAGUCAAAGUCAUGCCUUCGAUGGAGAAAAUAAUCGGGGAUGAAUUUGCUACUUUAGGAUUAUUCUCAUGUCUUAAAUAUCUAACGAUCGAAAAUCUUCCAAAUCUAAGGAGUAUUUGCGAUCACACUCUCCCUCGAGGAAUGGAAUUUCGCGUAGGGAAGUGCCCUGGUCUCAAAAAGUUGCCGUUGGACUCGAACGGCGCGAGGGGAGGCUUCUCGAUCUGUGGAAGCGAAGACUGGUGGGCCAAUUUCAAGUGGAACCCAGCCGCCCGGGUCACUUUGAGGUUUCGUCAGAGUCUCGGACUCGGACUAGAGUUUCCUCAGAGUCUCGGACAAGAAAUGACGUUUGGAGAGGCACUGGGUAAAAUAAAAGGUCAGAUUGGCUGGAACUCUGAGCGCUGGCCCAAGAUCGGAUUCCUACCCUCGUGAGCGGAUUAAAGUGAGGUUGGUAUGUGUAAACUUGCGAUUUAUUUCCGUAGUCCAACUUUCUAAGGGGUUGUUUGUCCGCACGCGCAAUAAUUCAACCCUUGAGUUGUGAGCUGUGAGUUGUGUUUUGUACUAUUUGCUUUUACUUACCUUUGUCAACUUGUGUCGUUGUAUUGUUUGUGGGGCCAUUACUUUGGGCCUCUAUUAUUGAGUUUGCAAAAGUCGUUUCUUUUUUCUUUCUUUUUUUUCCUUUUUGCUUCUAAGCAAGAUGUAAUAAUAAAACUCAAUUUAGAUAAGGGCUAUAAAUUAUUUGUCAAUGUAUAAAACAAAGGAUUUUAAUUGUCCCACCGCAUAAAGAGGUAAAGAAAUUUUCAUGUAAAUUUCGAUUUGUUGUGUUUCGAUCAAAAUCCAACCAAUAUUAUCUGAGAAAAUGAUAACAAUAUAUAAUCAUUAAAAAUUUACUCGACUCAGUAUUAGCUGAAUUAGACUCGACUAGAGAUAAGUUCGAUACGUUUUUUUUUUGGACUAAUGUGGCUAUUUGUUUCCAAGGGAAAAUGGAAGGAAAGCUUACAUUUCUUUUAUAGUAUCAGAAAUGACAAAAUUAAUCUAUUUGAACAAGCAAAAGAAAGGUGGAUAUAAAGUUUGAAUAGGAAUUUGAAUUUUAGGUCAAAUUUUCAAAUUGUUUUGUUUAAUUGCAAUAAAUUUGUCAUGUCUUAGCUCGUAAGCGAAUUUGAUUUAAAAAAUGUAGGGCGAAAUACACCACAAAUGCUCAAACUUGGUAUGAGUGGACACUUAAAUGCCAAACAUUCUAAAAAGUGCAUUAAAUGCCAUUUUAGCAAUGAUAAUGGAAAUUCGAUGUGGCAUUAUUUUAAGCAUAAAUUGGCCUACGUGACCUACCGAAGUUGCCUACUCAACAAUUAAUGUGCAAAAUCACGUCGUCUUGCCCCCAAGUCAAUUUUUAAUAUAAAUAUUGACUAAAUUAAAUUUUUAGAAAAAAAAAAAAAAAGGAGCGACAGCAAAUUAGCGAGGGCCUCUACGGCCCUCGUAACUGCCGCCAUCCCGCCAUCGCCGUAAAAGGCGACAGUGCGACAAGGGUCGGUUGGGCGAAGGCGGACGACGCUCGCCGGAUUUGAGUAACGUGACCCAUUGAUACGAAGUCCGGUCCGCCCAAGCAGAUCGACCAUGUCUACUCUCAAUCAACACGGCCAUUUCAGAAGCGCCGUUCACCAAACCGGAGAUGCUCACUCUCCUGCACAGAACUCCUGCUCAGACCACCACCAUCUCCACCUCCUUCUCCUUCUUCGCCGACGCACCGACGCCACCGCUGCCGCCGCCACCUCCGCCACUUGACGCCUCCUGUGCAGCCUCCAUCCUCGCCGGACCCCUCACACCCUGCCCGGAAUCCUCCAAGAUCNNNNNNNNNNNNNNNNNNNNNNNNNNNNNNNNNNNNNNNNNNNNNNNNNNNNNNNNNNNNNNNNNNNNNNNNNNNNNNNNNNNNNNNNNNNNNNNNNNNNNNNNNNNNNNNNNNNNNNNNNNNNNNNNNNNNNNNNNNNNNNNNNNNNNNNNNNNNNNNNNNNNNNNNNNNNNNNNNNNNNNNNNNNNNNNNNNNNNNNNNNNNNNNNNNNNNNNNNNNNNNNNNNNNNNNNNNNNNNNNNNNNNNNNNNNNNNNNNNNNNNNNNNNNNNNNNNNNNNNNNNNNNNNNNNNNNNNNNNNNNNNNNNNNNNNNNNNNNNNNNNNNNNNNNNNNNNNNNNNNNNNNNNNNNNNNNNNNNNNNNNNNNNNNNNNNNNNNNNNNNNNNNNNNNNNNNNNNNNNNNNNNNNNNNNNNNNNNNNNNNNNNNNNNNNNNNNNNNNNNNNNNNNNNNNNNNNNNNNNNNNNNNNNNNNNNNNNNNNNNNNNNNNNNNNNNNNNNNNNNNNNNNNNNNNNNNNNNNNNNNNNNNNNNNNNNNNNNNNNNNNNNNNNNNNNNNNNNNNNNNNNNNNNNNNNNNNNNNNNNNNNNNNNNNNNNNNNNNNNNNNNNNNNNNNNNNNNNNNNNNNNNNNNNNNNNNNNNNNNNNNNNNNNNNNNNNNNNNNNNNNNNNNNNNNNNNNNNNNNNNNNNNNNNNNNNNNNNNNNNNNNNNNNNNNNNNNNNNNNNNNNNNNNNNNNNNNNNNNNNNNNNNNNNNNNNNNNNNNNNNNNNNNNNNNNNNNNNNNNNNNNNNNNNNNNNNNNNNNNNNNNNNNNNNNNNNNNNNNNNNNNNNNNNNNNNNNNNNNNNNNNNNNNNNNNNNNNNNNNNNNNNNNNNCCCCCCCCCCCCCCCCCCCCCCGCCUCCUCCUUCGACCACGCCGUCGACCUCGCCGCGCGCGUCCGCGACUUCCGGGCCGCGUGGGCCCUCGUGGCCCGGAUGCGGGCCCUCCGCCUAGGCCCCUCCCCGAAGACGCUUGCCAUCAUCGCCGAGAGGUACGUCGCCGUCGGCAAGCCUGAUAGGGCGGUCAAGGUGUUCUUAUGCACGAGCACGGUUGCCGCCAGGGUUUGAGCUCGUUCAAUACCAUUCUUGAUAUACUGUGCAAGUCUAGACAUGUAGAGAUGGCUAGCAACAAGCUGUUUAAAGUUUUCGGGGGCAGGUUUAAGGCUGAUUGCGUUAGUUAUAAUAUAAUUGCUAAUGGGUGGUGUUUGAUCAAGCGGACGCCGAUGGCUUUGGAAGUGUUGAAGGAGAUGGUGGAUAGGGGUUGAACCCGAGUUCGACGACUUAUAAUAUAAUGCUUAAAGGGUUCUUUAGAGCUGGCCAUGUUGAUGAUGCUUGGCAAUUCUUUCUGCAGAUGAAGAAGAGGAAGUGUGAUAUCGAUGUUGUCACAUAUACGACGGUGAUCCAUGGUUUUGGCAUCGUUGGUGAGAUUAAGAAAGCUAAAAGGGUGUUUGAUGAGAUGGCUAGAGAGGGAAUUCUUCCUUCUGUUGCGACUUAUAAUGCCAUGAUUCAGGUUCUCUAUAGGAAAGACAAUGUGGAAAAGGCAAUUCUGGUUUUCGAAGAAGUGUUGAGGAAGGGUUACGUGCCCAACUCAAUUACUUACAAUUUGGUGAUUACGGGACUGUGUCAUGCAGGGCAUAUGGAUAGGGCUGUGGAAUGAUACAAGCUGUAGAGCGCUCCUCCUCCCCUUCGAUUUAUCCAAAAAGAAAGAGAAGAAAAAGUAGAGUGCUCGGGUGGUUGUUGUUCAUUCGCAUCCCUCGUUUCCAUGGCGAUCUCUCUCUCUGCAUCUUCGAUUCCUCACUUGAACGGUGAGAAUCCGGCCAGCUCGGUCAUUGCUGCUCCCUUCCUGUCGCCGCUCCGGCUCCCAGCGGGGUUCCUCUCUUGUGGUAAAACCUCUCUCCGGGAUUCGUUGUUUUGCAGUAUUGCUCUGAGUCGUUGCUGAAGGCAUGCUUGCUGGAGCGUGGGCUCCUUCUUGUCUGGUACUUACUUGAUGGUUCAAAUAUAUGACUGGAAUGGAUGUCUCUUUCUCUAAUUUAGCUUGGCCAUGCCUCACUUUUCUAGUUAUAAGUAUUCGCUGUUAGUGGGUUUGUUAUGCUCUGGUGGGUAUGUUCCGCCUGCAUCGACAUGGGGUCCUAGUGUGCAGUGUAGCUUUGUUGGGUCAAUAGAAGUGUCAUUAUGGUGGCAAAAUCAUAUGAGUGUGAGUGGUCAUUCAAUGUUGGGCAAAUUUUCAUAUUCACUGCUUAACUUCAAUUUUCACAGGGUGAAUAUUAUGUGUUACAUCUUCAUUCUAUUUUAUCAUACAGUUGGCUAUCUAUUUCAGUAAAGAAUAGAAUGAUGCGGCAAUCUAAACAGCUUGUGUUGCUUUUUAGAUGCUACAUGGCAUUGCACUUGCCAUGGUUUUCCCUACUAAACCCAUAGUGAUUUUUUCCUAAAUUCAAUGAACGUGCUUUAGGAGGUGACCAUGGACAAUGUCAUGUCAUGCUUGGCUGGUCUUCAUCUAUUAAAAAAAAUGCCAUGUCAUGCAAGGUCAUCCUUCUUUUUCCACCAGUCUCAUGUCUUUUUCUUUACUAGAUAAAUUCUGUCAUUGCUAAGAGCAUAUCUUUGGAUUGACCUGUUUCAUAUAAUUCAUACAAAUACAUAUCUUCCUCCUCAAGCAAAGAAGACAGAUUUUGACGGUUUCAUCAUUUUGCAAUGGACAAUGCAACCUACAAAUGAUCUGUCUAGAAGAAAACAAACUGGUGAAAUCAACCUGUUGCUGUAUUAUGAGGAGUUUGCUCAUUUAAUGUAUGAGGAACUUAACAUUCUUUUUUUCCUUUUUGCUUCUAAGCAAGAUGUAAUAGUAAAACUCAAUUUAGAUAAGGGCUAUAAAUUAUUUGUCAAUGUAUAAAACAAAGGAUUUUAAUUGUCCCCGCAUAAAGAGGUAAAGAAAUUUUCAUGUAAAUUUCGAUUUGUUGUGUUUCGAUCAAAAUCCAACCAAUUUUAUUUGAGGAAAUGAUAACAAUAUAUAAUCAUUAAAAAUUUACUCGACUCAGUAUUUGCUGAAUUAGACUCGACUAGAGAUAAGUUCGAUACGUUUUCUUUUUGGACUAAUGUGGCUAUUUGUUUCCAAGGGAAAAUGGAAGGAAAGCUUGCGUUUCUUUUAUAGUCUCAGAAAUGACAAAAUUAAUCUAUCCGGAGAAGCAAAAGAAAGGUGAAUAGAAAGUUUGAAUAGGAAUUUGAAUUUUAGGUCAAAUUUUCAAGUUGUUUUGUUUAAUUGCAAUAAAUUUGUCAUGUCUUAGUUCGUAAGCAGAUUUGAUUAGAAAAAUGUAGGGUGAAAUACACCACAAAUGCUCAAACUUGACAUAGAUGGAUACUUAAAUGCCAAAAAUUAUAAAAAAUUGCAUUAAAUGUCAUUCUGGCAUUAAUGGCCGGAAAUUUGAUGUGACGUUAUUUUAAGAAUAAAUUGGCCUACAUGACCAAUUGAAGUUGUCUACUCAACAAUAAAUGUGCAAAACUUCGUCGUCUCGCCCCGAAAUCGAUUUUUAAUAUAAAUAUUGAUUAAAUUAAAUUUUAAGAAAAAAAAAAGGAGCGACGGCAAAUCAACAAGGGCCUCUACGGCCCUCGUAACUUCCGCCAUCCCGCCAUCGCCGUAAAAGGCAACAGUGCAACAAGGGUUGUUUGGGCGAAGGCCGACGACCCUCGUCGGAUUUGAGUAACGUGACCCAUUGAUACCAAGUCCGGUCCGCCCAAGCAGAUCGACCAGGUCUGCUCUCAGUCAGCACGGCCAUUUCAGAAGCGCCAUUCACCAAACCGGAGAUGCUCUCUCUUCUGCACAGACCUCCUGCUCAGACCACCACCAUCUCCACCUCCUUCUCCUUCUUCACUGCCGCAUCGACGCCGCCGCUGCCGCCGCCACCUCCGCCACUCGACGCCUCCAUUGCCGCCUCCAUCCUCGCCGCCACCCCUCAAACCCUGCCCCGAAUCCUCCAAGAUCCCACCAUCCAAUGGACGCCCGACCUCGUCGACAAGACCCUGAAGCGCCUCUGGAACCACGCCCCCAUGGCCCUGUCCUUCUUCGCCCACCUCUCCCGCCGCCGCCCCGCCUACGCCCCCGCCGCCUCCUCCUUCGACCACGCCGUCGACCUCGCCGCGCGCGUCCGCGACUUCCGGGCCGCGUGGGCCCUCGUGGCCCGGAUGCGGUCCCUCCGCCUCGGCCCCUCCCCGAAGACCUUCGCCAUCAUCGCCGAGAGGUACGUCGCCGCCGGCAAGCCCGAUAGGGCGGUCAAGGUGUUCUUGUCGAUGCACGAGCACGGUUGCCGUCAGGAUUUGAGCUCUUUCAAUACCAUUCUUGAUAUACUGUGCAAGUCUAGACAUGUAGAGAUGGCAAGCAACAAGUUGUUUAAAGUUUUCGGGGGCAGGUUUAAGGCUGAUUGUGUUAGUUAUAACAUAAUUGCGAAUGGGUGGUGUUUGAUCAAGCGGACGCCGAUGGCUUUGGUGGUGUUGAAGGAGAUGGCGGACAGGGGGUUGACCCCGAGUUCGACAACAUAUAAUAUAAUGCUUAAAGGGUUCUUUAGAGCUGGCCAGGUUGAUGAGGCUUGGCAAUUCUUUCUGCAGAUGAAGAAGAGGAAGUGUGAUAUUGAUGUUGUCACGUAUACCACGGUGAUCCAUGGUUUCGGCAUCGUUGGUGAGAUUAAGAAAGCUAAAAGGGUGUUUGAUGAGAUGGCUAGAGAGGGAAUUCUUCCUUCUGUUGCAACUUAUAAUGCCAUGAUUCAGGUUCUCUGUAAGAAAGACAAUGUGGAAAAUGCAAUUCUGGUUUUUGAAGAAAUGUUGAGGAAGGGUUAUGUGCCCAACUCGAUCACUUACAAUUUGGUGAUUAGGGGACUGUGUCAUGCAGGGCAUAUGGACAGGGCUGUGGAAUUUAUGUCGAGAAUGGGGCAGGAUGGUUGUGAACCUAAUGUACAGACGUACAAUAUCAUAAUUCGUUACUUUUGCGAUGCCGGAAAAAUAGAGAAUGGCAUCCACCUGUUUGAGAAAAUGGGAAGUGGGGUUUGCUUGCCAAAUUUGGACACAUACAACAUCCUUAUCAGUUCCAUGUUUGUCAGGAAGAAAUCAGAUGAUUUGGUGCUGGCAGGGAAAUUAUUGAUUGAGAUGGUUGACAGAGGAUUUGUGCCAAGAAAAUUAACUUUCAACAGGGUCUUGGAUGGUCUUUUACUUACUGGAAACCAAGGUUUUGCAAAGGAGAUCCUUAGAGUGCAAAGCAAAUCUGGUCGUCUUCCUCGUCGUUUCAAGUUAUAGUUUGAGCUCUCUGUUGAUCUAAUAUUGAACCUGCCGAUGAAAUUCAUCCCCUUUUCCCAGCUUGAGUUUCAGCUUUUCAAAUCUUACAGAAUGCAUCAGCGAGCAGCAAACCUCCGGGGGACAGGUUUUGCCAUUGUAAGCACCUACGGAUGUGACAGAUACUCAUUCAACUUUUUUUAUUUUGAGUUUGUCCUUGUGACCCAAUGGUCAGAAUGAGAUAGUUGGUAGAUGCUGUCCUGAUUAUACUUCUCCAGUUGGAACUUGGAUGAUGUUAUGGAAAUAUCGAUCAGGACUUCAGCAGAAAGAAAUCCUGGGCCUAGAGCACAGGCUUAUAAUCUCGAGGGAUGAAACUUCGAUCCUGUCUACUUGUUGCUUGACAUUGGGCAGUCGGGAAGGAAGAGAGGCUGCUGGAAUCUGUGGCACUUCUGACAUCUUCAGAGCCUUUUAUUUACAGUAAUUCAAGUAAGUUAGGCACAUGCUUUUGGUACUUUUCAUUCUCGCAGAGACACUCUCCAGUGUUGGAACUGCUUGUUCUUUAGGUGCUUUAUGUCUUCUCUUUUGUUGUAUUUUCAGGUGACAUUGUCAUUCAUUCAUGUGGAGGUCAGUUUGAUAUCCCUUGAUAAGGCUGCAAGGUUUUUAAGGGUGGUUGACUGCUCGAAUUGUUUAUCAAGGAGAACCCAGAAAUCCCUAUUUUCAGUUCUUUGAAUGAAUCUGCUGCAGCUUAAAAUACUUUACAUUCUUCUCCUCCAUGAAUGUCAUUGGGAAGGUAUUGCUUUCAUUGAUGAAAGUGAUGUUCAUUUAGUUUUAGUUGUCGUGAUUUUUCUUCUAAGCUAAUUUAUCUUGUUUAUUAGGGUUCACCGUGCUACAAUACUCCGGCUUCAGGUGUUUGCUGAUGUGUGGUAAAUUUAGGAGCAAAUCUUUCACUGCUUCUUCAAGUUUAACAGGCAUAUUCGGGACGGAAGCAAGUGAUUGGCUCGAGAGGCAUUCUGUGGCUACUCCUGACGAGAUCCUGGACUAGAAAGGACUGAAAACAAUUGAAAGCUGGAAUAAGAAGGAUGAGAUUCGGAGGAUGCACUUGGAUGAAGUAAAUAUAGUGCAAUCAUCAGCUUUGCUCCAGUUUGUGUUUUUCUUCUCUGUCACUGAAUGCGUUGUCGCGAGACUCGAGAAAAGGCGAAAACACAAAUUAAGUACUGGGAUCAUUUUCUUCUACAUAUGCAUUUAGAAUCUAAUUUUAAAUGAAAUUUGCCAAUUCUAGGUCCUUGAUGCAGAUAUUCACACACGGCAAAUUAUUUAUGGCGGAUGGACCUUUACAAAGAUGACUUAUAGCGUCUAUUUGCUCAAUUAUGCAGGAAUUUCUUGCAUCGAAAACACUGCCCUUCAAAUGGACGGCAUUGUUGUAACUCCCUGAAAUGACUCCAUGCAGAAUUUCGAUAAAUUGCACCUCGCCUAUUAACUUUUUUCACGUACUGCAGUGCUUAAAGAACAUGCUUUGGCGAGAUAAGACUCAGAUAUGUGCAUGAAGAAAAUGUAAGGAUGCAGUAGCUGGGCAUCGAAGUAGCUUUACCCGCUCCAUCAAGCAACAGCAUAUAUCAAAUUCUAAGGAGUCAGCCACCCGGCGGAGCUCUGGCUUGAUAAUGGCAAUGUGAGAGUAGCAAUGACUAUGCAUCAAUAUGGUCUUCAUAUAAAUGCACUCUAUGAAAAUUUGCACAAGCCUUUUGUAAAUGAAGUGCAAUACUGAAAACGUUAAAUGCUAAUGAGUAGAAAUAAAAUGAUAAACAAGAUCCGCAAUCUUGUUCCAUUUUUUUCCCAUCCAUUCUAUAGUCUCUAUACAAUGGCCUUCAAUCCUUAUUUUUAGUAGUCAGCACAAGGAAAACAUCCUGAGCUACCUCGGUAGAGUUCACAGCUUUGAGGGAGAUUUAUACCAUCCCCAAGGUUCAUUGGAUAUGUACUGUGUAACCUGCUUCACGCUCAAAUAAUUAUCCAGUCCCCUGUGAAAAAAGGCACAAUUAUCUUGUCAGUAGGAAGUUAUGAUCAUCAAAUUUUAUCUCAGUGCAAUGCAAAUCUACUGAAAUAAUAUUAGUAAGUAGUUACAGCUUUGCACAGACUCAUAAGUUAUAACUACCAUACAAGACAAAAAUCAUUCGGACAUUAGAAUCCCUUUCUCUACUAGAUGAUUUUUCUAUUUUCCUUUGAGUUCUGUUAUCCAUUUAGUCAUAGAGAAGCG